GGGGGGGUUGGGAGGAGUGAGCAAAAGCUCAUAAAGGAGACGAGAAGCCUUGUUUCUCGAUCAUUGAAGUUGGGUGGCGAGGUGGAUCCAUUGCAAAAGGCUUUAAUGCUACUCCAAGGAAUCCCUGAGCACGGCAGUUGUCUGCAGUAAUGGCCCUUUGCUUAUUUUGCCUCAUGAGCUAUCCUUUACCAUACCCUUCCUUCCUCCUCCUCCUCCUCCUUCUCCUCCUCCCCUCCCCUCCCUCGGGUCCUUUUUGUCUCCCUCUGCUGCUGCGUUAGGUGGGAUAUCACUGCCUUUGGAUCCAAGUAUUUACCCUGUCCUCUGCGGCCACCCUUUUUGCGUUUGGAUCUUCUGAUCUAUUGUCCCAUCAUACUCGCAUAACCAGCAAUCCUCUCUCUGCAACCUGAACUUUUCUGAAUGAUAGCAUGGGAUUUGAGCCAAAUGGGUUUUAGCAAUGAGCUACGCCUCUCGGGACCAGGAGGAACUCAUGGAAUGUUGUGUAUGGGGGAGGUGCAUCAGUGGACCACCAUUUUUGGUUGGAACUUUUGCUUGCUUCUCAAGAGUAAUGGAGUUGGGAGACUUCAAAUGUUUCCUUCGACGCCCACUCCUUUUAGUGCAUGGAGAGAGUCAAAUACCACGUAGUAGUAGUAGUAAAAGAUUAGGAGGCAUUGGUCUUUUGACUAACGCAAUUUGCAUUGCCACAUCUUUUGGUCGUACUCUUCCGUGAUUGAUGGGGCUCUUAAAAUUAAGUAUUGGCCUACGUUCAUUAGUUGAAGGCACUACUGAUCUCACCUACAACAUCAGCUACAUAGUUAAUGUGUUGUCACAUGAUGACCAGCUUUGCUCAUUUACAUUCGUCCAAACCUAAGUCUGUCCCUCGGAGAAAGAUUGUUUCUUCGUUAGCCCACCUUAUGCCUGCACAUUCCUUGAAUUGCCUCUGUGAAAUUGCUCAGAGGACAUGCAAUUCUUGGCUAGAGAAUUCAUUCCAUGUCCGGAAAACCAUAAAUCUAAAGUAGAAAUGGUUCCUUCUCUGAUGUCUCGCAUUGACUCAUCUAUUCUGAGUCAUGCUCAGCACAAUUGAAUUCUAGUCUAAACAAGGGGAGUGCGGGUUGGCUGGUUCUCCUCCUUCACCUGUUCUUAGCUUACCUGAAGAGCAGCUGCAAUAUGGUAAAGCCAUUAUUUGGUUCCUUUACUCCCAAAAUGUUCAUUCAUGUACGAUGAUUGCGCAGCAGAACACAUAUAUAUAAUAUAUAAUUUUAUAUAUAACUUUGAAGGAAGGCAUUUCUUAGGCGAAAUACACCAAUGUUGUACGGUGUGAUAGUUCGACCUUAAAUUGGAUUGACUGCUAUUCAUAGUCAAACACGGAAAGAAAAAGAUGAAACGAAAACAUUAUCCUUUUAUAUAAACAAAUUAAACUAAAUGUAUUUUUGAUGGGAAAAAAAGAUUUAAAUCUGAGCUAUGAAUGUGUAUGGAAACGAAGAAAGAUGUGGUGACAAAGAAAUACAUCAAGCACCAUAGUGUAAUAUCCUGAUUUAUUUUUGAAUUAGAAGUGGAUAUAGACUUGAGUUGAAUGAUAAGGAUUCAUGCAUAUGAUGUCAUUAACCUCGACUUAAGGAUCUUAGUUCAUCAAUUUAGAUUUAAUAAACUAAUAAUUUAGUCGAUAAUUGGACCUCUCUUAUGCUAUAUUAGAAUUUGAUCCUAAACUACAUUAAUACUUGUUAGACAUUGUGAAUUUAUAAUAUCUUAAAUUAUUUCAUACAAAAAGUGAAUAAAUAUUUAAAUUAACUUAUAAGAGUUGAUUGAUAUAUUAUAAUUAACUUGGUAUUAAGUAUUUUAAUCUGUAGUUUAUAUUCAAUAAGUUAAGAGAUCAAUCUAAUUCCUUGGAUCGUUUCUACAUUUGAGGUAACUUUGAAUAUGGAGACCUUCUUUUGUUUCUUGAUGAUGAUCUAAAACUAAACUCAUGAACUUAUUAAGAUUGAUAGAACUUUUUUUAACAUUCUCGUGUCCCUCUCAUAUGAUAAUAUAAGAAUAUAAAAAAGAAAAAGAGAGAGAGUUUUUAUUCCUUUUGAUAUAUAGGCCUCCUAAUCCAUGGACUAUUAGCUCAAGUGCAUCUCAAAUAAUUGCAUCAUUAUGCUUGUACUACGAGGGCUUAUCAACCACAUCAAUGUGUUAAUCAACACAUAAUCAUGAGAAAUGGAUCAUUCAGAACAUAUUAACAUUAUAUACUUCUAAUUAGAAUUUAAAACCAAAGUUCUCCUCAACAAGAUAGAUGAGACGAUUUAGAUAGGAUCUUACAUUCUAUUCAUUGAUUAGAUUUAGAUGAUUCAUGGCAACCAUCAUAGCUUAAUUCUUUUUGAGAAUCCAUAUGCCCUUUAUUUAAAUCUACUUAAGUUUAAGUUUCUUCAAAAGAAUAUUUAUCAUUAGAAAUUAUACAUCACUUCAGGAAAUUUCUAAUAUUGCACAAGAUGUAUCUAAUUUAUAUUUUUAUGAUGUCUAACAGUCCUUGAACUUCUAAGAUAUUAUUUUUUUAUAUUUUAAACAACGAUUAAAAAUCGUUAAUAUCAUUUAUCUAAAAAAAAUCAAAGUAUCAACACUAAGUCAUUCUUUAAUUUUGUUUUUUUAGAUUAAACAGUGUUAAGAGUCUUUAACGAAAUUUAUCUAAAAAUUAACAAAGAAUUACCAUAAAUAAAGUUCUGUACAUGUUUUGUAUACGAACAUUUUCACGAUAAUUUUUUUAAAAAUAAUAUGAAAAAUUUUAUUAUAUUAAAUGAUAUAUAUGAAAUUUUGAAUACAUAUUAUUUAUACAAUAAUAUACUAAUCAAUAAAGAUCUUUCGGCGAAGAAAAUAUAUGGCUGAUUUAGCUUGCAGAUAAGGUCGGUCACACUCUGCGCUUCGUCUUCGUCCCAAUGGCUUGGCGUCUUCCAUUGGCCACACUAAUAAUGGCGGUGUCUCUUUCGACAAAGACAGAUCCGUUGUUGACCCACCUUGUAGAGCAACCAGCGAAGCCGUGGUCGAGUAGGUACAACCACAUGCCGCAAUGCCUGAACUCCUCGCUCACCUAUAACAGUGGCUGAUGGAUAUGAUAUCAAGAUCAUCUCCAAGCCCUCUUCCCCCAUCUCCCACUUGAUCAACUGCUCUUCCACCAUGUAUCCAUCCAAACAACCACAACCCUACUACCCUCCGCCGCCGCCGACGACCGACCCCUACUACCCGCCGCCGCAGCCGACGAUGGGCGUGCCGGUGCCGACCGCCCCCGGUACUUUCCAGAUCCAAACUCCGGCGGGCGGCGCUUGGUCCACCGGCCUCUGCGAGUGCUGCGACGAUGGCAGCAACUGUAAUCGAGCCCUCCUCCACUUUUACUCGGUAAUUCCUUGGUCCAAUUGCUGUUGUUAAGCAUCCGAUUCCUUACUGCAGGCUGCAUCACUUGCUUCUGCCCUUGUAUUACGUUUGGUCAAAUCGCGGAGAUCGUCGACAAAGGAGCCACCUGUGAGUACUGUUUCUUCUUGGAGUCAUUGGAUCCUCCGUUCUUUUUUGUUGUCUGGCUUUUUACUGCAUGGAGGAUUGAACGGCGAAGCCUUUGAUCGGUAUCUGUGAAGCAUGCGGGACGAGUGGGGCGCUGUACGCGCUUAUAAUGUAUGUGACGUGCUGCCAGUGCUUGUACUCCUGCUUCUACCGCUCCAAACUGCGGGCGCAGCUCGGGCUGAGGGAGGAGCCCUGCGCCGACUGCCUCGUCCACUGCUGCUGCGAGACCUGCUCCCUCUGCCAGAUGUACCGAGAGCUCAAUCGCCGUGGCUACGACAUGAGCAUAGGUCUCUCUCUCUCUCUCUCUCUCUCUGCUGACUCUUCGUGUGUUCUUCCUUUUGGGAGAGAGGGAGACUGAAGCAACGGCGAUCUUUCCUUUCGUGCAGGUUGGCAUGCAAACAUGGAGAGGCAGGGGCAACCCGCAACCAUUCCGCCACCGGUCCAAGGCAUGAGCCGUUGAGAUCUCAACUCAAAGUCCAGAGCUGCCAUAAUUAGGGACUGCAAGAUGUUUGAUAAAAUGCGAGGUAUGGAUUUCGUUGUUUAUUACUAAACGUCAUAUGCAGAUAAUACGACCUAUAAGAGAAGAAUAAAAUCAAUGUCUGCGGUGGGCAUGAAUUGUAUGAUGAUCCAAAGUCGUUUACUACGAGUCUACAAUUGAGCAUUGUUUGGAAAAGUGGACUUUGACUGUGAUUGGCCAAACCUUUUCGUCCUUUGUGACUGUAGCCUCACUUCAGAUACAUGGACAUGAUGUUUGGGCCCCAAUUCGUUCACUCACAGGCUGGACUCAAUUAUUAUCUCUGCAUCAUCUUGAUAUGUUUCUUCUCCCGCUAUCACUAAUUAUCUAUUCCUAUCAGCCACGUCAUGGAGUUAUCUAUUGUAUAUAUAAAUACAAACUUAUAUGUUUCUAUCAAAGGCAUCACAUGGGAUAUUAUUUAAUCAUAACUAAUGUGGAUAUUGAUCAUAGACUCAUAAAUAUUUUAUUUUUUUAAUAUUGUAAUAUGUAUACUAUUAUUAUUAUUAUUAUUAUUAUUAUUAUUAUUAUUAUUAUUAUUAUUAUUAUUAUAUAUAUAUAUAUAUAUAUAUAUAUAUCUAAUGUAAUAUCUUUUGAGUGAUAUUUUUUAAAAAAUUAUAUUUGGAUAUUUUCCAAUCGAUACUCUGCUUUUUCCCAAAUAAUACCCUUAAUUUGAUAAACAUCCAAAAUGCCCCUUAAUUUUUUUUUGGUUAAAUUUUUCAUCCAUUUUUUAUCAGUCUUAAACUGUUAUAAUAUUUUUAUUUGGUUUGUGUAUAAUAUUUUUAAUAACAUUUAUAGUGUUUUUAUUGAUGUUUUAAAAACACGUGGCAUCUUCUUUGCUUAUCAUUGCUUAUAGAUCAUUACAAUAUAAUAUUUUUAGCUUUGUAGUUAGUUUAAUUGAGGUUAGAAGUUAUUUGGCUUAUUUAUAAUGUUUUCGAGUAAAUUUUAUAAUAUUUUUAUUUUGGUGGCCAAAAUACUAUAACAAAUCAAAAUUUUAUUUUUAUUUAGGUGAUAUUAUUUUUAAAUUAUGAUAACUUCUCAUAUAAAUCAUAGUAUGAUAUUUUAAAUAAUUUCUAGUAUGUUUUGAUUCUGAACUCAUUUAUAAUAUUUUCAAAUAGGCUUUAUAAUGUUAUUAUCAUAGUGACCAAAACAUUAUAACAUGUCAAAAACAUUAUAGUAAGUCAAAAAUAUUAUAACAUUCAGAAAACUUUUUCAGGAAUAGUUUAGAUUUUAAAUUAGGAAUAUUAUUUUAGAAAAACGAUACGGAUUGAGAAAUAAUCAAAAUACAGAUAUUUUCUAAGAAAAUCGCCUGUAUCUUUUUUUUGGCUUUAUCCUUUUCAUUUAAGCAUGUCAUUACCACAAUAACUUCAUCGAGAAAAUGUUAAAUGGGUCUUUUAAUUGCUCACAUCCAACAAGGUGCAUAAUAUUGGCUUAUAUGCUGGUAAUGUAUGGGAGUGAAGACGUGAGAAAGAGAGGUAUCAAAAUUGAUCACAUUUCUAUUUGUAACCCGAUCUUUAACAACAAAAUGUGGACGAUAUGAAUCGCGAAAUCCAAUUACAAACACAAAUACAUAUAAUACAAAUGAUUUACUUUGAAGAUUAUCUAAUGCUUGCAAAUAUAUUGCUUGUUUUAAAAAAAUUAUAAAUAGUCCACUUAUAGAAAAACCUACCAACUAUAUGAAAAAUAUGGAUUAUUCAUGUCUAGUCUCGUAUUGAAAUAAGAUUUCGAUCUACUUAUAAGAGGCAAAUAUUUGUAUUAUUGUUAACUUAGGCUUAAAUAUCUUAAGUCAUUGGUUUACACUAAAAAAAAUUCAAAUUUAGUUAAGAUAAUUAAAUCAUAGGUGUUGUAAUUGAUAGUAGAUGAGAUUUCCCUAACUGUUUGAGGAAAUCUCUCUACUUUGUUGAGGGAAAUCCUCUAACCUGUUGAAGAAAAUUCUCCCAUCUAACCUAUAUAAAAAAAAAUAUGUUAAUAACAAUCAACUUCUUCUACAACUUGUUUAUCUAUUUAUUUUUUAACAUGGUAUCAGAGCAGUUCCUUCUUGGCGAUAGCAGUAUCGCCGUGUGUUAGCCAAGCGGCCACGCGCCUCAAGCAGAGUCAUUGAAGAAGCACCAAGACAUGGAUUCAGAGCCAGUGCUAACGAGCACCGUCUUGGCUCUGCUCAUCCACUCCUUCUCUUCCUUCAUCGUCGGUCUUACUUUUCUUCGCUGGCCUUGCUCCCUCUCCUAUUUGCUGCCUACAGUAGACACUCUCCGUCGCUGCCUCGUAAGGAGGAAAACAUUCUCUCACUGCCUCCUCAAUAGCGACGAACGGUGAACAGUGGUGUCUUCCUCGCUUCCUAGCCAACAGCAGUCGCAACUACUGCAUCUUCCUUCCUCUACCGCAGCAGCUUUUGCUGCCGCUUCCCUCUACACAACGGUGCCUCCUCAACGGCGGUGUCUUCCUCACUCAGUCUUCCUUGCUUAACGACGACUGUCGCGUCUUCCUCCUUCGCUGUCGCAGCCGCUUCCCGGCCAGCAGUAGCCGCAACCGUUGCAUCUUCCUUCCUCUAUCGCAGUAACUUUCGCUACCGCUUUCCUCUAUACACCUAAUUGCUGCAGAUUUCUUUCGCUGCAGUUUUCUUGAGUACCGUUGAGAUUUUCGCGGUCAUUUCCCAGCGAACCACAAUCUUAAGUAUCGCUGCAGUUUUCGCGGCCAUCUUCCGGCGAACUGCAGCAUCUACAAUCUGUUGUAGCAAGCAGCAAUCCACAACAGCUGCCGGCAGCUUUGGGCACUGUUGUAGAUUGCCCAAUCUGUUGCAACAAGCAGCAAUCUAUAGCAGCGACCCCCCCUCCCUCAUUCUCCAUCUUGUGUAACCUGAGUAUCACACAAGGUUCGCUGCAUUGCUUCUAAAAAAAAAAAAAUGUCUUCGUUCACUUCUUCUGAUGUUUCAGUUCCUGUAGGGACUCCAACUUCUUGUUCUUCUACAGGGCUUAUCUCCAUCAAUGCUGCCACGCUGAUCAUCUUUAAAUUAUCAAAGGGUGGCAACUAUGCGUCCUAGCGAGCUCAAUUUUCUAAUCUUUUAUUUGGAUAUGACUUGUUAGGUUACAUUGAUGGCUCCUUCAGUUUUCCUUCGGCCAUGCUCAACAUUCCCGGAGAUCCCAGUCCAGUACCUAAUCGUCAAGAUUGUCUCAUCCUCCAAGCUAUUCAAGCAUCAGUUGUUGGAUUCAUUGCUCCCUUGAUAUCUUCAUGUGUGACAACAACCGAUGCUUGGUCUAAACUGCAAACCACCCUGGCAAAUCAUUCGCAUACUCGCAAGCUCAGUCUUCUAUCCAAGCUUAUGGUGACAAAACAAGAGGGAAGUACUAUCUCUGAUUAUCUACAACAUAUCAAGGUUAUCAUCGAUGACUUGGCUUUGAUAGGUCAUUCCCUAUGUGACGAAGAGGUUGUCAUUCAUACCCUCAAUGGUCUCGACACCGACUACAAGGAAUUGGCUGCUGUAAUUCGGGUACGCAACUCGCCAGUCUCUUUUGAAGAUCUCUAUGAUAAGCUGACUGACUAUGAGAUGUACUUGAAGCGUGCGGACAAACUGCCUGGAUCGACUGUCACAACUCAAGUCAAUCACAAGUCUAAACGGAAGAGCACUCGAUACUCGCCGAACAUCACCCAAGGUUUGGCUAAUGCGCCUCUUGAUUCUGUGAGUUCUAUGUAACACCCCUCCUAUCCUCCUAGUCAUCACUUCUCGCAAAGUGGCAACUCCAGCCAUCAUCCGUCUUGGCAUCCUGCCCUACCGAGCCAUCAAAGACGGGUCGUUUGCCAACUGUGUGACAAAGUCGGCCACUCUGCUAAAGUUUGCCGGUCUCGUCCCUGCCUCCCUGCUCCAUCACACUGGCCUCAGGCAAAUCUCCUGACUACUCCGACACCUAGCCAGUUCAAUUGGAUUGUCGACUCUGGUGCCUCUCAUCACAUCACCGCUGAUCUUCAGAAUUUGUCUCUUCACAAUCCCUAUGGCGGCGAUGAAGAUAUCAUCAUCGGUGAUGGUAAAGGACUUCCUAUAACUCAUAUUGGUUCCACAACGCUUAAUUCUGACUCUACUACAUUUAUCCUCGAUGAUAUUUUAUGCGCCCCUCAUAUUAAACGUAAUCUUAUUUCUGUUUCUCAAUUUUGCAAACAUAACAAUACUUCCAUUGAAUUCAUUCCUGAUUCAUUUCUUGUUAAGGACUUGAGCAUGGGGGCAUCAUUGGUCCAAGGCCCGAAUAAAGACAACAUUUACGAAUGGCCGUCAGCCUCUCGAAUAACCCAGCCCACUGUUCAUUCUUCUGUUGUGGCUCUAGUUGAUGUGUGGCAUCGUCGGCUUGGUCCCUCGUCCUUUAUUCAGCAAAAAUUAUUUUCUCGUCACUCUCUUCCUCUUUUUAAGUCAACUAAUUCUAUGAUGCAUUGUGAUGCAUAUCUUAGCAAUAAGAGUCAUCGGCAGCCUUUUGGCUCAUCUUCCAUUUCUUCUUCUAAACCUUUUGAAAUUAUAUAUACUGAUGUUUGGGGUCAGGCUCCAAUCUUAUCUUUUGAUUCCGAUUUUAUGUUAUUUUUAUAGAUCACUUUUCUAAGUAUACAUGGAUAUAUCCUCUUUCCCAUAAAUCUGACGUUUCUCACAUUUUUUCCACUUUCCAGAAGUUGGUCGAAAACUAUUUUCAGUCUACCAUUAAAACGGUCUACUCUGAUGGUGGCGGUGAACAUCAAGCCCUGGCAUCCCAUCUCUUAGCUUGUGGCAUUCAACACCUCAAGUCUCCCCCACAUACUCCUCAACUAGUUGGUUCUACCGAACGCAAACAUCGGCAUAUAGUAGAAAUUGGACUCACACUUCUACAUCAAGCUUCCAUGCCUUCAACUUUUUGGACAUCAGCCUUUCAAACUACUGUCUACCUUAUUAAUUGAAUGCCUACACCAGUCCUACAAUACCAGUCCCCCUUUGACACACUAUUUCACAAACCCCCUAACCUUCGUAAACUCCGAGUGUUCGGUUGUUUAUGUUAUCCUUGGUUACGUCCCUAUGCCUCUCAUAAGUUAACAUCCCGAUCUACUCCUUGCGUCUUUAUUGGUUACUCACUUGAACAUAAUGCUUUCCGCUGCUAUAAUCUCCACACUCACAAAAUCUUCAUAUCACGUCACGUUAUCUUUGUUGAGUCUAACUUUUCUUUCCAAACCCUUCCAUAUCCUAUCGUACGGACCACUUCACUAUCUCACUGGAGUAUACCUUCGGACCAAUCGGGCGAGCCUCCCACGACUUCGUCUACUUCCUCCCCUCCUAAUCCGCACUAUAUCACUCCAGUUCAACACUUGCCCGUUUCCUCUGUUCCUACUCCACUCCACUCUUCCCCAAUUGAUGGGGCAAUAUGUUCUGAAACACAACCAUCCUCUUUACCUCCUUCUCGCCCAAGUGCCCCUGACAUAUCUCCACUUGACCCGGCUUGUGCCACAGAUCCUCACCCAACAUCUUCCGGUCUCCUUUUAUCACAACGCAAGUACAUUCAAGAUUUGUUAUUAAAGACAAACAUGCAGGAUGCAAAUGCAGUUACAACCCCCAUCUCUACUAGUGGUUCUCUCAAAUUAUCGGAUGGAAGUCCUGCUACGGAACCCACUCAAUACCGCCAAGUUGUUGGCUCUUUACAAUACUUAGCUCUCACGCGUCCAGAUAUCUUAUUUGCUAUCAACAAAUUAUCACAGAUUAUGCAGCAACCAUCUACUCUACACUGGUCUGCAGUCAAGAGACUUCUGCGAUAUCUUAAAGGGACCCUAAAUCAUGGACUCUUUUUUCGUAAACACUCUCCGCUUCAUCUUCAUGCCUUUGCCGAUGUUGAUUGGGCAGGUAACCUUGAUGAUAGAACAUCCACAUCGGGGUAUAUUAUCUUCCUUGGUGCUCAUCCAAUCAGUUGGAGUUCUAAGAAGCAAAAGAUAGUCGCCCGGUCUACAAUUGAAGCUGAAUACCGUGCCAUUGCCGCUACCAUUGCAGAACUCAAUUGGAUCACGAAUCUACUCUAGGAACUCAACAUCGAUUCCACCCCUACAAUAUAUUAUGAUAAUAUUGGAGCUACCUAUCUGUGCGCUAAUCUGGUAUUUCACUCCCGCAUGAAACAUAUUGCUAUCGACUUCCACUUUGAACGCGAUCAAGUUGUCCGUCGUCAACUUCGUGUUUCUCAUGUUCAUACAGCUGAUCAAUUGGCCGACUCAUUUACGAAGCCUCUAGCUCGUAAAUUUUUUGCAUUACAUCAGUCCAAGAUUGGCCUCCUUGAUAAGAGCGCCAUCUUGCGAGGGCAUGAUAGUAGAUGAGGGGGCUUGAUAGGAUUUCCCUCAAUAGAGUAGAAAGAUUUUCUCAAAUAGUUAGGGAAAUCUCAUCUACUUAUCAUGCCCCCGCAAGAUGGUGUUCCUAUUAAGGAGGUCAAUCUUGGACUGAUGUAAUGUAAAAAGUUUACGAGCUAGAGGCUUUGUAAAUGAGUCGGUCAAUUGAUCAGUCGUAUGAAUAUGAGAAACACGAAGUUGACGGCGGACAACAUGAUCGCAUACAAAGUGGAAGUCGAUAGCAAUAUGUUUCAUGCGGGAGUGAAAUACCGGAUUAGCACACAAAUAGGUAGCUCCAAUAUUAUCACAAUAUAUUAUAGGGGUGGAAUCGAUGUUGAGUUCCUGGAGUAGAUUCGUGAUCCAAUUGAGUUCUGCAGUGGUAGCGGCAAUGGCACGGUAUUCAGCUUCAGUUGUAGACCGGGCGACUGUCUUUUGCUUCUUAGAACUCUAACUGAUUGGAUAAGCACCAAGGAAGAUAAUAUACCCCGAUGUGGAUGUUCUAUCAUCAAGGUUACCUGCCCAAUCAGCAUCGGCAAAGGCAUGAAGACGAAGUGGAGAGUGUUUACGAAAAAAGAGUCCAUGAUUUAGGGUCCCUUUAAGAUAUCGCAGAAGUCUCUUGACUGCAGACCAGUGUAGAGUAGAUGGUUGCUGCAUAAACUAUGAUAAUUUGUUGACAGCAAAUGAGAUGUCUGGACGCGUGAGAGCUAAGUAUUGUAAAGAGCUAACAACUUGGCGAUAUUGAGUGGGUUCCGUAGCAGGACUUCCAUCCGAUAAUUUGAGAGAACCACUAGUAGAGAUGGGGGUUGUAACUGCAUUUGCAUCCUGCAUGUUUGUCUUUAAUAACAAAUCUUGAAUGUACUUGCGUUGUGAUAAAAGGAGACCGGAAGAUGUGAAGGUAGCUUCGACGCCCAGAAAGUAGCUCAAGGGUCCGAGAUCCUUAAGCGAGAAUCAAGCCGCAAGCUGUUUGAUGAACGCUUGGAUGCUGAUGGGAUUGUUGCCUGUGACAAUAAUAUCAUCCACAUAUACCAGAAUAUACAAUGUGUUUCCAUGAUGAUGUCGCAGAAACAACGAAGUGUUAGAUUUGGAGUUAAGAAAACCGACAGAAGUAAAAAAUAAGCUAAGUUCAGUGUACCAAGCUCUCGGAGCCUAACGAAGUCCAUAAAUGGCUUUCCGAAGUUUGCAAACAUGUUGUGGAUAUUGAGGAUGAGUAAAACCGGGGGGUUGUUGCAUAAAAACAUCUUAGGUUAGAGAUCCCUGUAGAAAUAUAUUAUUAACAUCCAAUUAUCAUAAUUGCCAGCCUUUAGUGGUACCCAGACUCAAGAUAAGCCAGAUUGUAGUGGGUUUAACAACAGGACUAAACGUCUCAGUGAAAUCAAUUCCAGGUCGUUGAUGAAACCCUUUGGCGACCAAGCGUGCCUUAUAUCGGGCAACAGAGCCAUCUGGGUUCCGCUUAAUUCUAAAGACCCACUUACACCCGAUGAUGUUUUGUGAAGGAUGGAAAGGAAUGAGAUCCCACGUUGAAUUAUGCAGGAGGGCAUUAUAUUCCUCACUCGUAGCAGUACACCAAUGCGGAGAUUUUUGGGCUUGAGUGAAGGUGGUGGGUUCAACGUUGGGGGAUGAGGAAUUCAUGAUAGCUUGUAGGUUAAGUACCUGACGAGGUUUAAAAAUACCAUGCUUAGAGCGAGUGGUUAUAGGAUGAUUGGAGACGACAGGAUUGGGAGGUGAUGUUGGGUGAGGAUUUGUGGCAUAAGCCGGGUCAAGUGGAGACACGUCAGGGGCACUUGGGCGAGAAGGAGGUAAAGAGAAUGGUUGUGUUUCGGAACAUAUUGCCCCAUCAAUUGGGGAAGAGUGGAGUGGAGUAGGAACAGAGGAAACGGGCAAGUGUUGAACUAGAGUGAUAUAGUGCGGAUCAGGAGGGGAGGAAGUAGACGAAGUCAUGGGAGGCUCGUCCGAUUGGUCGGAAGGUAUACUCCAGUGAGAUAGUGAAGUGGUCCGUAUGGCAGGAUAUGGAAGGGUUUGGAAAGGAAAGUUAGACUCAACAAAGACAAUGUGACGUGAUAUGAAGAUUUUGUGAGUAUGGAGAUUAUAGCAGCGGAAAGCAUUAUAUUCAAAUGAGUAACCAAUAAAGACGCAAGGAGUAGAUCGGGAUGUUAACUUAUGAGAGGCAUACGGACGUAACCAAGGAUAACAUAAACAACCGAACACUCGGAGUUUACGAAGGUUAAGGGGUUUGUGAAAUAGUGUGUCAAAGGGGGACUGGUAUUGUAGGACUGGUGUAGGCAUUCGAUUAAUAAGGUAGACAGCAGUUUGAAAGGUUGCUGUCCAAAAAGUUGAAGGCAUGGAAGCCUGAUGUAGAAGUGUGAGUCCAGUUUCUACUAUAUGCCGAUGUUUGCGUUCGGCAGAACCAACUAGUUGAGGAGUAUGUGGGGGAGACUUGAGGUGUUGAAUGCCACAAGCUGAGAGAUGGGAUGCCAGGGCUUGAUAUUCACCGCCACCAUCAGAGUAGACUGUUUUAAUGGUAGACUGAAAAUAGUUUUCGACCAACUUCUGGAAAGAGGAUAUAUCCAUGUGUACUUAGAAAAGUGAUCUACAAAAAUAACAUAAAAUCAAAACUUUUCAAAAGAUAAGAUUGGAGCAGGACCCCAAACAUCAGUAUAUAUAAUUUCAAAAGUUUAGUGGAGGAAAUGGAAGAUGAGCCAAAAGACUGCCGAUGACUCUUAUUACUAAGACAUGCAUCACAAUGCAUCAUAGAAUUAGUGGACUUAAAAAGAGGAAGAGAGUGACGAGAAAAUAAUUUCUGUUGAAUAAAGGACGAGGGACCACCAAGCCGACGAUGCCACACAUCAACUGGAGCCGCAAUAGAAGAAUGAACAGUGGGCUGGGUUAUUCGAGAGGCUGAUGGCCAUUCGUAAAUGUUGUCUUUAUUCGGGCCUUGGACCAAUGAUGCCCCCGUGCUCAAGUCCUUAACAAGAAAUGAAUCAGGAAAGAAUUCAAUGGAAGUAUUAUUAUGUUUGCAAAAUUGAGAAACAUAAAUGAGGUUGCGUUUAAUAUGAGGGGCGCAUAAAAUAUCAUCGAGGGUAAAUGUAGUAGAGUCAGAAUUAAGCGUUAUGGAACCAGUAUGAGUUAUAGGAAGUCCUUUACCAUCACCGAUGAUGAUAUCUUCAUCGCCGCCAUAGGGAUUGUGAAGAGACAAAUUCUGAAGAUCAGCGGUGAUGUGAUGAGAGGCACCAGAGUCGACAAUCCAGUUGGACUGGCUAGGUGUCGGAGUAGUCAGGAGAUUUGCCUGAGGCCAGUGUGAUGGAGUAGGGAGGCGAGGACGAGACCGGCAAACUUUAGCGGACUGACCGACUUUGUCACACAGUUGGCAAACGACCCAUCUUUGAUGGCUCGGUAGGGCAGGAUGCCAAGACGGAUGAUGGCUGGAGUUGCCAUUUUGCGAGAAGUGAUGACUAGGAGGAUAGAAGGGGUGUUGCAUAGAACUCACAGAAUCAAGAGGCGCAUUAGCCAAACCUUGGGUGAUGUUCGGCGAGUAUCGAGUGCUCUUCCGUUUAGACUUGUGAUUGACUUGAGUUGUGACAGUCGAUCCAGGCAGUUUGUCCGCACGCUUCAAGUACAUCUCAUAGUCAGUCAGCUUAUCAUAGAGAUCUUCAAAAGAGACUGGCGAGUUGCGUGCCCGAAUUGCAGCAGCCAAUUCCUUGUAGUCGGUGUCGAGACCAUUGAGGGUAUGAAUGACAACCUCUUUGUCACAUAGGGAAUGACCUAUCAAAGCCAAGUCAUCGAUGAUAACCUUGAUAUGUUGUAGAUAAUCAGAGAUAGUACUUCCCUCUUGUUUUGUCACCAUAAGUUUGGAUAGAAGAUUGAGCUUGCGAGUACGCGAAUGAUUUGCCAGGGUGGUUUGCAGUUUAGACCAUGCAUCUGUAGCUGUCACACAUGAAGAUAUCAAGGGAGCAACGGAUCCAGCAACUGACGCUUGAAUAGCUUGGAGGAUGAGACAAUCUUGACGUAGCCACAGUUUGUGAGCUGGAUUGGGUACUAGACUGGGAUCUCCGGGGAUGUUGAGCAUGGCCGAAGGACAACUGAAUGAGCCAUCAAUGUAACAUAACAAGUCAUAUCCAAAUAAAAGAUUAGAAAAUUGAGCUCGCCAAGACGCAUAGUUGCCACCCUUUGAUAACUUAAAGGGGAUCAGCGUGGCAGCAUUGAUGGAGAUAAGCCCUGUAGAAAAACAAGAAGUGGGAUUCCCUACAGGAAUUGAAACAUCAGAAGAAGUGAACGAAGACAUUUUUUUUUUUUAGAAGCAAUGCAGCGAACCUUGUGUGAUACUCAGGUCACACAAGGUGGAGAAUGAGGGAGCGGGGGCCGUUGCUAUAGAUUGCUGCUUGCUACAGUAGAUUGGACAAUCUACAACAGUGCCCAAAGCUGCCGGCAGUUGUUGUGGAUUGCUGCUUGCUGCAGCAGAUUGUAGAGGCUACAGUUCGUCGGAAGAUGGCCGCGAAAACUAUAGCAAUACUCAAGACUGUGGUUCGUCGGGAAAUGGCCGCGAAAAUCUACAGCGGUACUCAAGGAAACUGCAGUGAAAGAAAUCUGCAGCAAUUAUGAUUUGUGCUCAAAUUUGAAUCAACUUCUUCAAAUUUGUAUAAAAAGAACGGGAUAUGUUAAUAACAAUCAACUUUUUCUACAACUUGUUUAUCUAUUUAUUUUCUAACAGUAAUGCCAUUGGAAUCUCAAAUUUGAGCUUUAACGAAAGUUAUUGUUGUUAGCCCAAGGAAUCACGAAGAUUUUUUUGGUUAAACUUUAUAAAUGAUAUAGUGAUAUUUCCAAGGAAACUAUAAAUAUUAGUUAAAUAAGACACUUUUAAUGUUAUUACAAUUAAUCAGCUGAGGAAGCUCUUACUUUUUAUAAAAUUUUAUGAAAAAUUCAUAAUAUAUAAUCAAAUCAACAGACGUUUAGUUUUGGUAAAAAAAGCUGAAAAUUUUGACAUGAAAAAGAAUAUAUGUUAAACAAUAACUAUUUUUCGUAUUUUGACGACUUAUAUAUAAUUUAAUUGUUGUAAAAAUUUACGUUGAGACACACGGAAUAGAAUAGAUGGGGUGAGAAGGAUAUAAAAAAUUGGCGUGAUUAGAUUAUGAGUUGUGAUCUAACUAUAUAUAGUUUAUAGCAUCAUCAUCUUAGCCCAUAAGUGUUUUGCAAAGCCCUAAAUUUAAGUAAAAAUUUCCUAGGCUUUUAGAAAGAUCGAUCAUAAGUUCAUUCAGUGAAGCACAAGAUUACUUUUAGGAAGAUCAAUCAUAAUAUUCUUUUGUUAGAUGAUACCUCCCAUCAUUUUUUUUCAUUUGGUGCUUCAUUUUUAAUUAAUAUCCUUAAUGUCUUUUGUUGUCACCAAUAUCUCGUUGUGGUCACCUUCAUCUCAUUGCUUCACCUGUCACCUCCAUCCCUUUAGCAAAGUCGUCGUAGUCACUUUCACCUAUGCCACUACAUCCUUAACAUUGUCAUCCCUUAUAUUCGAACAUAUCAUGCUUGCACUACUUCUGUCUCUUACGUGCUUAGCACAAACUUAAACACAUCAUCCAACUCUUCCCACUUCAUUGCUUUCGACUAUAAUGCUUUUAAGCAUGGGUGUGACAUUUGACUUUACUCUUAUUAUCGGUACAUUCAUGUCUCGAUUGUCGCCACGUAGACCACCAUCAGCAGUGAUGCCAACUUAGAGAACCAUACUAGUAGUAUUAACAUCCCAUGAAAUAAUAGGAUAAUUAUUGGAUUCUGUUAGGCUUGUGUGCCCUUUGCUCACUUGACCAUAUCGAUUAUCCACAAGAGUAUUAUCACUAUCUGGUACUAAAGUGUAGACCUAUUAUAUCCUCUACUCAUGUGGCUCCAUCAUCACAUCCAGCAUUGAGACCUUAUAGAGAAAAAGAGAUCGAGAUAGAGGUAAAAGUGAUAGGGUAACAAAGUUGAAGUGAUGCAACAAAAACGAUAGGACGAAGACGGUUCCGAUGGAGCAUUGACGAUGACAAGGGACAUUUAGGAUAGUAGAGAAAAAUAAGGGCACCAAAUGAGAAAACUGAAAAUGAGGAUAUCUUUCUAAGAAAUUUAAAAAAUAAUUUUUCUAACAAAUCGUCCAAAAUAUAAUUAUUAUUUACAUAUAUCAACUUUACAUACGUAAAAGACAGCAUUAUACGUAUAUUCUUUUAGUUGCUUUUGCCACAUAUCUAUUUUCACAUACAUCAACUGACAAGUGACCUGAAUAGCUUUUACAUAUAUCAAUUUUUUACACCGAGCUCUCUACGCACACAAACAAAUAUCCUAUUCUUAGAAUCCAGUUCAAUCCAAACAUGAAAGUAGUAAGGUACGCAUCACAUGAUGCUCUCAAAUGCGUACCCAAAUAAUGGAAGUCCACGGGAUUGCCUACUUUGAGAUUAUCUCGUGGAGGCACGUCUGACAUCUGCAAUCAAAAUUUCCAACGCAUGUGCAGAUGGCGUCUUACCAUUGCUCACAGCAGUUUUUGACUUUGUCCGAGUCAAUUCUUUGUUCCGGCCGUCGUUUUCUCGUCAUCUCGGACGGUUUUGUCCCAUAGGAGACGACGCAGCCUCCUCAAAACGUAUAUGAGACUCAGCUCUGCAGGUAUCGUUUACCAGAUAUCUCAUCAUAUUUCCACUAUAAUACCUUUCCUCCGAACUGGCACGGAGUGUUCCUUAAGCUUCUGAAUCUGACUUUGGGCGAUUCAAGAAAUGCCAAAAAUAAUAAAACUACGUGUGCAAUAAUGUCGAUGAGAUGUUUUUAUCGGAUAUGUUCUCACUUCUCAAUCACAUGGUUUGUUUCCUUAAAUUACUUGUUCUUCGUGUCAUCAUGCGGAAUACGAAGUCUACCAGUGAUAUUCUACGUUUUGUUGAACAGUUCAUCUCUGACCUUACCGUGUAUGCCCUUCUAAUUUAUUCGAUUAGGAACUUUCGAUGUGAUAGGAUAGCUCGGUUGUGCACAGCCAGUCGAGCAGGACUCGCAUGUUUAUAUACGGGAUGCUUCUUGCAUUCCUUGCAUCAGAUAUCAUCUCUGUAUCUGUCAUUGUCUCCGAAGAAAUGUAUCCAUCCAAGGUUGGUGGGCCGGCAUCUGCACCGCCGGUGACCGGCGUUCCCAUGGCUCACAAUGCCUUUGGUGGUGCUGAAACCCAGCCGGUGUGGUCCACCGGUCUCUGUGAUUGCAUGGAUGACUUCGGCAACUGUGGGUUCUUCUGUAGCCGUCGUCCUUAUCGACGUCGUGAUUGAGAUGGCCUAACGUUGUUCUUGUCUUUGUCCAUCGACGCAGGUUGCAUGACUUGUUGGUGCCCGUGCGUUACUUUCGGCCGGGUCGCGGAGAUCGUAGAUAGAGGCACAACCUGUAAGUUCCUUAGCUUCAAUUUGUCUUCUCGCGAGCAGCAGUUUACGGUGGUUUACCGGCCCGAGUAACGUGUGCAUCGACGAUGUAAACAUGCAGCGUGCGGGGCGAGUGGAGCGCUGUACGCGUUGAUAAUGGCGUUGACUGGCUGCCAGUGCAUAUACUCGUGGUUCUACAGGACGAAGAUGAGGGCUUAUUACAACUUGCCCGAUUCCCCGUGCUGCGACUGCUGCGUCCACUUCUGCUGCGAAACCUGCGCUCUGUGCCAGGAGUAUAGAGAGCUCAAGAACCGUGGAUUCAACAUGGCCCUCGGUCUCUCUCUCUCUCUCUCUCUCUCUCUCUCUACAGCAGAUGCUAAUGAAGGUUCUUCUCGUUAACUAUUGCAGGGUGGCAUCUUAACGUGGAAAGGGAGGCCGGAGGAGGAAUGACACAGCCACCAAUGAUGCAGGGAGGCAUGAUGCGUUGAGGAGAUCAUGAGAAAUGGACGAGUGAUGCUUUCGGUGAUGUCACAUGUAACAGUAGCUACCGUAAUAUCUGCUCCUUUUUCUUCGCUUGUAUGUGGUGCAAUGUAAUAUAUUCAUUCGCUCUAGUGUUGUUCUUGUCUUUGAAUAAUUGGCGAACAAAGGAUACUGUUGUUUGGAUCCAAUUCUUGUCUACAAUGUUUAAAGGGCGUAUGUGCAAUGCAUAUAUUCGAACAAAAAAGAUGGUUUUACGUGGAUAUUGAUCUUAUCUUUUCGAGACCUUCAUUUUGUAUAGCUACAAUUUAGCAAAUACAUCACCAUAGACCUUUAAUUGUUUUAUGAAAUUGAAAACACAGGUAGAUAUAUUUAAUCAUACGUGGCAACGACAUGCAUUGAUUCUACCCACGCUUGCCUGUCCGUCUACCUUCCUUCUGAUUGGAGUAGCAGUCGCAAGCCUCGUUUCUGGUCACAUCACGAGACGGGUAUGCGACGCGAGUAGUGACGUGCUCGGGUAGGUGAAAGUAUUGUUCUGUUGCGAAAGUCAACUUGACUAACGAAGCAAGUGGCUCAAGUCCAACAGAGAGAUACGUGGCAAUUGGCUUGGUGGGUCCCACGAUUCCAUCAACCUACUAUAACUAAAGUCUUCGGUGAAAAUGAAAGGAAGCGACAAGAACAGAUCAAGGAGGAUGAAUGCAACCUUAUCCUUGAAAGAUUAUUUUUAUGACUUUAAUAUCUUAAUCUAAGGUCAUUAUUUUAUGGUUUAUAAGGCCAUUGAUCUUUUUCUAAAUUCAGCAUUAGUGGAAACUUUAUGGUUAUUUUUUUAAUAUAUUUAUCUAAGAUAUUUUUAUUAAUGUGUCUAAUUAGAUAAGAUAUAUUAUAAAUCUUACUAAAUUUUGAUUAAGAUUAUUGAUCAAUAAUCUUAAUUUUUUAUGAGAUAGUCUUGAUGAUAAAGACUCUCCUAAUUAUUAUCAUAAGUCUUACUAAAUUUUGAUUAUGAUUAUCGAUCAAUACAAAUAUAUAUUUUAUGAGAUAAUCUUGAUGGUAGAGACUCUCCUAAUUAUCAUCAUAAAUCUUAUGUUUUCGUCUAAAAAAUUAAGAUUUCAUCGGGAUGAAACACCAAAGAUUAUAUAUGUAAAGAAUAGAAUGAGAAAAAAUAUAUGAAUAUAAUUCUUCUUGUAAAUCAUAUGUCCAUACCUCAAAUAAAUUUUUUUUGAAUGGUAUCAAAAUGUAUGUAAAUAUUAAUAUAUCAUAUUUGAUUUUGAUUCUUAUAUUAAAGUUUUUUAAAUAAUAAUAGGAUAAUUAUAAUUUUUAUACUUACAAUUUUAGGAGGAUUUUAAUCGAUUCAAGUAAUUUUGGAAAAAAAAAUUGAUUAGAAUAGAAGGAAUAAAGUUAAAAUUAUUCCCCUUUCAAUUCUUGUCUACAGGUCUCCAACGCCUCAGUUUUUGGUAACCCCCAACUAAUUUAUACAGCAUUUUCCUUUCAAAAUAAACUCAUACCUUUCACAAUGAUUAAGCACAACAAAAGUUUAUAGUUUCUUUCACAAUCCAUUGCUUUUCUAAAAACCUAAUAAAUAAAACAAGCAAUUAUUGUCUUUAGAUAUCAUUCAGGAUGUCAAACCACAAAAGCUCCACCUUCUGAGCCAAUUUACCAUCGCUGAAACAGUACAAACUACUUGAAAUGAAUGUACAACAUUCCCAGGAUAUGGCUAUUGGAAGUAAUAAUAAUAAUUUAUAGGAUAUUGUUGUAAAAAAUACACGGGGUUUUAUUUUUUUGGGUCAUCUGCAUGCCCAACUGAUACCAGUGGAAUCCGAUUUCUUGUCAUUAUAUGUUUACAUGAGCCUUUGGAUAUUUACAUGCUUGCGAAAUAGCAAUCUGAUUGCCAGACGAGAACACUAAAAGUUCUCCAAAAGUUUUAGCUGCAACACCGAUAUUUCACUGCAAAACACUCCAUUAGGAAUCUUCGAACAACGAAUUCCUUGACCCUCUAAACUAAUUCCUCUUUUCUCACAUGAAACUUCCUGAUUCUGGUCCACAGCCCAGCAGUCUCCGACACUGAUUCAUCUACAUUCCCCUUGAAAUUGGCUUGUUCACUUAGCUCUUCAAAUGCAUCCACCAAAUUUUGAAGCCUCGCAACAAAUUCAAUGAGAAGCGAAGCAAACGUUGCCAGUGACAAUGCACUAGCGCUUUCAUAGGUUCUCGACUCUUCUCCGUUAAGCAUGACUUCUAAAUUAAAUGACUGCCUUCCAGGCCACUGCAUCUGCCUCCUGAACAUGGAGUCCAUCUUUGGCAGAGAACCGGUGUCACUUGUGACUAAGUUGUGAAUAUCAGAACUUGUAGAAAGUGGUGGUGAUCGAUGAUCGACAACUGCUUCACCAUUAGAUCUUGCUGUGUAGCAUUUGCUAUCAUCUUCCGUGAUGUUAGGUCUGCCAGGGAUUCCCUUUGUUCCAUCAGGGAACUCUACACCCUCCCAGCUUUCUAGAUUCACUAGUAGGUACGAUUUCCUGUCUAUCUUCUUCUGCAAAACUUCAGCUGCCUCGUGGACUUCAAAGAGAAAAUUUGGUUUAUCCAGUUUUCUCAUUGUCUUAAUUAAAUCUCCAAGCUCGCGUAACACUUUAGCACCUUCGAUACCAACUCUCUUCAGCUCGCUGCUAAAAAUUUGUCUGCUUUCUGGUGGGGCCUGUGAUUUUUAAUCACACAAGUGGCAACACUGGUUAAAAUGAAAAUGAGAACACUUAAGACUUUUAUUAUGCACAUGCAAGUGCAUAAUACAUGUGCUUAAAAUCAAAUAAUUACAAUAAUCUGCAGGUUCCAGAUUAUCACAUUAAUUACAUAAAUAACAAAGAUAGCCUUAUACUUGCACAAAGUACCAUACCGUAUAGGACUUUAACAAGAUCCACUUCUGCAGGAAGAGAAUUCCUUUUUUUCAGGUACGAUUAGUAAAACACAGACAGAUGAGAUUUUAACAGGUAAGCGUAGUAAAGAAUAGACAGUGGAAGGUUUCUGAAGAGAAUUCCAAAGUCAUGCAUCUACAAGGAUCCUUUUAUAUCAUUAGUUGUACAGAAGAGAAUAUCCUGAGGCAGUCCAAGGAUUCUAAUAUCAACUACAAGGAUCCAUUUCUAUCAUUUAGCUAUAUUGAAGUAAAUAUUCAGAAAAAACCCAAGGAUUAUCAUAUCCUUGCUAUUUCUGAUGGUCUUCUUUCAUCUUUGUCAUUUCAAUUUGUAUUUUCUACCUAUUUGACUAACUUUUUCACCCUGAUAUGGCACGAUGACUCAUGGUGAUGAGAAAGGAUCAUUUUCUAUAUGUUGCAAAGCAAGGCAAACUAAUUUGUAGUUGAAUAUAUUCUUCAAGUGAAGAUUGAUCCAUGAUUCUAGUUUAUCAUGUAAUGAAAAUUAAGCAUAACUGCACCAAGUAUAGUAUUCCAAGGACUAAAGAAGUAGAGUUGGCCCGGAAAUAUGUACAUGACAUCUCUAACUUUUUCAAGUUUUCCAAUGAUGCAGAAAUAAGCAAUUUUACUAGCCAAGAAUUACCAAGUGUAAUGAAAAUUUUGGCACAACUUCUGAAAUUGACAAACCUAGAAGGAUCCAACUCCAACAACCAACAUGAAAGUUUCUACAUGGAUCAAGGAACAAUUCCUCAAACAAAUAACUCCCUUGAGAAAUAUAUGCUUAUUCCUUUAUGUACAUGGUGCCAGUUUUUGUUAUUGAGCAACAAUAGGAGGACAUCAAUUCAAGAUGUGGAAUUCUUUUAUGGAAAUCCCGUUGAUAUUUAUGUUCCUCCAAAAGUAGACCUUUAAAACUCUCUAAUUAUGACAUUGAUUAAGAUAAACUAAUAACUUAAAAUUAGGACUAUUAUGAAUCCAUGAUUGCAGUGUAGGUUCCUGAAUCUCUAGCCUACUAUUUGAUGUAUCUUUUUCAUUUAUCUUUUUUUUCAUAUAAUAUCAUAUCAUGCCUAUCACUCUAUUGCAUGUCUAACAGCCAAACUUGGAAGACGUUAUAUAAUAACAUGUCAUGCCAUCUAUCAUAUCAUGUGACCGCAAAAAGCUUCAUGCUGCUCUUAUUCAGAAGAAAGAAGUAUGGUAUCAUUACGGUACAAUUCACCAAAUCAACCACGAUAUAAGGAAGCUUGUGUAAAAAGUCAUGAGAACUGAGCAAUACUUGCACCCAAUGGCAGUUCCAAAUAUAGAGCUUAAUAGAGGCAGAACUCUUCAGCUGGAAAAUCCUAGUACAAAUUAUGUUUUUGUUUUUUCAAUGAGAGUGAUGCUACAUUCUAAAGCAGUAAGACAAUAAUCCUUCUUUUGAACUUUCUGCCACUUUACACAUUUUUUAUACUAUGCUUCUUAAUGCAAUUUUGCACCUUCAAGAAAAUUAGGCCUAUAAUAACCCAAUAAGGCCUAUAAUGACCCAAUAGAUCAAGACCACACCCAAAAGGCUAAGAGAGUUCUUUUCUUGCAUUGAUCCCAUAAAAGACCAGUAUUGUUCAUUUACCAAAAUUUAUGUAUGAUAAACACACACUGCAUAUAAUUUUCUGUUUAUGAUAUAAUCUGCUUGUUAGAAUUCUAAGGUUCAAUUUACAUAACAACAUCAUGAUCAGUUCAUUGUCAAUCCUAAAUGUUCAUAAUUAGUUCAUGAUCAACCACAAUAACACAUCUUCUCUUUGAUGUACCACAGUCAAAUAUGAAUGCGGAAUGGACUGGCACUCAUACCAUUCAAUGACUAGUCAUGAGCUAUUAUUCAAAUCCUAUGGCCCCACAAGCACCAAAAGCCUCUUCUGUGUACACCCAAUGGCCCGCCGACUUUAAUCAUGUAGUUUGCCAUAAGUUAUUAUAGAUCUCAAUUAGGUUUUGUUAGACUUGUACAAUUUCUUAAGACUCAUUCAUACUCUGUCUUCCAAACUGUCGACCCAAGAACAUGGUCCUAUCACUUAAUUUCCUUGCUACAUAUUGUCAGAGAGAAAUCUUGCCUUAUAUGCCACUAAGACCGUGCUACAUAAUUUCCUUGCUACUACAUAUUCUCAAUCAUCAAUCUUAUCUAUGCCACUAAGCCAUGUGGUGAGAUAAUGUUAUCCACUAUUAUUUAGGAUUCUCAUAAUCAAUGAUAGACUUAGUUAAUCAUUUUAAUAACAAAUAUUUCCCAUUUUACCUGAUUCAUAAGCGAAAACAAAUAAGAACAAACUGAAAGAGAGCUUUCAAGGAAAUCUAAUGUACUAAAUCAAACAAUGCUAGAAAAAUAACACAAAAAAAGCAUCCUACCUGAAUCUCUGAUAGUAUACAACCAUGUAGUGCCAUAACCAUGAAGGCACAGUGCCUGAGCGAACCACUAACUUUAACAUAGCACUUCCAGGGAUAAUUCCACAUUUUGUAAGGACCAUGUGGUGGCUCCCAGAUAGCAAAACCUAACUAUGAUAAAACAUGGAAAAAAAAAUUACUUAUAGAAAAUACUCAUCUUCCAUUCAACCAAUGACAGAUUUCAGGAAUGCAUAGAAGUUCAAAAAGAUACAUACAAGAGCAUCCUCUUGACUUGUUGAUUGUACAGCAGAUCGAUACCCACUGUACAGAGGAUCAUCAUAAGCCUGGUAAGUAAGAAUUUUUGAAGGAACCCUUUCAUAUUCAACGCAUUGAAGGUAUCCAUUGACACAACCUACAGAAAUAGCAACAGGAUCAGCUGAUAAGUGUUAUGGUUCUACCAAUGAAGGAUUUUAAUUUCAGUCCAACACCAAUUUCCGUAACCUACUAGAGUUGUGUGAUAUCAAUAUAUACCGAGUAGUAUACCAUUCUGUACUGCCAAAUUUCAUUAAAUAACAUAACAAAAAAAAAGAAUAGUAUUGUACCAAUACCAAGAUAUAUGUUUCAGGAAAGGUACUUGGUUGGACUGGUAAAUACUGGUGGGUAUGUAUCAGUCCAUCUGGUAUUAAAACCUUGCUUCCAAUAUUAGACUAAUCCAGUUAUAACUUCAGAUUACUCUGCCAACUGAAGAUUACAUUUCACUUUCUGCCUAACUCUCUGUAGGCAGAAAAAAAUUGUAGUAAAAAAAUUGCAAAAGUCUUAUGUUCAAAAUUUUGAAUCAAUUAUUUGACAAUGAGUUCAAGUACCAUUGUGCAAAAUGUACCGAUUAUCAAACUAUUGGAAACAGAUUACAUUGCUAUAGUUGUCGAGCCUGGUCCAAGUCAUGAGCACCAAGAUGUUUCAAAACUUCAAAUCAGAUACCAUGUGAAAUGAUAGGAUGAAGCGUAUUCAUAUAAUAAUUACCUUCCAAAGACUUAGCUAGACCUGUGAAGUUCUUUGCUACCAGGUUGUGCAGAUCCUCUCCUGCCCAGAUUGGAUAAAUGCAAAUAUUUAUUCCCAAACCAACACCAGCUCCAAGAGCAAUUAAUAGAAACCGGCUCACUGCAGUCUCAAUAAAUGCCCUUGUCCUAUAUCCGGACACCAUUAUGAAACAAAAUGUGAGCAAAAAGACUCGAAAGCCAUAUUCAUAAGGCUUCAUUGUCGGGUAGAGCUUUAUGAAGCUUGCAAAAAAUCCUGCAUCGGUGAUGGAUGAGAAAUGAAAAAAAAGGAAAAAGUCAGUCCUACAUAAUGCAAAAUACUCAACGAUGAAAGCAAGAGACAGGUGUUAUGCAUCUCACCAGCAACAAAGAUGCUAAUAACUACAGUUACUUCCUCCAAAUCUCCGGUGAGUAUUGCUAGUUCUGCAACACCUAGAGCAAGGCCUCCGGCAAGUAAUGUUCCUAAACCCCGAUUAAGCCCUUUGCUUAGAGUGGCACCUGCAUGAUGCAGACUUGGAUACUCAGUCUGGAUUAAGUAUGCAUGGGGCAAGAAUUUAAAAGGAACUAGUAGGAAAAUUCAUUAAUGGGCCUAUGAUCUGCUCACUCAGAAAUUCUCACAAGCAGAUAAAAGACUAAUUACAACUUCUUUAUCUUAUAGCGGUCAAACAGCUCCAAUAAUGUUCCAUCAGUCUUCACACUUUCUCUAAAGAAUGUGUUACAAAUGUAGAAUCGACUCUGUUGACCAUGAUGAAUGACCGUUAUAAAUUAAUUUACAAAGUCAGCUCACUUUUUAUAAACAUGAAGAAGACUAAUUGGCAUGUCCAUUAAUCCAAGGUUUAUUCCACCAGAAAACGAAACCUCCAAGAUCUUAUACUAUACAUGAGGGAAUCCACAUGACAAAGCAUGAAGAAGACAGUAUCUGAUAUAAGGAAGCGCAUUCAUCUUCAAAGCACAGAUAAGCAAUCAAACUGCGAUUUAAGGCAUUUUUAGUGUCUCGGAAAAUAAAUUUGCACGAAGAAAAAUAGACGACAUGAAGAUCUCAUCGAUCAUUCAAGUUCCCACCCACCCCACCUAUGCUGAACUCGAAGACCACGACGACGGUGAGGAUGGCCCAGACGGAGUACUUGGUGAGGUCCCGGAAGGGCUCCCGGAGGAAGAUAAGGAGGGAGAUGAGGGUGAGGGCGAGGCCCAUCUUGGCGGCGAACACCACCUUCCGUGGGUCCGACCGCCCGAACUCCCAGCCCUCGACGGCCAACCACCGGAUGAAGGCCCACGCGGCGGCGAUCCGAUCGGCCAGGCGGCGGAAGCAGCCUCCCUGCCGGGUGGAGGGGUCAUCGUAGAGGUGGGGGAGGAGGGUGGAGGAGAGGAGCCGUUCCUUGCUCCGCUGCUCGAAGUUGUAAUGGAAGGAUCCCAGUUUAGGGGCCAUUUGGUGGUGCGUAUGGAGUUCUCGGUUACUUGCGGUGGCGAGAGAGAGAUAGAGAGAGAGAGAGAGAGAAGCUUUUAGGCUUUUCAACGUCAAGGAGGAGUGGGUCGACGCGAAGGCUGAUCACAUUCCACCAACUAUAAAUGGCGAAUUUAUGGGGAAAAAACUGUUUUUAGCUUUUUCCUCAUAAAGGUACCUAAUUUUUCGAAUUUUUUAAUUUUUUUUCCUAAUACCUGCUACUUAUUAUUAUUUGACAAUCUACCCAUUUUUGCUCUUUUUCUUUUUUUUUUUUGGGAUGGAUUGAACCCCUACGAUAAAUCUAUCCUUUUAUAAUAUUUUUAUAUUAUAUUUAUAUAAAAAUAUUAUACUUGAAUCGGUUCAUUUUAUACCUCCAUCCAUAGGAAACGAAAAUAAAAAGAGAUUGAUGGAUUGAUAUUUUAGAUAUUAAACAAAAAAUACAUUAUAUUUUCUGAGAAAAACUCAAAAAUUGAUCUUUUUCGAAAAUUCAGCCAACUACAGUUAGGAUCUAUCAAUAUUUACAUUUAUACCCCUAUAUAUAUAUAUAUAUAUAUAUAUAUAUAUAUAUAUAUAUAUAUAUAUAUAUAUAUAUAUCGCCUCAAAUUACUUCAAAAGUAGGACUGCUAAUGAUCGAAAAAAUCUCAUAUUCUAAAUGUAUAUUAAAUUGUCUUGCCUUUAAUUUUAUGUAUUAAAUUAAUUUAAAUCAAACGAAUCCAUUAUUCUUUAGUAGUAGUGCAUCCAUGCAAGUGUAAAUACGUAAAUUUAGAAUUUGUGGGGUAUUUAGUAAAAUAAUUAUAUGUAGAGGGGCUAUAUGGUAAGAAAACUCAACAUACGAGCCGCCCAAACCAACAUUUCUUAAUAGCGCACGAGAUACACGAGGGGGUUUCAUCGUCAUUUCAGUUUCAUUUUGUGCGGUGCCGGCAUGCCUCCGAAACAUGUGGUUGGAAAUGAUUUCCAUUCUCAACCGAGAAAAGUUGACAUUUCUUUUCUGACUGUUCCCUUUAUUGGACACUCCAUCAAUUGCGGAGAGCGACGGAUGUCAUCAGAUUAAUUAUCAAAACUAAUUUGAAUAUAUAUAUAUAUAUAUAUAUAUAUAUAUAUCUAUAAUUGGUCAGAUAUAGGCUUGUUAUGAAAAUAAUGGUUUCCCUAUCGGCCGUUUGGCUUUUCGAUACAAAGAAGGGUUGUCAACCCCGUGCUUGUGUAAUCUGCAACGACACUAACAAACGUUCUAUAUAAUGUACGAUUUUUAGUUUCUAAUAAGAUGACAUAUAGCUAACUGUUUCACAAAUUUACUAAUUAAUUUUUUAUUUUUAUAAUCAUUUAAAAAGUAAUCAUGGAUGACACUACCAUUGUGUGAAGGCGUUCUUAUCCAAAAAUUUGAAUACAUGUAUUAUUUUUUUUGUCAUGUACAUUUUUAAUUUUAUUCUAUUAUUCUUUUAUCCAAUCAAUUAAUUAAUUAAUCAUAUGGUGGCCUACCAUCUUUGAUGAUGAUGAUUGCUUUGCUUAGAAGAUUGAUUUAGCAUUCUUAAGAUGCAGUCAGUGUGUUAGAGAUCAAACAAUCAUAAUCUGUCUUUGUGUUAAGGAGUAGGUCUACAUGUAACCUUUGUUCUGAGCAGUAGUAGGCCACCCUUGUUUAAGAAUUCUUUUUUUCCUGAGAAGCAUUUUCAUUUUUAAAAUUCUGGAAUAUAUAUAUUUUUUUUUUCUUAUAAAUCAAUCAUAAAGUGAAUCAAUAUCGUAUAAUAUUUUUUAUAUUAUAUUAUAUUUUUUACAAAACAUUUAGGUAUUUUUAAUAAUAUUAUAACAUAGUAUAUAAACACUAUUACACAAUACCUUUGUACUAUAUUAUAAUAUUUUUUAUAUUACUGGAUUGAUUCAUCAUGUGCAUUGAUCGCUAAGAAAAAAGAUAGACGAUUGGGGUAUUUUUAUUUAUUAGAAAAAAAUAAAAAAGGAGCGUUUAUGAAAAAAGACUCAAAAAAUAAUUUUUUUGCUAAUGGAUAUUUAUAGGUCAAUGUAAAAAUAUUAUAUAUUUUUAGUAAUAAGCAAAAAUAUUUAAUAUAAUAAUUUAAUAUAAUUUUUAUUAGAAAUCUUAUUUUUAUAGUACUUUUACACAACGUUAACGUAUCUUUAAUUAUAAUAUUUUUUCCUAAUAUUAUAAUAUAAUAUUUUUAUUUUAAAUAAUAUUAAGAAAGAUAUUGUAACAUAGUAUAUAAACACUAGUACACAGUAUCUUUGUACUAUAUUAUAAUAUUUUUUUGAUAUUACCUAUUGUAGUUAAAAAUAUUAUAAUUGGAUUGAUUCACGAUUGAUCCAUAAGAAAAAAUAGAUGUUUCGGAUAUUCUACUUAUUAAAAAAAUAAAAUUUUAAAAAUAAGGAGCGUUUCAGAAAAAAAAAUCAAAAGAUAAUUGUUUUGUGAAUGAAUAUUUAAAGGUCAAUGUAAAAAUGUUAUAUAAUUUUAGUAAUAGCAAAAAUAUUAUAAUAUAAGAAUUUUAUAUAUUUUUUUAUAAAAAAUAUUAUUUUUAUAGUAUUUUUAAUUAUAUUAAAAAAAAUACUAAAGUAGUACAACAAUAUUAUAAUACAAUAUUUUUUAUUUUUAAAUAAUAUUAUAAAAAUAUUAUAACAUGGUAUAUAAACACUAUUACACAGUAUCUUUGUACUUACUCAAUUAUAAUAUUUUUUGAUAUUAAUUAAUGUAGUGUAAAAAUAUUAUAAUCGAAUAGAUUCGCUGUUAAUCCAUAAGAAAAAAAAAAGAUGAUUGGGAUAUUCUAAUUAUUAAAAAAAUAAAAUUUAAAAAAUGAGGAGCAUUUCUGAAAAGAAAUCAAAAAAGAAAUUUUUUUGUUAAUCAAUUUAAGUCAUUAAUCUUGUUGAUCAAUUUAAGUUAUUAUGUUAAACUAAAUUGGGAUAUCGCACCCGAAUCAUAAAUAUUAGCCUAAGCUGAAAUGAGCACCACAAAUUCUUCUGAAAAAGAAAGAAAAAGCCAAUUUUUCGAAUAAUUUCUUCAAUUAAUUGUGUUUUUCUAUUCUCAUUUUAUGAGGAAACGAUUUCGCUUCACUUCUCCGCGACAUGUGAUUCACGUGAGCCGCUGGAUAUGCAGGCUUCACUUUCAUCCGCCGUCCAUUUCCGAUGGCGAACGCGUGCGAGUCCCAUCUUAAAUCUCAUCCGUUGAUUCCCUACCCGCGCAAACGUCACCAGAAGUAACACCCGUUCGUUCCAUCCCAUCCCACCAUCGCAAACCGCAUCCAUCUCGGGGUGCUCUCUUUCGUCGUGUACCCACGGCAGCGAGCGGCGAGGGGAAGCAGCGAUGUCGGCGGCGACGGCAACCAUCGCUCCCGCCGCCUUCUUGUCCCGUUCCUCGUCCCUCCUCGCAUCCACCGCCGCCGUCCGCCUCCGCUCAUCCCGGCGCUGCUUUCGUGUGCUCCCCGUCCGCGCCUCGUCCCCCUCGGAGCCCCCUUUUGAGGUCUGCGUCAAGGCGUCCAUCACCGUCCCCAACCGACUUGGCGAUUGUAAAGCCUCUCGAUCUCAUCUCUCUACUUCCCCCACUCUCAUGAAUGAGUCCUUUAUAAUGUUCUGGUGGAACUAAUUGGAACUAUGUACUAGACAUGUUUGUCUAAUUGUCGGUGGUUUUCAGCAUGGAUGUUUGCUAGAAUUAGACCAUUCGUAAUGUCUGUUCAGGUCCUUUCUCGCAAAGGGUUCUCUUGACCCUCGAGGAGAAGCGUUUAUCGUAUGACAUGAAAUUGGUCGAUCUGGGAAACAAGCCAGAAUGGUAAAUCUUUAAUUCUUGUUCUGGUAAAGGAGGAGCAAAAUGCAAGGGAUGGGAUGGAUUCAUCUCAUGAUAUGUUUGGUUACCAUUUACUGCUCUAGGUUUCUGCAAAUAAGCCCUGAAGGAAAAGUUCCUGUCAUUAAGCUUGAUGAGAAGUGGAUUGCUGAUUCAGACAUUAUUACAAAAUCAUUGGAAGAAAAAUACCCUGUUCCGUCUUUAGAGACGCCUCCAGAGAAGGCUUCAGCGUAUGGAUUUCACUUUUUUUUUUUUUUAAUUUGUCAUCGGAUUGGUAUUUAGUGAAAGAUUAGAUACAGUUUUCUCUCUCUUUUUUUGUUGGUUCAAUUAUUUUAUAUUAAUUCAUAACUCUUUGCAGUAUUUUAUUGGACAGAAAGCAUGCCUAAGUCAUUUAAUUAUAAGCUAUCACCUAGUGUUCCCAACAAUUUUGAGAGUAUCAUGCUUGUUUGAUGGUUAUCUCAAAUAGAAAUCCAGAUUAGUCAUCUAAGAGUUCCUCCGUGCUACCUAUGUAAACAAUGGAGUUAUACCAGGAACAGGUGUUCUAUGUACAUGAUAAUUAGUGAUUGAAAAAUAGGCAUAGAAUACUGUUAUAAUUGUUACCGACUCCUUGUCACUUUUCUACAAACUCAAGAAAAGGGAGAAAGAACUUUUGGAAUGUGUGCAAUCAAGAGCCUAGUGCUAGUGUAGAAAGUAGCUUCUGCAGUUCACUUUUUUUAUGCUUUAAUGAUCUGUUGGAUAUACCAACUUUUGUGAUCAAGGGACAUCUUUGAUAGUGUCAUCAUGUAAUAUGUUCUCUUGAUUCUUGAGAUGAUGUGAUCCAUUACUAACAAGUCCUUUGGCUCAUUACUGAAUGGGUUAUGUUGAGGAGUUCAUCAAUGACACUAAACCGUUUUAGUGGUUCUGAGACAGUUACCAUGAUGAUGUAAAAUCAUGACAUUUGAAUUUCUUAGGUAGCUUUUUAAUUAUCAUAGUGCUAUUUUACGAGUUUAUCACUCUUGCCAGUUCUUGCAGGAAUGAGGUAAUUUAUCACAUUUUGAAUCAUAAAUAUAACACAUAGGAGACCUGUACUAAUACCCUUACAUCAAGAAUUUAUUUUCAUAAUAAUCUUGUUGUAAGUCUUUUAAUCUAUCUUUUGAUCACUCACUGAGGUGUCUGGAAUAUUGUCUAGAAAUUUCUACAAAUUGUGGUAACUUGUAACUACACUAUUUUGGAGUAUAAGACAGCAACCGAUGAACUGAUUUACCUAAUCCAGAUCCAGUAUUAUCAAUCUCCUUACUUUUUUCCCUAUCUAUUUACUUUCUGUGAACAACUUUUAUUUACAUUUGAUAAUUUUUUUUUACCUCUUUUUAAUUUGAUAUGACAAUAACAUGACUCUUGUAGUGGUUCAAAAAUCUUCUCAACUUUUAUUGGUUUCUUAAAAAGCAAAGAUCCUAAUGAUGGCACAGAACAAGCCUUGCUUGAUGAGCUGACUUCGUUUAAUGAAUACCUAAAGGACAAUGUAAGUUUGUCUUGUCAUUUUGUUUUGAAAAAAAAAAAAUUAUUCAUACUACUUUCUGGUCAUGCAUUUACUGCCUUUAUUUUUUGAACUGUCUACUGCAUUUAGAAUUGUGUGCUACAUGUAUUUAGGGCAGCUUUUUGACAUAUUCAUGUCCUGUUUUGUUGUUAAAACCUGUUUUUUUUGUUAAUGCUGUUUAAAUAUAACUUUUGUUGAAGACAAAUGCCUACAGUUUCUUCUUUAUGUUUUAUUUAAUGAUUUUAUCUAUCCCUAUUUACUUGUAUUAUGUUUUGUUUUAUCUUUGAAAGUUGCAUGUGUGCAGGUGGUAUGGUUCUGAUUGUAUUAUUGUCAUCGAAUGUGAAAAAAAAAUGAAGGCCAAGACAUUAGACCAGCAAAGCAGUGUGAUCUGCAUGUCCUUGUUUUUUCCACCAUAGUUUGCUUUCUUGCUGAAACUUGUUAAUCAAAUUUGAUAUUAAAUGCUUGAUUUGACUGAUAGAGUCAGGAACACCAUUUGCUAAUUUGAAAAUAUACCCAUCCCAUUUAUUUUAUUAUUGUUAGCAAUGAUGGAUAAUAAAGACUUGUUUGAUACUUCAAUGACUUUUUCUUCUUACAUUCAAUAAUUAAACCAAGAAGUUACAGAUUAGAAGUCUGUCAGACUUAUGAUAUUUUUAGCUCUUUAACAUUUUUACGUCGAUUGAUUUGAACAAAUAAAGCAGAUGCCAAGUUCUACUUGUUCGCCAUCAUGGAAUUUUUUUGGCUAGACAUUUUUUGUGAAUUGUAUACUUGAUUAUCCUCUUUGGGAUUGACUUGAGAAUUCAUUGUGCAAUAUACAACAGUAAGUUUCAUGUGGAUAGCCAUCUAGUUCUUGUUCAUUUCUGAUUUCAAUGAUUGAAUUUUUGGUAGUGGUUACAACUAAAUUAUGAAAUUUAAAAGUUGGUUUGUUCGUUUUCUUUGUCAGGGGCCUUUUGUGAAUGGUGACAGUAUAUCUGCUGCUGAUUUAUCCCUUGGGCCUAAGCUUUAUCAUAUGGAGAUUGCCCUAGGUCACUAUAAGAACUGGUCAGUUCCAGAAUCACUUGCAUAUGUGAGGAACUACAUGAAGGUAUGUAAAAUAAUCUUGAAUUUUCUGGGUUUUUUAGAUAUUUUGUGAUUAUAUGGUUAAUCAAUCCGUUAUGAAUAUUAUGACAAACUUUAUUACUGCACUUUCAAUACUUUGUUUACUCUAAUAUAUUUGGUAAAAUGUAUGAGGCCUAAUUUAUAUUAUAUUUCAGUUGAUGAUUAAUCAUUUUAUGUUCUUCAUGGGAUAUCCUAUGUCCAAAAAAGCAGACAAGAAUAUUUUACAACAUUUCUCUGCUUUCCUAAAUGCGAUACAUGUGGGCAAACCAUUUUCAUCAUUUAAUCAAAUGCCUUUCCACUUUAUUAUGGAGACUUGUUUGUAGACAGUUAUUGAUGGAGGAUUAUGAUAGAGACAAAUCUGGAAUAACAAUUUUGCAUUCCUUGCAUGUUUCAAUCCUCAAUCAAUCUAUGAUAUGAGGAUCAAGCACCACAUGAUUUGAGCGCAUGAUUGAGGGAAACCUCUCCCUCAAAUUUGUAUAAAUACACAUUACCUCAUUGAAUGAAUUCAUUGAACAUUAUAGCAAAUUCUUUAGCUAUCUUCAGAGGACAACCAAGAGUCGGAAGCAAUUAUGGAUGAAAAUUGUGGAAAGUAUUGGAGAAUACUCACUAACUGAUUUCUAGCUUCUGUUUUAGAAAAGUAUAUAGAUAAUUGGCGAUAUUCUGGUUGGAUUUUCAUAUCAUCUUGCUUCUCUUGUGAAUAGAGAAUUUCUCUGCAUUGUUGCUAGAAUUUUGUUAAAUCACAAGUUAUGUCAUUGUGUACGAGCAGAUUUUUGAUAUUUUGUUUCUGUCGUCAUGUCGGUACUACGUUGAGUGAUCUACACUUUUUAGCUGAUUUCAUCCCUAUCACGAGUGAUAGUUCUUCAUACUUCACUUGCUUGCUUCCGUUAGACUUUUACCUCAUGAUGCAUGUCUACCUUUUCUUAAAGCAUGAAUCUUAGGUUAUAUACAAUCUAUGGCAAGUUGAUAUAUCCAUUAAGAAAGAAGUGAUCUUUUUCUCUUUUGGUCUUUUCUUUCGCCUUCCUACUAAUGCAAGUUGUUGGUGUUGCAGUCGAUUUUCUCCAUGGAUUCAUUCGUCAAGACUCGGGCACUCCCAGAGGAUGUCAUUGCUGGAUGGCGUCCAAAAGUCAUCGGUUAAACCAUUUAACAACCAUCAUAUAUUUCUGCUUGCUUUUAGCAUGGCACCACAUGAAAUGCUAAUCAAAUUUUGGCUUCAGUUUUUAACAUGAUUACUAUAAUCAGUCUGUUGCUAAUUCGUAGAAAGGCUUAUGUAUCUUCAGAUUUACCAAGCUUUGGGUUUCUUUUAUAUUUAUAAGUGAGGUAAAAGCCUAUAUCUGGUUUCAUAGGCUAAUCUGUAAGAGGUCCAGUAAGAAAAGGGUGAUCACAUGCUCCACUUGAGAAAUCCUUAUUGAAGUUCCAAUUUGCAUAUUGAAUACGUUUAUCAAUAUCAAUGAUCUUUAGAUGACACUUCCAAGAGUAUUUAAAGAGAACAAUACUUGACUGGGGCCUUUAACCCAUAUAAACAUUUUUCUUCCUUGCACCUCAUGCCCUUUCUUGAGCUCAUCUUUUUUUUUAUGGAGAUAAUUUUAGAUCAUAUAAAACUAAACUAAUAUUAAAGGGUAAUAUGAUGAUAUCGUGGCCGACAUAUGUCACUUAAUAUAUUCUUUAAGUUUUUUUUUUUCCUCUCAUGUUUAUUGUCAUCAUCGUCUUGUCUUCUCCUUUCGACUUCUCUCUCACAUCCUUCUCUCGUCGUGCUUCCGUUACUACGAUAUCGAUGUCUUUUCUAAUACCAACCCACAACCACCCACCCCUUUAAUACUCUUUUUUGCUACCAAAAUAUAUCAUAGUUGGCGAGCUUACCAUCUGAUCCUUAACAUAUCAUGAAGUUAAGACCGCAAAAUAGCUCCUUGGGCACCGUUAACCCUGCUUUAUUUUUGUAUUCGAUUCACGAAAUGGAGAUUCACUCAAUCUAAAAUCAAUUUAUACACUAGAUGAAAUCCAUUUCAUAGUGUUAGUGCUCCUUAUAGUUGCCCUAUCAGCGGUGUUAAAGGCUGGGGGUACAACUUGAUCCAGUAAUAUGUGUCUAAGCAUAGCUGAAGUGUUAUUUAAUAUAAUAAAAAUAUUUUUUUAAUAAAAAAAAUCUCGAUCGAGCCAGUGCAAGUCGUCUCCUCGGGCUAGAGUGUCCGACUUGCAAGAAGUUGUACAGGGUGUUCUUUGAUACGAACCUUUCUACGCUUUCAAAGAGUCGAAUAACAAAUAUUGCAAGAGAAUUCGUUUGCUCUUGGUAUUUUUGAAGGUAUUAUUUUUCACAUGCGAGUAUAAUUGGCGAUGCGGCAAUUGGUCAUGUUUCGUGCGAUGUCGUGGUGGCCACCCACGUGUUGCAAAUUAGCCCCAACAUGAAAGCUGAUGUGGUGUAUGUUUGAGUGACUUGUGUCAAUCCAUGUCCACGUGGAUAGUAAAGUGUCGGAUACAUACAGCACAUAGAAACAAGGAUAACACAUAAUUUGUUCUCCUAUUAUUCCUGUAUACUCCUUCACAUCUUUCACACCUUCGACACGCAUACAUAGCCCACCGCGAAAGCAUCGUGCACGAUAUGUUCUAGACAUCGUACGAUUAGCGUGCGCAAUAUUUAAAGCACCUCGUAAUCGUAUGAGUACGACUUAACACGUUAGAAAGAAUGAAGAACUCACAUAAACUCACAUUUUAUAUAAUGGUUACAAUUCAUCGAUUGCCCGAGAAGACGCUAUAACAAUCCGCUCCGAUAAGGCAAGGGGUGUUUGUGUUAGAUUACGUGGCUCUAUAUAAUAAGAUAAAAUAUAUAUAAUAGAACUAAUUAAAUUUUAUAAUAUAUAUUAGUUAAUAAAAAAAAGUUUAUAUCAUAGUAGGAUUCUUUAGGGGAUGUUUUUGAUAGGAAGAACUCUCCCAAUAAUUUAUCCUAGACCCCUUGCAUUACAUAUAGCAUAUAACAGUUUUAUACUAAUAAUUGGUAUCAGAGCUUAAGUUUUUGAAAUCAAAUAUCUUAGAUAUAUUGUUUUCUGAUUUACAUUAUUCGAAUGAUCCAUAUUUUAUCGAUCUAAAUUUCUAUCUAUUUUGUCUUGUCGUCUACUUGCAAGCAAUGAUCUAUUUUUCUAUUUGAUUUGUCCUAUCAUUUGAUUACGAUCGAUGGGUUUCCUAGUAAAUAAAUUAUAUAACUUAUUUUAAGUUAUAGAAUGAUAAGAAACCUAACUUAAGAUAUUUAUAUAUUUAGAAUUAUCCUAUAGAGAAAAGGAUCUUCAUCUGACAUAAAAGAAAAUUAGAUUUACUAACUAUUUUUAAAUAUUUUAUUAUUUAUUCAGAAAGGUUCAAAGGGGUAUAUAUCUUAUUGUCCUAAUUAUGGUAUGAGAUAUAGAUUGAUACUCCUUUAUUAUUCAAGAGAUUGUUAUUACUCAAAUUAUUAAAUAAUUUGAUAAAAGUUAAUAAUAAAUUAAUAUUACUAAACUCCCAUAUUAUAUUGAUAUCGCUAUUAAUGAUUUGUAGAAUAACAAUAAUUGAUAGUCUUAGGAAUAUCUUAAAAAGAAAAAGAAAUCCUAUCAUUUAUGGUUAUUAUAUGCUAUUUCUACAGGAAUUAUACUAUGAUAUAGGAAUCAGAAUGAUUCCUCAUUGUUUUCACAUGUCAUAAAAAAUAAUGACUUUGAAAAGUAAUAUGAUGUAAUAAAAAAGAGUUAAAAUCAAUAACCAGAAUAGUGUACGAUGAAUUCGUUGAAUUGUUCAAUAAUUAUAAAAGAAUCUAUUAUAUAAAUAUGAUUUAAAGGAUAAUAUCGAACGAUAUAAUAAUCAAAAUUAUGAUUAAAAAUUUUACUCAUAAAGAAUAUAUCAGUCAAAAUAUUUAGUUUUUAAAUGAACUCAUUAAAAAUCAUCAUCACAUUAAUGACUCGUUAUGAGUUUGAGUUACGAUAUAAAAAUAAUUUUUGAUUAAGGAUUUAUGGGUUGCUCUAAACAAUUUACAGAGAAUAUAAAGAUAAUGAUCUUAAACAAGCUUCAAGAUAAUGAUAUAUAAACGUUCUUGACAUCAUUACUUUUUUUCUUCAUAUUUAAAAAAAAUACUAUUGAUCGAUAUUUAUAUCAAUAGGAGUAAGUUUAUUAUAUUAGUCUUAUAUAUGGAUAAUAUUUUAUUUACCAAUAGUGAUAUUGGUUUAUUAUACUAAAUUAAAAAAUUUGUCACAAAGAAUUUUAAGAUGAUUGAUAUGAAUGAGACAUCUUAUUAUUAUUGAAUUAUUUAAGGAUAGAUCUCAAUGAUUAUUAAGACUAUCUCACUUAAAAAAAAAAAGGCUAUCUCAGAAAAGAAUAUAUUAACCAAGUCUUAAAAAGAUUUAAUAUACAGAUUUGUUCAAUAAAUAUAAAAUUUUAGUCAAAAGUAAAUGUUUUAAAAUAAUUUAAAAAGAAUCAAAGAAAGAAAAUAUUCUUUAUAUAUACACAGUUAGAAGUCUAUGCUCAAGCUUAUCGGAAUAGAUAUCAGUUUUGUAGUUAAAAUAUUAGGUAUAUAUUGGAGUUACCUAAAAGUAAAAAUACUAAAGAACCGCAAAGAAAGUAAUAAGAUAUCUAGAAAUGACAAAGGAUUAAAUACUCACAUAUAUGAAAUUAUAUCAACUUGAAAUGAUGGUAUUUUUCAAAUAUUGAUUUUAUAAAUUACCGCCAUAAUAAGAAGUUCACCUUGUGAAUAAUAUCUAUAUCAAUUAGAGAGGUAAUUUAUUAUUAUAUUAUUAAUAAUAAAAGUUGAUUUGUUAGCAUGAGCCAUUGAUUAAACUUUAUGACUGCAAAAUUUUAUCUCAGGCCUCAAUGUGGUCAGACUCAAUUACUAAAUCACUAAAGAUAUUUUGUGACAUCGUAGUUGUUUUCUUCUCUAAGAUAAGUAUUAUUGCAUCUCUAUGCAUUAUUAUAUAAAGUACUUAGAUGGUUAGAGAAGAGGAGUCCAGAAAUAUCCAAUAUCAAUUAAUUACUUGAGUUAUAUUGUAUUGGUUGUUGAUUAAUUCACUUACGACUUAUAGCCUAAAGUGUUUUGAAAGAACAUGUUCUUAUGAUUGAGUUUAUGAGCAACUCAUAAAGGAUAUGAUGAUGUAUGUUUUAGUGGACACUAUAAUUGAUAUUCGUACUUAAAAUUAUUUGUUUCUAGUAUCUUAUUCAUAAUUAUGUAUAUAUAUAUAUAUAUAUAUAUAUAUAUAUAUAUAUAUAUAAUGGUUGAAUGUGAAGAUAUGAUUAUAGACAAAUUAUAAAAAUCAUUUUGGACUGUAUUAGGAAAGAGUAAUAGUGUUGUGAUAUAUAGAAUGAAGUAUGAUACUGAUGAUAUACAACCGUUAUGACUCAUAUUAUUAGUCAGACUUAAUGUACUAUUAUUGUAUUUAUUGGACUUAUUAGCCUAUUUUUAAAAUUUACGCGUGUAGAUAGUUUUUUAAAAUUUUAAACUCUCAAUGGGUAAAAUUAUUUUCAAAUAAAUUUUGUUUAUUUAUUUUUGAUUUUAAGUCUUCAUGUAUCGUAUCAAUUAAUGGGCCAAAUGGGAGAAUGUUAGAUUAUGCAACUCUAUAUAAUUGGAUAAGAUAUAUAAUAGAAUUAAUUGGAUUACAAAUAUUUGAUGAAUAGAAAAGAAAUUCAUAUUAUAGUAGAAUUCCUUAGGAGAUUCUCUUGGUGGGAGGAACUCUCCUAAUAACUUAUCCUAGAUCCUCUGUUCUCGCUUAUAAAUAGACAGAACCUCUAAGGGAAGCAAUAUAUAGUUAAGAAUCCAUCAAUCUAAGUGGUCCUGUGAAAGAAUAGAAAGCGACAAGAAGGAGAGUCUAGUUCUCCUUACAGAUUGACAACAAAUUUUGAAUCUAAAGACUAGAUCUUUACAUAUUACACAAAGAUCCUUUUCGGAUAGCAUCAAAAAUACAUAUCAUAAAAACCAAUCUAAUAUUAUUUAAUUUUAAUCCUAGCAUAAAUUUUUUUUUGCAUUACAUAUAACAGUUUUUUGAUCGUAGAUUCUCCAUGGCUCAUUGAACAGAGGAUGAUAUAUAUGAUCAACUACAUUUAAGUUCAAAUAAAUUGUGGAGCAGUCAGGAUUCAUUACUCUCCUGUUACUGAUAGAAAGGAAAGCAGACCAAAUAUUAAGAAAAGUACGCCGCUGGAGAGUGCAACCUAUGAAAUCGGAUUAAAGUAUUGCAUCAACUCCAACGAUAGUGUUGUGUUUUGUAACUUUCAGGAAUAAUGGAAAAGAGAGGACAGCUGCUUACCAUUUUUUCUGAUAUCUGGGACGCCAAGCUCUUUCCUCCGAGGACUGCUGCUGUGGUGCAGAAUGCUUGUCCGCUGCAUCAAAAUAAACGAAGCAAAUCCACACUGAGCCGUUAGGCUGAAUGAAUGAAAUGAACCCACAUAUAAUGAGAAUUGAGGAAUGGAUGCCAUACACGAUGCCCCCGAGAACCACACCAAAUGGGUUUUCAUCAGAGGCCAACCCGAUUGUAGCUAUCUGAGAAAUACAAAUGGCUGAAUUGAGUAACCAUACCCAGUCAAUGCGAGGAAAAGAUUAAUCACAUUUAACCACGAGUUACCUGGCUCUUGUCACCCCACUCGCCGAAGAAAGUGAUGGAGAAUGCCUGGGUUAUCAAAGUGGCAGGACGGUUCGCAUGACAAAACAAUACAUUUUUUUUAUUAAUUUAGUCUUUUAACUAAAACAAUUACCUUUAGGAAGACGGGCGAGAAGAACUGAGUUAGAAAUGGCCUCUGUUGUUUCUUUAAGUCUUCCCUCACCUGAUUAUGGCAAAAGCAUUUACAUUAUAAUCUCUUCCAGGCAACAGCUUAAAACACUGGAAUCUAGUAAUAGGGGAAAUUGACUGUUGUGUUUAUCUGAUUUUGUCAAUUUCGUAAAAUGGAGAUGCCUUGGCACUUAGGAAUCAAGUAGUCUCGGUAAUUUCUCAAUGUGUUAUGUUCAGAGUUCUUAAUUGAGAUUAACUUGGAAUUCUUGUAAAAUCAUAUUUGAUAAAUAUGAAACAAUUACACUAAAACUAACUAAUAUAUUCACACUGUACAAGGACAUCUGUCAGCAUCAAAAUUGCAGAAGAACCUUAGACACCCAUUGUAUCAAGAAGCCAUUAGUUGUACAUGGUGGUCACAGAUUCAUGUUAAGUAAUUCGAGAUCAGAAAAAAUAAAAUUCUCCUUAAGGGUUCAGUAAACUCUAUGUACUGAUGAAAUAUUGUUAGAAUAAUUUUUUUUAACUUUUGCAGACAAUAUUAAAUGUAUGGAAAAAUAACUAGGACUAGAAACGUCUUGAAAUAACCGUAUGUUUGGCCAUAAACAAACUGAAAUUGUGCCUUCUAAAAUAUUUGAUUGAACGCUGCAAUUGCUAUUUGAGAAGAACAUGGCCAGCAAAGUAGCACAGGCAUAGUUCAACAAUAGCAAGUGAAUUGACUUGAUUAAAAAUUAUGUAAAUGAUAAGAUGACAAAGAAGGAAAGAAGAAAGCCAACAGAUCUUGGCCAAAUCAAAAGGUUUAAAAUCUUGGGCACCAGAUCUGUACCUAUCACUAGCCGGACUAGUACAGGUCCAGUUCAUAUUGGCAUAUUGACAAAUGGUAUAUUAGUAUAUGAUGCAGUAACUCCCUGGUCAUAGCAUACGUAAUAAUAUUUUUAUUGUAUAAGAAACUACUUACACCAUGUAUUCUUCCAAAGGUAAAAACCCUCUUGUCAUAGUUAAACUAGAUCUUGAAAAAGGGUUUGAUAGAUUAUCUUGGACUGCAAUUUUAAAAACUUUAUCCUCCAUGAAUUUUCCUCUAAAUUUUUAGAUUAGAUUCAAGCUUGCAUUUCUUUACUGAGCUUUAUUUGUCUUAUUAAUGGUGAAAUCUCUUCAUCUUUUUCUGGCCACUGUGGGGUUCGACAAGGUGACCCCUUGUCACCGUAUCUAUAUAUUCUUGCUCAAAUUUUUACAAAUAUGAUAAAUCAAGCAACAAGAACAAUACAACUUACCCCCUUUCUCUUGGGCCUAAAUACAAAAUUAGUCAUCUUAUGUUUGCAGAUGACUUAUUACUAUGCUUUAGGGCUAAUGCAAAAUCUUGUUUAACAAUUACGAAAAUCUUUAGAGAUUACGAACGCAUUACCAAUCAACGUAUUAAUUUCUCUGAAUCAGAAAUUUUCUUUUCUAAGUCAGCUUCUAGAUCUUCCAUAAAUCAUCAGGUUUGCUCAACAUUGGGUUUCAAACAUGGUUUUUUCCCUUUUAAAUAUUUAGGUGGCAAAAUUAUCCCUUGAAGGGUCACCUCAUCAACUUACAAAGAAAUCCUUAGUUAGAUUAGGGCAAAACUUGGUAAUUGGUAUUGUUACCACCUUUCUCAAGCUGAAAGAAUUAUAUUAAUUAAAUCAGUCCUAAACUCAAUUCCCAUUCACACUUUAAGUGUUACCUAGAUGCAUGAUACUUUGUUUUAAAAAAUAAAACCUUGAUAAAAAAAAUUUCCUUUGGAAAAACUCAUCUCAAUCUAAGGGUCUACAUCUCAUAAAUAGGAAUACAGUAACCUCCAGCAAAGAGGAAGGUGGCCUUAGCCUUCAUGAUAUUAAUUAUUUCAAAUAUACUUUAUAUCACAGUUUUUAAUUUUGGGCGAUACAUACUGGCCGAUAGCAUAACGGUAUGCGGACCGCUCGCAACUAGGCGGAACGCUCAAAAUCGCACAAUAUCAGAUGAUACAAGAGUAUAUCGGAUGGUAAGAGUCAAAAUUUUGACCGUUACCGCCUGACACAGCUUGAUAACGGUCGAUUUCAAUCGUUACUACUUGGCACAACUCAGUAAUGAUCGAUUUCUACUGUUACCGAUUUGUAACAGUGCUCCAACGGUCAUUUCUCAUGGGUUUUAAACUCAUUUCUCGCCUAUUUCAUUCCAUUUGACUCUCACACUCUCUUAAACUACCUUAAACCCAUUCUUUCUUACAUUUAUACCUCCUAAACUCUACAAAGCAAUGAUUUAUGAAUUGAUAAUUCAAAUAAUUUUCUGUAGAUAUUUUAAUAUUUACAGAAGAGCAAUCCAUAACGGAUCGAAAUACGAACCUUAUAGAAGGCUAUUCCUCAAAAUCUGAAAAAGAUAUGUGAUACUAUUCUUACCUAAUUUAUAUUGGUUUUGCUAAACUUAUACUAUUACUAUAUUUAUUUCUAACUUAAAAACCCUAUCCUAACUUUUUUUUAAAAAUAUUUUUGGAGAAUUUUACACCUAAAUUAGGUGUAUCAUACCGAGCGAAGCUCAAAACUCCGGUAUGAUACAAAAUUUCAAUCCUUACUUUACAUGCCUCCUAUAUUCAUCGCAAUCUAAACCAAGAUAAUACCCUUUAGAGUAAUACCCUACAUUCUAAAUAUGGAACUUUUCAUCCUUGGAGCAUUCCCAAAUUUAAAAAUAUAAGUUGCAGUUGGAAACUCUUCGUUCAAACAAUGUCUGAAUCAAAAAAGGGUUUCUCUAAACACAGAGGGAAUGGUUAUAACACUAAAUUGCAUAAGGAUCCAUGGAUCCCUCUCAACUGGCUACCUAUUUAUAUUAAUGUUAAUCUAUUGCCUGCAGAUUGUAAGGUUGAUGUGCUGAUCCAAUCUAGUAGCUAGAAUACCCAGUUGCUAUUGGACAUGUGCAUGCCUGACUUGGUUUUUGCUAUUGAAGCCUUCGAUUUUGCUCAGGUCCAUUGUGAUGAUAAAUGGAUCUGGAAGGCCCAUCCUUUUGGAAAACCUGCUUCAAAAGGUUCAUAUCAUUUAUUGCAUCCAUCCAAACUUGAGCGUUGCUAGUACUCCACAAAGGUUCAAAUCUUCUGCUGGAAACUACUCCACAAACGUUUACCAACGGCAGACAGACUUAUACAUUUUAACCUUACUAUUCAAUCCAAUAUCCCCUUUGUCUUACCACCAGUGAAUCUAUUGAUCAUCAAUUCUACCACUGUUCCUUCACUUCCCAACUUUGGGAUCUAUGGCAACAAAAUUUUGAUAUCAGUUUUACCCAAACAAUUUUCAGAUUUGGGAGAUUGGUUAAAAGAUGGUGAACUUUUGGGAUUGGGAAAACUGCUACGAACAGCUAUAGUAAACCAGUUUUGGUUUAUUUGGAAGAUACAAAAAGGCCCUCUUUAAUAAAAAAGUGCCUUUUAUAAAAUGGGCCUCGUCAGAAGCUGUAUCUCAUACUAGCUAUUAUGCUAGAUCUAUAUUGUCUAAAGGGACUAAAAUGAGCAAUACUAUUAUACUUCAUUGGUAAAAACCACCUGUAGGCUGGUUCAAACUGAAUACUGAUGGAGCCUCUCUUUUGCAGGAUGGAGGCAUUGGAUACAUUAUUAGAGAUCAUGAAGGAAAUUGCUGUGCUGCUGGACAAAAUUUCAUAGACAACAAAUCUGACCUUCAAUGUCAAGCUUUAGCAAUCAAAUUGGGAUUACAAACUGCAAUCACAAAAAAAUCACUCAUUUGCAAUUGGAAACAGACUCUUAAGGUUCUUCAAGACCUGCUGAUCACCAGCAAGGAUACACCAUGGUCCAUUUCAAACACUACAGCUGAUAUCAAGAUUCUUCUGCAGGAAUUUAUCACUUUGAAUGUGAUGCAUUGUUAUAAGGAAUGUAAUCAAGCAGCCAAUUGGCCUGUUAGAAAUGCUAGGAUUCAAAUCUCUCCUUGUUGUGGGAGGCUUCUUUUCCUACAGAACUUUGCUCCCUUUUGUAUAACAAUUUGCCCGGAUCCUUUACCAGAUCUAUGUUAACUUAAUAUAUUUAUUUUUGUUGAAAAAAAAUAUAUGCUGCAGUAUCAAGAAGGGAGGAGGUGGAUAAGGAGAAGAAGAGUAAAGGAGGAUGAGAAGAAUUAGAGAAGAGGAGAAGAGCCCCAGUAGCACUGGAUGACGAGUGGACCAGCAAAGGCAAGCAGAAAGUGAGUGGGUGGCGAUGACAUGCCCUAUACCCAAGGCUCAGGUGUCAUGGUUGAUCAAUUGAUCAAUCAAUAUAGAGAGAGAGCGCUCAGGGGUUGCAAUUAAGAGAGAGACAACGAGAGAGAAGGCAGGUUUGGUAUAUUUUAUAAGUUUUAAUUAAAAACUUUGAACCAGAUCCAGAAAAUGGCUAGUUCACGGCCUGGUUCUUCGUCGAACUGGUAUCUAUCUCCUUACUAAUUCAGGCUGUCUUCUAACCAUGGCUAAUGUUAAAAAUGAUAAAACAUAAAUGAAAAAGAAGCAUGUGCCCAUCUAUGCUAUAUUUUUAAUUACUUUUCUAUCAAGUUUCACAUAUAUCCACAGGAAGAAUAUGAAAACAUAGUCUAGCAAAUUAAAUGUCUGGUGAACACAUAAGAUGUGUACACUGUAUGCACAAGCCUAAAUACCUUAAUCCUAGUCAUUUUCAUUAAAUACAAAGAAAUUAAUAUGGUAUGACAGCUACACAUGAAGGCACCAGCAACACAUGUUUAUCAAUUCUGGAGCAUUAGUUCUUUGAUUUUGAGCCAUGAACUUUUAGAUGUAUAUUUUCAGUAAGCUGAACAGAUAAAUGAAGAACUGUCUUGAAAGUUAGAUGUCAUUUUAAGACUCAAGAAAUCAACAUAUAGACAAAUAUGCAGACGUCAAAUUAGAUGUCAAAUUACCUUAGAAUCUCCCUUGUUGCUUCCAGUUUCAGCCUUCCAAUCAGCGUUCUAAAUGGAUGAAGAAACUUAGAAAAAGAUUCAUCUGUGAUAAUAGAAAAAAGAGCAAAUACUUCAUCUUAUUUCAACUGACCAAUUUAGCUUCUACUUCUUUCAAUUCUUCAGCCUCCCUAAAGGAAAACAGCAAUGGUUUUCGUACUAUUCAGAAACCUGAUAUGAAUUAUAAAGCAAGAAAGAUAACCAUUUGAGGAUAAGGUAGAAAGAUAACCAUACCCUUCUUCUGUAAAUCCUUCCCACAAUGACCAAAGCCCAAAUCCAAAGAAUAACACAGUUGUUAAAUGGUGCGACCAUCUACGAGAAAUCUGUUCAAGUGCAACCCCAUUCUUAGCAUGUAUGAGAAAAAGAUAAGAGAUAGCAGCAUGAUCUGGUGACUUUCUAUUAUAAAAUAAUGAACAACUCUGCAAAUAUGAAAAUAUGGAAAAUAUUUAAUAAAAUUGACAAAAGCAGAACUUCCUAAUUCCUAUUCAGCAAGUCUUGAAAACCAGCACAGAUGGCCUAAUUGAUCCUUGAGGUAAUGCAUACAAUGACACAAAAUAUGAAGCAACAUAUGUUACAAUUUCAUUUUAUCAUUCAUUUCUGAGAAAACCAGAUUAUUGCUACCAAAAAUGUAUCAACUUGGACAGAGUCAAAGACUAUGUUAAGAAUGAGCUUCUUCUAGUUAUUUCAGGAAUAUCAAGUUCUAUAAUUACUUUAAUAUAUGGCAAGCACCUUAGUCAAAUAUAUGAAUCUCUACAGAAGAUAAAAACUGAUAAUUAUCUGUCAUGAAUUUUAUGACAGCAGUUACCCACACAAAACCAGAGUGCACUAUGAUUCAAACCAAGCUUCAGCAUUAACUCUUUAGAAUUAUUACAUAGCACCUAGUAUUACCAAAAAAAAUUGAUUUUCAGAAAACCAAUAGAUCAUGCUAAAAUCCCUGUUCCCCUCAGAAGUCUCAAUUUCUUGUAACUUAGGUACUACUGUCAAACAUCAACAGCUAGAAUUGAAUGAUUGGCUACAAUGCAGUAGUCAGUAGCAAAUCAUCUUCAUGGUUUUUAUAUAAUAAUUAAUCAUUAGAUGCAUGGCAUUGAAUGUUAUUUUGGCACUAUGUACAUCUAUGAAAUAAUAAAUCACUGUGAGUACUCAUUGAUUCAAAGGAGCAGUAUAGUGAUUUAACUAAAAUUGAGAAAAGGAGAUCGAAAUGAACUCAGAUUCAUCAGACAGUAGUAUCUGUUAAACAUGAAAUGUAACAAUAUAGAAAUGUUGAUUCCUCUCAAGGAAGUUAUUUUUAUCAAAUCCAAGAUAAAUCUGAACCUUGCCAUCUUUUUCUUGUGUCUAUUUUUCUUGCUUGGAGCUUGUUUAAGACUUAUUUCAUGCUUAGAUUACACCCUACUCCAUAUCAUUGUAGUUAAAGUUUCUAAACUGAAAAAUGCUAUAGAUUGGCUACUCUGUAUCAUUGUAGUCCAACAAAGUAGCAUGCUCAUCACUUGAAACACCAUUAUUAUAAGCAAUACAUCUACUAUGACUGCAUCAAUCACGAUGGAAGAAUAACAAGGAAAAAGUAGUAGAUGACCUAUGGAUCUCAUGAUGUGACCAGAUGCACUAAGGUCUCUUGAGCAAACAGAUAAAUGAACUUGAUAGGCAGGCAUUUAAGCAACCAUUUUAUGGAUUCCUUGAACCCAUCAUGUUAGUCAGGACUUCCAAUAUGAGGAUAAUAAGUGAUAAUUAAGUUGGUGGUACUUUUGAGAUAAUUAAGAGUGCCAAUAUGAGGUGAUCAGCACCAUGUUAGCCCUUAAUAGAGUGCAUUAGGGGCUUUUCUAGAUUAUUUGGCUGGAGAUCAACAUCAGAUAUCAAUGAUAUAACAUUUGACCUCAUGACAUCCCCCAUUAGAAUGUCAAAUAGACCAUGACAAAUGAUUUCUAUAAACAAAAGAAGAAAAGGGAUUUUGGUAAGACAAGUGCGACGUGGUUAAAUUUUGACCGCAUCACUCCCAAUAUGGCUUGGGACAGUUCAUGGUUUCCACUCAAAAGUGUGGUUUUAGAUUGUAAUUUUCUAUUUAAUAUGAGAAUACAUGAAGGUAUCCUGAUGAGGAGAUCGAAAAAAUCUUCACAUGGAUAAAGUCCUUUAAGGAAUGGGACCUUUAUAUUGUGAUCCUUGUAUGUGAUAACUGAUUAGUACCCAUCAGGAUGAGCAUUAUCAAUUUCUUGGUACAUUGCAACAUGAGAUUCAUCAAAAUAUAUAAGGUUUUAGGAUGGUUAAAACUGAAUAAGAAAGAAUUUCAGACUAUUGUGAGAUUUUCAAUAUUUUUAGGGUCAAUGGUUUACGGUUAUGACAUACAAGGGAUUUGGACUGCAUUUCUGGGCUUGUAAACCUGAAAAAAAAAUAAAACAGAAAAAUAAAGAUUACUUGGAAUCAUACUGAUGCAUCAGAGUCACACCUAUGAUUAGAAGGAUCACAACAGUGUCUCGUGCAUAACAAACACAUCACACACAAAAAAAAAAGAGAUGAGAAAUAUCUUACAUUAAAUUGCCGUAAAAUCAAAUACAUCCAAUUGCUGUAAAAUCAAAUACAUCCAACUCACUAGAGAACUAGUAGCAAUUUCCACAAAACUAGCAAAACCCAAGGAUCUAUCUCACUGGUGAGUUGCUACAGUACAUGUAAUGAAUGUCUCAACAUAACUAUCACACAAUGAAUGGAAUACAAAUAAAAAAGCAGAAGUUUAAAAUUGCAGAAGUAACGAUUCUUAUAUCUUGAACAGCUUACCAGAUUUGGGGCAGCCCAACCAAGAGAUGCAGAGAGAAUAGUCAUGACCUAUAGUGUCGCCCAGAAUGUAUGUAAAGGCAUACAUAGUUACAGCUUGAUAAAGGUAAAGAUUAAGGCAAGGAACUCACAAUUAAGGCUGUUAAACAACCUGAUAAAACAAGCUUCCGAGGAUGACGCAUUGCCAAGAUCUUAAAUAGAAAAUAUACAGUGUUAAUUAAAUCAUUGUUCAGCCUUCAGACUGUUACAGAAUAACAGAAUCCAUCUUCCCGAACUUAAGAAUAUAAGCAUCAUAUAAGUCUCAGGUGAUAAUGAUUGAAACAAGGCAAAACAUACAAGAGUUGCACUAUAAACAGGCAGUUCAGCCAUCCGGUAAAAGACGAAAAAAUAUCAGAAAAUUUUAAAAUAGAUAAAAAUAAUGCCCCCGGGUAUUGAGAAGAGAUUCUUAUGUCAAACUGUGCUCUAUGGACUUAUUAUUGGUCAGACUCUAUGGACUUUGAUAAAUGUGAUUCAGUAGAUGAAAUAUAAAGCAACUCCACGAUCUUGCUUAAAGUAUAUCCAAUCAAAGAAUUACAAUGACAGAAACAGCAAGGUAGCAGAGUGUGUGCAACCAAUGGAUUGGACAGGGGCUUCGGCCAAGGCAGAUCUUUAGUUAAAUUCCUAAAGAUGUUGUAGGAUAGAGAAAGAGAAUAGAAACAAGAACUAUUGUCCUAUCUUGGAUAAUAUUAAUAUAGUCCCACACCAUAUCAAUCAACACCUGAUCGGAGCAAAAGAUCUUUACUAAUAUCUGAGCACCUGACUUCAACUUCUUACUAAAGCCAGGAGUUGACUUUCCCGUAUGAGCAUUUGGUAGAUGUGUCAGCCCGUGAAAUAGUCAAAGAAUCCCAGACCAAAUUGGUCAACAAAAAACCAGGAGAACUUAGGGUGAUUUUAGACUUAACGCAUGCAUUUAAAGCCCAAGACUCCAAGAACAAUAGCUCGAACAAUGAUAUCGAGUUCCAACUUCGAUUCAAUCAUAUCGCAUUCAAGUUGCAGUACCAAAUCAGAAAUUGCAGUCUAAGAAUCAAAGAGGCACUAAUCCCAGAUCUAAGACCAACAUAAAAGGAACUCAAGGAAUAAAGAUUCACCGCGGCUGCGAAGAAGGUCUUGUCCCCGAUCUCGGAGAGCACUGUCAUGGCCAGCGACUUAGUGAACCCCUGAUCGGUCGCACAAGAAAAGGUUAAGCAAUCAUCAUCAACUCUCAUCUUCAUACAUAUCAGGAAGCGCGUACCUCGAUGAGAGACAACCCCAUUUCCUUCGCCAGUGUCUUCGGAGCGGAGCUCGAUUCGAUUGGAAGACGAGAAUUGAUAAUAUACAUAUAUAUAGGAAGGGCGAAUCGCGGCCAACGCAGCCGAAACUUGCCGAGCGGAUGGUGUUCACGAAUCGGCUCGGUGGUUGGGUCGUUUUUGCUGGCCCUUAAAAAAUGAAAAAAGUAACAAAGUCCUUUUUUUAACUACGCCUCGACGCCUACACCAUGGGAUCCACGUGGGCAGUGUUGACUCAUAGAUCGCCACGCAGGGGUGUAAGCAACCUGCGGGUAGAACUAAAAGGUGCAGCUAAAAUUAGCGAAGAAGUGGGAAAUGAUUUGUCGUAUCAACAUGAUGUUAUAUUCCUCGAGUGUUGUCUCGGCUGUUUUGUCCUCCAAUCGGUAUAGACCACGUUGCACCUCAUUCAAAAUACUCCUUUACCCAUUCAUCGUCUACUCUAUGACUACCUGCGAUUUUAUUGGUCUCCGAGUGGUCCCACAAGUGGUUCACCGAUGAGCCUCACUCAUGCCUCCGAUCACGCCUUUACCUGCGACUUUUUGCACGCACCAACGUCGAGCAAUUUUAAUUUUUGAGAGUUGUUUCCAAUUCAAGAGUUCUUUUCCAAGUAUUUACCUCGCACGAAAAAGUUACAAUAGGAGUUUUGAAGAAAAUGUUCCACGUAAAUGGUUAAUUACGUACUUAUUCAUUAGCCGAAUUUAUUUGCAAUAGUUUCCUAAAAAAUAUAUAUAAUAUGUAUAUAUAUAAAUAUGAUAAUUUUUUAAGACAUGUGAUGGAAGCUAAACAGUAAAGUGAUCGAGGAUUCCAAUUCUAUUAUAAAUAUUUACUAUGCAUAGUUAUAAUAUUUACAUGUGCAAGGAGUAUUAGUAGAAAGAGUGAUUUGCUAGGAAAUAUUCACAUUUUAGGCAAUUUUCAAUCGAGACAUAUAUUUUCUUUUUUUUCUCAAAUAGUUUUCCUAAUUUAAAAAUAUAUAUAUUAUUUCUUUAAAAAAAAUUCAUCUAUUAUAAUGUUUUGGCUUGUUACCAUGUUUUUUAUAUGUCAUAGUAUUUUGGACACCACAACAAAAAAAUACUAUAAAACUUACUUAAAAACAUUAUAAAUAAGUCAGAUAGAAUCAAAAGAUAUAAAAAAUUACUUCAUAUAUUAUACUAUAAUUUAAAUAUAUAUUUAUAAUAAUUUAUGAAUAAUAUCACUCAAAUAAAAAAAUAUCUUAUUAUAGUAUUUUGGCUAUCAUGAUAAAAACAUGUAAAAUUAACUUCAAAAUGGCGUAAAUGAUUCAAAUGAAAUCCUAAUCUCAUCCUAACUUAUUAUAAAUUUAAAAAGUAUAAAAUCAUAAUGAUCUACGAGCAAUAACAACCAAAAAGACUUGAUAUAAAAUUACUUAUAGUGUUUUUUAAUAGAUAUUUUUAGCACAUCGAUAAAAAUACUAUAAAUUAAAAAAAUAAUAUAAAUAAGUCAAAUGAAAAUAUAGUUUAAAACUGAUUAAAAAAGGAUAAAAUUUUGACAGAAUAAUUUUUUGGGAGAUAUUUCAUAUUUUUUAAUUAAGAAUACUAUUUAAAAAAUAAAAGGAUAUGAAUUGAAAUGUAUAAAAAUAUAUUAGUAUUUACUUUAAAAAUCAUCCAAUUAAAAAGAAAAGUGGAGUCUCAUGUGGGAAAAAUCAAAUCAAAAAUCAAUAUUCAAAGGAAAGGGCAACUUUGGAAGCGGUGACCAUGGAUUUUUAGAUGAAUGGAUGUGCUCCCCUCGAGCUUGAACGGCAAGGUCCAUUUGCAUUUUAUCGUGUUAUAUUACAGUCAUGCUACAUGCCACGUGUCCUAUGAGGAGAGACGAGUCACGUGUCGCUGAGUCCACUCGCUUGCGACGAGUGGAAGGGACAAGUCCACGCUUUCGCCGGUGAUCUCACUAGAAAAAAUACGUCUUUUUCUUAUAUUUUUAAAUGUUUUAUUACUUAUAUGACUUCAAGUAGAAUAAUGGCGAGCGUUGAGCUUUCUCUAUCUAAUAUCUCGUGCGCGACAAAAUGUUACGUAUCGCACAAAAUUCUCGAGUGCAGUACAUAUAAUUGUAAUAUAUAUUUAUCUUCUUUCACCAAAUAUGUAAUGAAAAUAACCUUAAUUGCUGGAAAAAAUUUAUAUGUAUAUAUAUUCGAUUUCCUUGCCUAUAUAUACAUAUAACUUUUAUAUUUUUAAAAUAUUAGUUAAUUGUUUGGAGUGAUAAUAAGUAUUAUGGAUGAAAUUUUGAAAGAAGUAUCGAAGUUUGAAAAUUUUCUAGAUAGUGUCUCGUCUUUAAAAAAUUUUCGCAGAGUAUUUUUUUAAAUAACUAUUUAGUUUUCAAUGCUAUUGCCUUUCACCUCCCUAUGUUUGAUCCAUCUAAUGAUAAAGGCGUAAUGACCCAUGAUGGAUUAAUAAUAGAGGUGUGGCCUCCUUAACCAAUGAUAAAGAUUGAUAGCUCGCCUUCCUCUUUUCCUUGCUAGUGAUAAACAAUAAGGGCAUGCUCCUUUUCUCACAAAUAAUCGACGGUGAGAAGAGGGUGCAAGGAGACUACAUGAUCAUUCUACAAUUAGCGAUAUAUGGCCAACAAUGAGGGGUAUUGUAGGUGAUGAUGAUGAUUGUAAAGGCUGCACCUCUACCGUUCAAUGAAGAGAUCCACUCGAAGUAGGGGUGGUUGUGGAUUAGAUGAAGCAAGAUUAAAAUAAUAUUUUCACAUUAAUUAGAGUGUUGUGUGAGGAUUUUUUUAAAGGUGAGAUAUUCUAAAAAAAAUUCUCAACGACAGAGCUUUUUUUAAAAUAUAAAUUCACCCUAUUAUUUAAGAUUAUUUAGCUGUAAUAUGUGUACUAAAAAGGCUUAUUCUUGUUCCAAAAAUGACAAUGUGAUGCACGUGAUAACGAAUCAUCAAAUUCGUUAUGAUUUGUUAGUGGAAUCGGAUUCAGCAGUAUUUUCUCUUAAUUAAAUUCACAUAAUAAUUAGCCUUGACAUAUUUGACUGAAAAAAAUUCUAUAAGUGCUUCUUGAUCAUUUUUAUUAUAUAGAUAAUCAAUUGAAUUGCUUCUUUCGCUUGAUAGAAUGACUAUUUUUAGCGAAUACUGCAUUAUCUGGGUUAAGUCAUGUCCAACUCAUUUUCAUGUUGUAAUCAAUCAAGCUGUCAAACAAAAUAAAAUAUUCUAAUCGAAAACUCAUAUACGUGUAAUAUAUUGUUCAUGGUUAGACUUGACGAAAUAAUAAUAUGUUGGAAUCGAUCUUGGUUUGAGUUUAAUUUCAAUGCAAGCUUGAUGUUCGAAAAUCUAAGCGGACAGUGUACUCAAUAAAAUCCAUUUAAUCCAAGCUAAACACCGAGUGCAAGUAAGUCCGACGGGUACAGGUCACGAUAUUAUCACAGGUCCACUUCCUGUCCACGUUUCGGUGGAGAAGAAAGUUUGAAGUCAGUGGUGGAAAAAGGUCCAGUUGUGUUGAGGUGCUUCAGCCAAAAGAGCAACAUUUUCCGCAUACUCACAGGGCGAUACCAACUACCAACUCGCCUUAUGAUUGGAUAAAUGGGGCCCACGAGCAAUAGACAUACGACGAAAGCGCCACCCGGUUCAGGUUUCGAUGCAUUUCGUCACCCGAGCGGGGUGAACGGUGGGUUAAUCAUUUUCCGGUGCCCAAAGCGAGACUCUCUAGAAUUCAAUGCAAAUUCCACUGCUCCUGCGGAAUAUGCCGAAAGCUUAACACCAAAAGAUUCCUUUUUCUGAAUGCACUCUUGGUGUCAUGUGCCCCCCAAAUUCCCGUUCGGAUGGGGAGCUCCAAACUGGCAGAGGAACGGCCCCUUCCCCAUCUCUCCCCAGCCAAAUCUCGUCUCUGCCUCAGACCGUGCCGAUACUUGUUUGCAUUGGUGGAUCACGGCCGGUUUCAGUCAAGGUGAUCAUCGAUCAUUGUUUUCUCAUCUCAGGAUCCUGAGACCUUACUUUGAGCACAACUUGUUGCAGGACUCGGAGGAGGAAUCAGGGUUUUCAUCCUUGAAGAGCUCAAAGCCUGCUUAUCGAGAUCAUCCUCUGGCCGGGUGCUUCUCUCAUCUAAAGGUUCUCGCGUUCUAUGUUCACUGUGGGUUGCAUGCUCUCUUGCUUCUUUGUCUUCUAAUUCUUGGCAUUGGCACUGUUUGAUUGCAGUCCGCACAAGACAGGCUGCCCUCAUGGGUGUCAAUGGACCUUCAAAUACUUCUGGAAUACUAGACGGGAUUCAUGGGGUGCGGCUGGUAGGAAGGUCAGCAUUCGAAGUUGAAAAAGCACUUCACUGUGAGGGCGUCGAUCGUUCAACUUGCAGAGGUGUGGAUAUUGCUGAGACGAGCCAAAUAUUGUUAAUCCGGUGAGUUAUAUAACAAAUACAUCGAUUAAAUCCAUAUCCAGGUUAUCUUGUCCGUAUCAUUCACCUAGCGAAAACCCUAACUAUCGUGUAUCGAAGAACAAAAAAGCAACUGACCGAUUUAUGUGUUGCCAGAAGGAUAUGGCAGCAGAGGCCUUCGUGCUUGAGGCCAAUUCGUUGUACGCUUCACGGUAUGUGUAGGAUAGAGAGUUUCCCUGAUAAACUCAUAUGUAUGACUUAUAACUUAAACUCAAUGUUUCUCAUUUAAUUAGGUGAUCGGAACAUUACAGAAUCUGUUGCCAAUGUUUUAACUUCGUUGCCUUUUGUUGUUCUUGGAUUGCAGGUGCCUAGGUAAGUUUAUAAGAGAAUAGCUCAACAAAAAUAUUUGCCGACCUACUUUUUCCUUCUUUCCUACAAUAUCUGAAAACUUGUAAAUUAACUCUCCAGGAAGAACAUAAACACUGCACUCUAUGCUAAUUCAUUAAUUGGAGUAGGGAUUGCUUCAAGUCUAUAUCAUUCCUCGAGAGGAGUACUCCGAAAGUAUCUAAGAUGGGCUGACUAUACAAUGAUAGCUGCAACUACUCUUGUAAGUAAUAGAUACUUAACAUCAUGGUUGAAAAUUAAUGACUGACUUGUUUCUUUCUAUAUUGAACCUAUUUAUAAGGAUCUAAAUUAAUGUGUAUGUUCAAUAACAUGCUUAUUGAAGUUAAAUAACAUGCCACUCAGGAGUUCGAUGCUAUUUUACAAAAAAUUGAGUGGUCAACCCCAUGUAGUACCUCAAGAGAUGAUGUGUUGCCUGCGCUCAUAAUUAGACAUGUCAAGUAUAUCCCAAUAUACUUAAAUAUCUGCUUUCUUCUCCUUCCUUCCCUAUUUCUUGCCCCUUGGUUCCUCCUUGUGCCUUCUUAUUAAUCCAACCAUGCUCUGACACAAAGCCAUUAUUCUACUGUAGAACUAUACUUUGUCUUCACAAAAUGAUGAGUAAUCUGUGCUGAAAAUGUUGUUAAUGCUAACCCAUCAUUCAUGUUGUAAUGUGGCUUGAAUUUUACAGUACCUGAUGAAUUAUUUUCAUAUUUUCUUGUGAUAUGUAUUAUGUAGAAUAUCUCAACUACUUGUGAUUGGGUUGAGUUCUUGAGGGGUUAAACUGAUGUUGUAAGAAUUUUAUUGUACUUGCUCCAUUGAUAGGGAAGUUUCUUCUCUGGUCUCUCCCAUGGCUGUGGGUCAGAAAGACAUUUACCUAUUACAGAGAUGGUGCGACCAUAUGAUUUGAUUCAUUUCAUUUUUUUCUUUUAGUCUAGUCGUCCUCAGUAUUACGAGAAAGAAAAGGGAUGUGGUUCGGGAUAAAAAGAACCAAAAUUUUGAAAUAAGGACAUGCUUGGUGCAGGUGAAGUUUGGAGAUAGAACAAUUCCUUCUGUCUUUGUUAAUUCACUUGUUCUUUGGUGUGGCUUUAUAUCUUUUAUAAUCUACUUGUUAUAACAAUUCAUAUUAAGACAAGAUCAUGCACUUGUUUUUUUGUUUUAAACUGAAGCAGAUGUGAAACACCUGCUGGUUAAGAUUUAGAAAUGCUUCUGUAAGCAUAAUCCUGAUAUACUAGUAAAUCCAUGGUAGUGCAUGCCAAAGCUCCAGUUAUAUUUACAAGUGGCUUUGUGAACAUAUCACAUCUUGGAUACAAAGAUGUCCACUAGGUGUCUACUGAUAUGGUACUCCUAUCUCUUUUGAUGUGAGGAAAACAUGUGAAUUGGCAAAACUAAAGGAAAGCAUGUGAAUUGACAAAACUAAAUUUUAUGUCAAUUUCUGAGAUAUUCUUUGGUUUAUUAGUUUCUGGAUUGUGUAUGUGCUGUGUUACAGAGACAAUUGGACCUAAUCCAUAACCUGCUUAAGUCAUUCAAAGCCAUUAUCCAGUAAGCUUCAAAAGUUUGGACGUAGGAGCAUUUCUAGAGCCUCAAGAUAAAUGUUCACAACUAUUAGAUUAUUGGGACAGCAGAUAUCUUGUUUUAUAAAAGGACUAGAGACGGAAACUAGCUUCGACGAGUCAUAGUCACCAAAAGAAUAGGGACCAGUAAUCCUAUUUUCAGAAAAAAAAGGCCCAUAUGAGAGAGAGAACCCAACAGUCCUACUUUUAGGCGUUGAGCACAAACCAGCCAUCUGUACAGAUGACUUUGAGGCUCCUUUUGGGCCAAGGUUUUGACCCUUAGAAAACUUGUUGUACCAGGAAAUCUUAGGAGUCCUCUUUGGUUAUUAUUUUCAGCGACAUUGUGUGAUUUGAUGGACUACCGUACAAUUGUUUAGAUUUCUAAUUAAAAUUGGAGAUUUGGGCAUAUGUAGCCCCUACAAAUCAAAACUCUUGAAGGCAUGAAGACUCGUUGCAUGGAUUUUUGUGUUCUUUGUUGCACUGGAUUUAUUAUUAGUUGAUAAUUACUUCUUUUUGUUUUUUUAUCUUUAAAGGGAUUUCUACUCAAACUGAUUUAAUCUGAUAGAAGGUAAAAUCUUUUUUGUUUGGUAUCAGAGUAAAAUUAACCUACAUUGAAAAUCACCAUAACUUAUCUUUUUUGGAAGAUGCCUGCACCAAGGGCGCAAAGAUUGAGCUCAGAGAUCUCUUUAAUUUGAUUAUGAUUAUUGUAUUAUGUUAUAUAAGUUAUCUAGUGAUUAGUAGUCGUAUUGGCAGAACAUUCUGGUGGGUUUUGAGGAGUAAUGAGAUUGCCAAUAGGGAAAGCUUUUGCCCACAUCUUUAUUAUGAUUGUGCUAUAAUAAGGAAUGGCAUUUCAGAUAUCACAUUGUAUUCAUGAUAUGUGCAUGUGCAUCAGGUGUGAAAUCUACUAGUGAAUAUACAGUGGUUUUCAUAUGUGGUAACUGCUAUUACUUCAACAUGUAUGUUUCAUUACCUAAUUCAUUUAUCUGUAUAUACACAUAUAUAUCCUUUUUAGCUUGAGAGUUUUUGCAUGUAAAUUAAAGAGAGUUUUACCUCAUGGUUAGCCUACCUAUUUCUUCUUAACUAAUGCAUGCUCAUACAUUAUACUCAAGAUUGCUUAUUUUGUGAUUUCAUAUGCUUUUUAGUCUAUAUACGUAAACAGCUUUUGGUCACUCUAGUGCUUGAUUGUUUGUACUUUUUGAUACUCUUUUAUGCACUUUUCUUCUCUGUCUUGGUGACUUCUGAAUUAUUUAAUUUUGGUAGUGUCUAUCACGGUCACUCAGAAAUGAGAACCCAAAACUUUUAAUGGCGGCAUCCACAUUGCUUUUGCCAAUUCAGCCAUUGAUGGUUUCAGCUGUUCACACUGGACUAAUGGAGGCAAGUAACUAAAAGCUACUGUGAUUAGCAACUUUGCAUGGCAACUCAAAUCUUUGUGUACAUGUAAACCAUAUAUUUGCUUUGUGUUGCCAAUCUAAUUACACAUAAUGAAGGUUUAAAUAUCUUUUGCUUGUAUUCUUUUAUCUUAACAUUUCAUUAUUUGGAUUAGAUAAGCUCAGUUAUAGGUGAUGGACCCCCCUUGGAAAUCAGCAUUUAAUUUAGCUAUUAGACUAGGAAGUGUUGCUCCAUCACAUUUUGCAUUUUAGAUUAGGAAGUCUUGUAUACUUUCCUUCAUGGUUUAAGAUUGUGUUUGCUGCUUGAUUUCACCAGCUUGAAGUACAACCACAAAGUACAUCUUUCUAAUCGCUAAUCUUUUAAGGUUUCUGCUUGUCACUUUAUAAGUUAUCUUGGUCAAUUAAUUGAUACCAUUUUGACAUGUUUGAUCUUGGAAUGAGCGGUGGUCAUAGGAUUCUGCUGAAAUUUCAUGGACUCUUGUUAACUUUAUAUUGUGCAGCCAACUAUUAUACUGGAAAAUUUUUGGAUGAUAAUUAUGAUUAACCGUUAAAAAUCUGCACCAUUGGCUUGUAUCUUUCUAAAAUAUGACUAGCCUUCUAGCUUAGUGGUUGCUGAUAUUCACAUAGUGGAUCCAAAUUAUGGUAAUUUUUUACAUAUAGAGACCGAAUGCUACAGGCUAUUUUACAAAGUUGACUAAAAUUCUUGUGGUACACAGUUUAAAUAGUUGACCCAUGUUAGCUUGAUAUAUUGAUUGUCUUGUUGCUUACUCUCAGGUAGCAUUUGCCAAACAAGCAUUGACAAGACCAAAUCUGAGGAUGGCACACAACCUACACAAAAUGUCUUCCCUACUGGGAGCGGCACUUUUCAUUGCUGAUGAUUGCUUUCCUCAAACGCCCUAUCUUCAUGCAGCUUGGCACCUUGCUGCAGCAGUUGGGGUUGGGACAUGUAACAAGCUUCUUGAAUGACUUACCUGCAUCCUAGCAGCUGUUCUUCUCAUUUAUUUGAUAAUCAAGACAAUCAUGCAAGAGCCAAUGACUUUUAAUUCGUCGAUAUGAAUUUAUGUGACAAUGUAUCCAAAGUUUCUUUCAAAAGUGGAAAAGAAACUAGUUCGCUGCCUCAAUCAUCUGUCAAUUGAGUUGGUCUCAGGAACAAUUCUUAUUUGUUUGAUCUUCUCUUGAGAAUUCCUCUUGGAAUACUACAAAACAAUCCUAUUAUUGGAAACGAAAGCUAUAUACAUUUUUUCUCUUGCUUUUGUUCCAGACUGAUUGCAUGUGCCGUUGUGGUAAAUUCUGUUGAUAGAAGAGAGACAAUUCUGGAGACCAAUUAAAUAAAAGGGGUUUGCGGCCAUCUUGCAUAUAUCAUUAUUGCAUAACGUGAUAGGCUUGGUGAACUCAUAAAUUUGGAUCAUGUAUUGUCAAAGUUUCAUCAGUUAAAUUAGCUGACACUUUCAAGAUAUUAUAAUAUUAUAUUAUUACGAAAAAUAUCUUUUACUAAUAAUAAUCAAUAAGGUUCCCACAUUAUUUUAUUUAUAGCAUAAUUGGGAGGCCCUUCAUUUAAAGGAUCUCAUAAAAUUGAUGUAUGAUAAAAACAGUGUUGUUGAUUCGUUUAAUUUCUUCAUUAACUUUAUUAGAUUUCAUGUUAUUAAGUAAUUUAUUCGGCUAAUUGUUUAAUAUUUUUAUCGUCCGAACCUGACACCACGAGUGUGCUUACAAGACGGACCGGUCCGGUGCGGUCCGAGCCGAGCCGGGCCGGCUUAAAAGUCUACAGCCUCUAGUUUCCCAUGUUGGGCUCAGCCUUAGGGUUGUGGCUUUGGCGGCUUUUAGAGGGGGAAGCCUCCGCCGAUCGUUCAGCAGCUUUCUUCCAUCCCGGCGAAGAUCCCUGUGGAAUUCCUCGAUCCGCUGCGAAUGGCGACGCUGAAGGACGUGGUAGCCCGGCGGCCCAUUGCCGCCACCAUCCGCCUCACGGUGCCAGCGGGCGGCGCCCGCCCCGCCCCGCCCGUCGGCCCCGCCCUCGGGCAGUACCGGCUCAACCUGAUGGCCUUCUGCAAGGACUUUAAUGCGCGCACCCAGAAGUACAAGCCCGACACCCCCAUCGCCGUUACCAUCACCGCCUACAAGGACAAUACCUUCGAGUUCAUUGUCAAGUCUCCCACCGUCGCCUGGUUCCUCAAGAAGGCCGCCGGCGUCGAAUCCGGCAGCGGCCGCCCCGGUCACGUAGUCGCCUCUUCCAUCACCGUCCGACAUGUCUACGAGAUCGCCAAGAUCAAGCAGGCCGACCCCUCUUGCAAGCACCUUUCUGUCGAGGCCAUCUGCAAGUCUAUCAUGGGCACUGCGCGUUCCAUGGGCAUACAGAUCGUCAAAGAUCUCUGAUCAAUACCGCCGCCCUCGUCCGCUGCCAUGGUUAGCUUCUCCAAGGUUAUUAUGCGUUUUCUAUUAGGUUUUUGGUUUGCCUAAAGAAGAAGUGACUGUAUGUGCGUUGCCAAAUUCGUCCAAUCUUCUUGAUGAUAAAUUAAUGCUUCUUUCUCGAUUGGCAGUCUCGUGUUUCCAAGUAUCAGCCCUAAUGAAUUAAGUUUUAAUUUCCAUAAUUCACACACUGUUUUUACUACCACGAAAGUUUUUGUUUGAAUUCAGAUGCAUUUUUAUCGUAGAGAUGUGAAUAGUAAAACAAGUUAAAUUCUUCUGCCAGUAAAAGAAUUGGUCGAAGAAAAACUGAAUUAGACUUAAUGAUGAACCAGUGCAAACAACAAGACACAGUCUUAAUGAUGAACCAGAUUGAACUUGGUCUUGGGAAUUUGCAGGUUUAGACGCAAACUAAUGAGCAUCACAUGAUUUUUCCUGGUAUAGUUUGCCUCAAGAAAUCAAAUUGUGAAAUAUUGAAAUCUCUUACAAUGUUUCUCAACUCAGACCUUAACUCAGUAUUAAUCUUAUCAAGUAUCUGAACUAAGAUCAAUCUUCAGCAAUUUAUCAACUAAUUUGAAGAAUGGCAUCCACGAAGUGGUAGCCACUAAUUUCUCUGUGAUACAAUGCAAAACUUUGAUAUAACUAAAGUUAUUGUUUUGGCUGUAUAUUCUUCUUUGUGGUAGUAUCUUUGAAGACUUGCUACGUCGAACUGUCCAUAAUAAUUAGGUUUUCUAAUCAGCAAGGAAAAUAGGUCGUGGCAAAUCAUGUCAAACUUGGAUUAGGAGCAACAUCUUUACAUUUUGAGUAUUGUCACACUGUGAGCUUUUCCUAUCUUUUUGUAUUUAUUAUGCCGUCUAUUAACCCUUCAUGAGAUGAUGUAUAUGAGUUAGCUAACUGAAUUGGGAAAAAGAAGAUUAUUGUCGGCCAUCAUGUGCUCCUUAUGGAAUUCUAUGAUAUUGUCGCUAGUUUUUUUCUUUUUGUGUCAGUAGGCACAACAAUUGAUUGGCAACCUUGGCUAGAGAGGGCAGGUUCCUCGUAGAUCAUCAGAAUGUUGUCAGAUAAUACUCAGCUCAUGGCAGAGAUGGUUGGCCAGCUUCAGUUUGAAAGUACACUUCCAGAGAGGUUCCUCACACCCUCUUCCUAUUGCCAUUUAUGAAGUCCAAUAAUUUGUGCAACGGAGAAGAUAACAGGCUAUGAUAUACUUCAUUAGGAGAGAAGUAGAUUUCUUGCUAUUCCAAGAGAGAGCAACUCCAUUACACAUUGUAUUGUCAACCACAAAGCUGGAAUGAAGGUGGGGAUGGUGGUGAGGAACAAGUCUGUUCCAAGUUCUAGCUAAAAUUUGUGUUAGGACAAGGGAAAUUUAAGAGCAUGGUGCUUCCAUAAAACAAAAAGACAUUGUAGAUAACAUUGGUGUGAACAUCAUGUUAGAUGCUAACAUGUACCGUUGAUUACUUUCGCUUUUGAUAAGUCUAUUAUCAUUAACUUGGACUUAGCAUUUUGAAUUAGUGAUCCGGAUUCGAUGAGUCAAUGAGUGAAACUCUGUGUAUACGCAAAUUGCUCGAUCUAUCGCAGGUACACAUAUAUUCUUUUCACUUUUUCAAUCUUUCUUCCAUCUUCAUUGCAAUUUUCAUGGUUCUGACUUGAACGACACGCUGUGUAAGGAAGAUUUGGCCACUUGUUUUGAGAUUCAAAAGGUCAGCUGCCUCAUGGGACUAGAUUGAGGAGGAUUGCUUGGACACUUGUUUUGAGAUUCAAAAAGUCAGCCACCUCAUGGGACAAGAAGAGUUUGAGGAGAAUUGCUACUUGGACACUUGUUUUGAGAUUCAAAAAGUCAGCCACCUCAUGGGACAAGAAGAGUUUGAGGAGAAUUGCUAACCAUGUCGUGAAGCAAUUUGACCUUAUAGAACAAAACAUAAUAUUUCGAAGGUGUUGACCAUAUAUGAUCGUACUAGAUUUACAUGUGAUUCCCGCUUGGCAGGCUUCCUCCAAUAUCCAAAUAUCAUUUUGACUAUUGGAAUCAUCAACAGGUGUUAUAUGCAUAUGAACAUAAAUUUAGUGAUGACAAAACAUAUUCGACUUCUGAUAGUUACAAUUAUUAAAUGUGAUGUAACAUGUUGGACAACAAUAUUCUAUUUGAAUUAUAUAUGAUUCAUAUGAAGAACCUUUUGGUCCUUUUAGAUCUUUUCCAAGGGGUCAUCAAUUUUGUGAAAGGAACAUCCACAAGUUUCUUGGUUGUUUCUAUCUACCAUCACAGGCAUCAAAUUUAAUGCCCACUGAAGUAAUUGAUAGUUCUCAAACACAUACGUAGGGAGUUCAAUUUCAUGGCUCAUAGUUUAGCUUCCUCCUCUUUUGCUCCAUGUGUAGCAGAGUCUUUUGUAUCUGACGUUUAAUUAUAUAGAUAUUUCUUUUUAUUUCAAGAAAAAAAAACCCAUAAUAAUGAAUAUAUUUCUCUGAUCAGGUUCACAUUACAUAAGGACUCACUCUUUUAUGGUACAUGAACUUAAACUUUUACAAAGUUAAUUAGAGCCAUUAAAUUUUUUCCCCUGCUCUGAAAAAACUCAGAAUCUACAGAUAUCAGUGAUCUAUAUCUGAUUACCGGGGACAGAAUUAUACAAAAAAGAUUCUCAUUAAGACUUGUACAUCAACAAUAAUUUAGCAUGUCAUACCAUCUUAAUGAGAUAUUAGAUUGCUAUACUCUAUUGCUCAAAUAUUAUAUCCCUCAUCAAGGAAUAUUAGCUAUUAUCAUGUCAAUGUGACGAAGUUUUGCAAAAGAAUUAUUUUGUACUAGUAAUAAGGGCUAUUAUAUCAAAAAAAGAAAAAAAAGAACUAGGUGAGUGAAACUAGCUAUAUAUAUGCCUUCAAGCUUGGUAUCCCCAACCAUGAAUCCAUGCAAAACAUUGGUCUUGAGGCCAGUUGAGUGUGUGGGAUAUGGGUACUAGUUCAUCAUUAUGAUUUAGCAAUGAGAUAUGGGCAAAUUUGGUUUGUUCAUGAUAUAAUCGUGAGGUUUUAAUAAGUAAAAUUCAGAAAGAUAAAAUAUAAUGAUAUCAUUAGGAAAAAGAAAGUGUAACUGGCAUUUGGUGCCAUUUCAACCAGCUUUAGAGCAUAUGUCAACUACUCUGAUAUCAGUAAGCUAAACCAAUUAUGAACAAGAUUGAGAUGCAUGCUAAAACUGUCAUGCUUAUAUGCCAAGGUGAAGAACUUAGGUUUAACUCUUCUGAACAAACACCAUUAAGUAUCUAAGAUAGGAGUCAAUGCAAAGAACAUUGGCAAAUCAGUUGUUGAUUUCAACAUUAUUUCAUUAAUAAUUUCCCCACAAACAGUAGAAGUAGAAAAAAAAAAGAAGGUGACUUUCACUUGACAAUGCAUUUGUUGCUUAUACUUUCUUUUUUUUCUAAGAAUAAUGGAGGGCAUGAUCCUCAAUUUAAGGAAUUGCUUGGGUCAAUUACUUGGUUAUCAUCUCUUAACCAUGAAGAUCUUGUAACUUUUCUACAUUGUUUGCUGCUAGAAUUCAAUACCUCCAAUUUAAUUAGCUACAAUGAGAGAAAAAAAACCCAUAUAAUGACUGAGCAACCAAAUCUAGUUAGUAUCUUUCGUAUCACUAAAAAGAGUUUGACGAGCAGUGAACAACGACAAGGCAAUCAUGUAAGCCUCGACAUGAAGCAAGAAUCAAUGCCGCAGUAAGGUUAUAAACCUUCCUUUAUUGCUACGCUUAGUGCGGGGAGGCAGACUCGAGCACCCAAUGGUUGCUAACUCUGCUGCUGCUCUCCCCGUCCUUCCCAGCCAACGUCGCUCCGCUAAUGGCUGCUGCAACUGUGACGGUGAGCUUUGGGUCUGCAGCAGUAGCACUAGAUUUUUCUGCUGAAUACUUCCCGUCCUCACUGUUCCAGACCCCCUUACUUGAUAGCCAAGAACUUCCACUGACAAUGGCGGAAUUCGAGGAGGAUACAGCCCAUGGAUUCAUCGGUCCCAAGAGACCAAGUUGCUGUUGUCCAUGGCCAUUGCUGCUUGCUGCACCGAAGAAGCUGGCGAAGCUAUUCGUGGUCGGUAGAUGUGGAGAAGGGCUUGCUAGGAAAGGGCUCAAGUACGAUAAUGGCGGAUGGUUAGGAAUAGAAGAUGAGGAAUUUGUCUCGUUCAACAACGUGAAAUUAGAUGCUGCUGUUGCUGUGGAGGCUAGCGCAGUUGCUCCGACUGGUAGAGGAUGGUUGUGCGUCCCUUCGUAGGUGGUGACAAGUAUCGACAUGUCCUCGAGGCAUCGCUGCACCUGUUUGAUACAAACAUUAACGUGAACGAAGCUCGAGUUGAUUGGCAGAGACAUUGGAGAUCGGCUUUGGUUCUGCAAGCUACCUGCUUUCGAACUGGGCAUCCUGGUGCCACGGUGCAUCGAUAAUAGGCUCGCGGGCAUGGGUUCCCUUUUGCCACCUUUUGCCCGUAUUUUCUCCAUUGGCAUCCAUCAUUCAUCUACAGGUACUCUUUGCAAAGGAGAAUUGAUUAGCUCGAAUGCAUGAACGCAAAGAGGACCCAAAGAGAAGCAUGUAAGACUUACGGUAGGGCCUUGGCAUCUUGCUCUCACUGAGACCCUAGUCUUUCUGUUUGCUGGGUUGAUGCUUUGACUCGUUGUCAUGGACAAUUGGCCAGUUUGGAGCUUGGCAUCGAGUGGUUGACAGCUUCUCAGGCACUUACCUUUCUCCUCAAAGCUUGCAUCUUCUCUUUCGUGUGGAUCUGAAUACGUUUGCAGGGUCAAAGAUAAGCCCAACUCCUUGUCAUCAGCCACCAUCGAUGGUUGUUCCUUGAUCUCUUUGCUCUCACCGGGCUUCUUCCGCUCUAGCAACCUCUCUUCGCCAAGCGAAUUCGAAACUUGACGCUCCUAAAUGUACCAAUUCAUGUGAGUUGAAUGAUUGAAUUUUUCUGCUGGAUGGAAGAGAAAAGAUUCAGGUAAUAGAAUGAUUACUUUUGGAUGUCGAUCCUGUUGCUGCAUGCCUGCAAAUUGCAUCUGCAACUCAUGGUAGUCUUUCCAGGUGCGAUCGAUGACAUUUCUUAACAGCUUGUUCUCUUCCUUCAUUCGGUUCAUCUCAGCUUGCAACAUGCACAACUGCAACGACAUCUUAGCAGAGAUAACGGAAGGUAAGAACACAGUAUGUUGUGCGAGCGAGCUAACCUCAUCCUUCAUGGGCUUCUCAUGACUUUGAUCUUUCUCCUCCUCCUGGUCCUCCUCAUGAUUGCUACUUUCCUGCUUGUCUUCACCUUCCUCUUCCUCCUUUCCUUCUUGUUGUUGAUCACCAUCUUCACGACCUACUUCUAGUGUUCUUUCCUCAUCUUCUGCUGGCUCCAAGGAGAGAUCUAUAUGCAUUAUCCUCUCCUCCCUCUUCUCCGACGACAUGAUCUUGUAGUUGAUGUUCACCUUCCGAUUCUUGCUCAGACUUCUGGUCUAAAUGAUCUUAUCGAGGCAAUGGAGUCAACGUCCAAAGCGAUUAAAGGCUGAGAAGAGAGAGAGAGAGAGAGAGAGAGAGCUUUCACUUAUGCCAACUAGUAAAUAGAAAUAUGGGGAGUACACGAAACAAUGAUGGAUCCAAUCCUCAGCCAAGUGGGAUAUUUUUAAGAGCCUGCCUUGGUGGGUGCUACGGUCAACGCCAUGGAAUUUUGAGAGUUGACUUCCGUAUCAUCACCAAAACCAAACACAAACGAAAGGCUGCUAUAGGUUACCAUGAGACUAAGUUUCUCAUGGAUAGAUACAUCGUUGGAUUUAACUUGAGCCUGACGUUAUAAUUCUCAGCAAAUGGAUUGUUUUCUGCACCACCUCAGGUUUGGAUUCCACCUCCUCCAAGUCGUCUUAAUUUUAUGCAUGCAAUCGCAUUUACUGCGAUGAUUAGUGUAAGGAGCCACCAUCUUCAACCUUGGGAUCGAGGUUUUGGUCAAUGAAUUCUCGUUUAUCAACAACAUCUUCUUGUCGUCGUACACAAUACAUAUAUCUGCUUUGAAUUAAUUGCUUAAUCGAAUUCUCUUGGUAGAUGAUUUGAUCAAGAAAUACUGCAAAAAGAACAUACAAAUCAAUAACUUAAAAAAAAAUCUUGGAUUGUGAACAAUGAAAACAACGUCACUUUUGGCAUCUAAUUCGUGCAUCCAACUCAGGUAAAAAAAAAAAAACUCUUAAAAGAAAUUAUUGAGAAAAAUAAAUCAUGAUAAGAUUAUUAUGAUUAUCUUAAUAUUUUAAUAAUAUAUUAUUAUGAUUUUAAAUCAUAAAAAUUAUGAUAAUUUAUUAUUAUUAUUUAUCAAAUAAUAAGGAUCAUGAUUUGAACGUGAUUUUUUAUAUUAUGAAAUAAUUUAGAUAAAUAUUUUAUAUUUAUUAUUGAUUAAAAAUUAUAUAAUUAUUAUAUUUUAUAAUAUUUAUUUAUGUAUAUAAAUUUAUAUCCACUAUCAAUAAAAAAUUAAACUAGUCAUUAUUUAAUACUAUUAGAGUUUUAUUCUUUGGCAAGCCCUCUUUCUUGCAAGUUUCUUUGGGUCUUUUUUUCUUCACUUUUUGAUGUGAUCGAUAAUAUCUCUUUAAUUAGUCACUCAUCCUAUAUCAUUCUUAACUCUUUUACUUUUGAAAAUAUUCUUAUCUUCAUUAACAUUGCACCCUAAGCUUCUCUUAAACCCAUGUCCACAAACUAUAUCUCUUGGCAUACUCAAUUGUAUUCUUUUUUUAUCAGUCAUGAUCUUAUGGAUUAUGUAGAUGAUACCAUCAUUUGCUCUUUACAAAUCUUGAAGUUAUUAACCCUAAAUAUAUAUUGAAGUUAUUAACCCUAAAUAUAUAUUUUUGGAUAUGUCAAAAUCAUCUUUUUAGAAGUGCUAUCAUAUUCUCUCUCUCUCUCUCUCUUAUCAUUCCUUAUAAAGCCUCUACAAAAUUCUCUCAUGAAGUGUAAUCUAAGUUUUUAACAAUAUAUGCCAACUAAUCUCGUGAUCGUCUUAUACAACUUCGAGAAACUCUCUUUAAGUUUUUUAAAGGCACACAAUCUAGUUCUAACUAUAUGCAAGUUAUUAAAAUUUAAGCAUAUGCGGCUGAUGCAUAUUCUAAUGAUAAAGAGAUUAUUUUUCAUAUAUUAAAUGGUUUUGGUUCAUAUUACAAGUAGAUAUUGACUAUGAUUCUUGUGAUAAUUCUAUAUCUUUUGAAAUAAUUUAUGAUAAUCUUUCUUACUAUGAAGCUUAUUUUAAAUAGGAGUCAUCACCUUUUGAUGGUGCUUUUUUUAUCAUUAAUUUUUCUAACAAAACUAAUUCUAGUAAAUGCAAUAUCUAUAACUAGCAAGGCAAUCAUCCAAACAAUAAUUCUGGAGGCAACAUGUAACAAUACCAUAAUAAAAGUGUCAACAAAUUUGGAGAAUAAUUCAAUAACAAAGUCAUCUAUCAAAUAUGUGAAAUAUAAGGCUAUGUUGCUAAGAAAUGUUAUUAUUUGCAAACUACUAUUCCAUGGAUGGUUUAGCCUUUAUACUCAUCAUAUUCUAUAUAUAUCCAACUACACUACUUAUUCGGUUUUUAUUACCACCAUUACGUGCUCAUUUUGUUGCUCAAUUUUAUUGGUCUUCAUCAAAUUGGCUUAUUGAUUAUAGAGCUUCUUAUUAUGUCAUGUCUGACUUAAAUAUUCUAUCUCUUCAUUCAAAUUAUGAUGGUUCAGAUGAUAUCAUGAUAGAUAUUAGUAAAUGUUUCAAAAUAACUUAUAUUUAUUCUAUAAACCUUCUUUUUUCCUCAAAUUUUUUUUAUUUUCUUAUAUUCUUUAUGUUGUUGAUAUGAAGAAGAAUAUAUUAUUGGACUCUAAAUUAUGUUCUUCUAAUAAUAUUUUUAUUAAUUAUUAUUAUUUUUAUUUGUUUUGAAUGAUCUCAAUACGAGAAUAUAUCUUAUGGAGGAAGUGAAUAGAGAUGGAGCUCAUAAGUGGCCAACUAUUGCACCAUCUCUACCUAAAUCCAUUUUUGUUUUGGCCACACGCAAAGCUCCAUUUCAAGAGUAACACAAUCACUUAUGGCAUCCUUUUUUUUAAGUUCCAAAUCAUAUUGUUUGUUCUUACAAUUUACCUUUAUCAUUAUCAUCUUGUCAUCUUUUUUAUGCAAUUUAUGCAAAUAUAAUAAAUUAUAUAAUCUUUCAUUUUUUAUAUCCUUUUCAUAAGUAAUUCACUUUUUGAACUUAUAUAUCAUAAUGUUUGGGGUCCUUCACCAAUACAAUCUCAUGAUGGAUUUAACUAAUAUCUUUGAUUUUUCCUAAGUUCAAACUUAUUGUUGAAAAGUCAUUUCUACUAUCCAUUAUUUUAUUUUACUUUGAUACUGGUGGUAAAUUUUAAAUGUUUUAUAACUUUUUUAAAACCAACACAAUCUCUAAUUUUCUUACCCCUCUAUAUACUACCGAACAUAAUGGGAUCAUAGAAUGUCAUCAUAUCAUUUAAACUGGUCUUACACUCCUUACUCAAGCUUCUUCACCUCUUAAAUUCUAGUCUUAUAUAUUUGUCAUAUCAACUUAUCUUAUUAAUCACAUACUUAUUCUAGUCUUUAACAUAAUUUUACCAUUGAAAAAUUUAUUUGAAUCUACUCCUAACUAUAAUAAAUUAUGUUUUUGAAUGUCUAUAUUAUCUAUAGUUAAGACCUUAGAUCCAUAACAAACUAGAAGCCUGAUCAAAAUCAUAUAUUUUUCUUAGAUAUUCUAGUAAUUAAAGGACCUUUAAAUGUUUUGAUCUAUCAACCAAAUUUUUUUUAUUUCUCACCAUGUUGAUUUUAUAGAAUUUUUUUUCUUGUAAAUUACUUGACUCUUUUUUUAUCUAGACUAACUUCUAAUAAAUUUAUUAAUUUAGUCCCAUAAAUUCUUAAGCAAUCUCAUAUUAUCAUUCCUAUUUAGGCCGAAAUGUAAACCCCACCCAUCAAUCUAAAUACUUUAUCUACUUAAGCACCCAUCAGGUCCUUCCUCAAUAGUGCAUAAUGAAUAACAUGUUACCUCAUCCAUCCAGUUGUCUCAUGAGAGUGUCAUGCAUCAAGAGAAUUCAUAAUAAGGUUUGAUUUUAGUAUCCCUUAUUUUAAUUUUUUUUUGUUUAACAUGUCUCAAAGAAGUUAUUGGUCUACACUAAUUCACUCAAUGGUUACUAGAUCCAAAAUUGUAAAAAUAAUUUUUUAUUUUCAUAAAAUAAUCCUAAAAAAUUAAUUUUGAGCCAUAUACUAUCAAUCAAACAUUAAAAUUUCUCAAUGAAGGAGUAGUAAUGUUUAAAAAAAUAUAAUAUUUUAUUACGACAUAGGACUUAGUCUCAACCCAUCUAAGUCAAAACUUCAUAAGAUGCAAAUAGUUUUUUUAUACCAAAGAAAAUCCCGAUGGAUCCAUUAAUAAGUAUAAAGCAAGUCUUAUUGUAAAGGAAUCUCAUUAAUGUCUAGGCUAAGUAUCAUGAUAUCUUUAGCCCAAUUGUGAAGUCAAUAAUAAUUCAUAUUAUUUUAUGUCUUACCUUAUUUAAUAAUUGGGGAUGAUGUGAAUAAUAUAUUUCUUCAUUAUCAUAUUUCUGAUGAUGUAUUUAUGAGAUAACUUCUAAGCUUUAUUGAUUAUAAUCUUCAUCAUCUGAAAAUUAUGUAAGACUCUUUAUAAUCUCAAGUAGGCCCUUCGUGCUUGGUAUUAUGAACUUUGAAUAUAUCUAGUCUCAAAUAGAUUUUAUAAUUCUCAAUAUGAUAAUUCGUCAUUCAUUUAUUCUCAUGAGUGCAUGAUUAUAUUUUUACUAGUUUAUAUGGAUGACCUAAUUAUUAUUAGUAAUAAAUAAAUAAUAAUUAGUCACUUUAUUUAACAACUUAAAUAAGUUUUCUAUCAAAGAUCUUGGGUCCCUCAACUAUUUUCUUGAUGUGUACGUCAUCCACACAAUAAUGGUCUAUUUUUUUCCCAACAAAAUUAUAUUCAUAAAUAUUCUUGAUCACACUAAAAUAUUGAAACCAAUAUCAUUGCUAUGCCAAUCUUUACAAAUAUUCCUCUUAUCUUAUCUGAUAGUGCUAAUCUCAAUGAUGCCACUAAGUAUUGUCAAGUUGUUGGUAAUUUACAGUAUUUGACAUUUACUCAUCUGAACAAUACAUAUGCACAAGCCUACUUUCAACCAUUGGAUAACUAUUAAAUAUUUUCUUUCGUAAUUAAAUGAUAUUAUUCAUUGUGACUUAUUCCUUUAAAAUGACUCUCUUCUAUUGCCUUAUGUAUUUUUAAAUAUCGAUUGGACAUGUAAUAAAGAUGGUAGGACAUCUACUGGUGCUCAUGUCAUAUUUCUUAGUUAUAAUCUAAUUUCUUAUAGUUUCAAAAAAUAACGCUCUAUUGCAAGAUUUUAUAUGGAGGCUAAAUAUCAAGUGAUUUCUUUUACAAUUAUUGAACUUUGUUAGAUUCAAUCAUUGCUAUAUGAACUAUUUAUCACAUUAUUUGAUCCUCUAUUUAUAUAUUGAGUUAAUAUCGAGAUAACAUACAUAUGUGUUAAUCCUAUAUUUCAUUGUUAAAUGAAACGUAAAGUUAUCAACUUUCAUUUUGUUUGUGACAAAAUUCAUAAUGAUGAGCUAUGUGUCUCUCACGUCGCAUCUUCUAAUCAACUUACAUAUGCUCUUACUAAGCUUCUAUCUCGUCAAUAAUUUCUUCUACUUUGAUCCAAGAUCGAUGCCUUUAAUGAGAGCACCAUGAUCCUCUCAAUAUUCUGAUAAUAUAUUAUCAUAAUUUUAAAUAAUUUAAAAUAAUAUGUUAUCAUAAUUCUAUCAAAUAAUCAGGAUCAUUAUCUCAAUAUAAUUUUUUAUGUUAUAAAAUAAUUUAGUUAAAUAUUUUAUAUUUAUAAUUAAUUUUUAAAAAAGAAGUUCAUAUUCACUAUUAAAAAAUUAAAGUUAAUAAUUUCUUUCAUAUAUUUUGAUGGAAUUAAAAUGACAUAUUUAGGGUUAUUAAUCCCCCGAUUCCCUCAUGCAUUAAGAUCUAAAUGUUUGUGCAUGGUUAAUACAUAUGAAGUCCUGCCUCGGGCUUUGUAAUGCAAAAUUUACAGUACCCAAACCUGUAGUUUCCGUUCUAUAAAUUAAUGGCUGAUUCCAACUAUGGUCAACUCCUUACAAUAUUCAAGAACAAAGCGUAAGUUGUCUCUACGUGAGGCAUUGGAACUAAGGUUUAUACUAACAAUUAGGCAUCUCCCUAGUGGUAUUGAAAUCAACAACCAUCCACAUUAACAAAUCCCGAGGCAGAAAGCUUGUGAGAUGAGACUGCAAAUUGUCAACACGAAGACUACACCACACCUACCAUUCUCUUCCCCGGAGUUUUCUAUGAGAACUGCCAACCAACCUCGAACACAGAGAGUACGAAUGAAUGGUUUGGAGUUCGUACUCGAAGCCAUAUCAUUGUGGAGCAGCUAGCCAACAGUAUCUUCCAUAGUUUUAUGAGUCAAGGUUUGUGGUACAGUUGACGAGGCUGUAAGUUGAAGCCUUCGCAUCCCGAGUUGGAUAAGGGAACGAAGUCCCAUCAAUCAAUCAUCUUUUAAGUCUCCCUGCCUUGGGAGUGCUAAGACAAUAAAUUUAUGCUUCAGAUCCUAUUACAGGGCGACAUCCACGUGUGACAGUGCUAACGUCGGAUUAAGAUGGAUUAAAGAUACCGGGGUCAAUCAGAUACAGUAUUAUGAUUCGACUAUAUGCAAUGUAGUUUGAGACAAGCUCUUCCAUUUAGGGAUCCAACUAAUCUAAGUUGAAUUUGGUAACCACUGAGAUCUAUGGAAUCUACAUAUUUGUUUUUUGAUGUCAACUGUCUUUGUGACAGCCCGGCCAUUUGAUCUUAAUUUAGUCCUAUCCAUUUUCAUGAGUUAGAAAUCGGAGAGGAAGCAAAGUGUCUCAUGUAAUGGAGAUUUCAUGAACUAAGAACUAACAUAAAGAACUUUGUGUUACCUACUGUAAUCAUGUAGUUGAGAGCUAUCUUACGCCUCACUCUAGUUUUUGUUCUCUCUCAUUUUGCCUCUUGCAGUAAAUUGUAAUGGUUACGAUCUUUGCAGUUCGUACUGCAACAUUAACUUCUCUAUCAGGUAGUGUUCAAGCAUGUAAUGCAGAGACAGCAUUCUAUUGUGAAUGGAGUCAAAGCAACUUCUGCUGGUUUCUCUAUCGUGUAUGCUGGGUAAAAAGUAGCUGUUGAUUUCAUAUUUUGAUUGAAAGUUCCAGGCACGAAGAUUGCAAGUUUUGUAAGUGUGCGUUUGUUAGCUGAUCUAUUUUAUCCUCUAAUGCUAUUGCCUGGACUGAACUUCAUCGGCUUGACUGUGAACUUCAGUCACGAGUUGACUAAGCCUUAUUACUAAACUAGGUUAUGCUUAGUUUGUUCCUCAUCACAUGGAUUUGGAUCAUAUUUAGACAUAUGAGUUGAGUUAUGUUUGACUACAUGAACUAGAUUAUACCUGACCAUAUGAGUUGUAUUAUGUUUGGUUAUAUUGGUUGGAUUAUACCUUACUACAUGAGCUAGAAACUUGAAUAAUCUUCUUCUUGAAACACAUAAGACUUUUAAUGAUAUAUGAAAUGAUAUGCAAAGCACAUAAUGAAAAAGAAAUAAUAAAUUAUAUCUUAAUGACUUUUAAUUAUGAGGUGUUUGAUUCUUUCAAAACUUCUUUAUUGCAUGAUGAAUUAUUUGAAGUAUUUAAUAAUUUAUAUGAUGAACUCAAAAAAAUUGAUAAGAAAUAUAAUUCACUAAAAGGGAAUCAUGUAUUACUUACUAAUGAAUUUAAUAUAUUAAAAAUUAUGCAUAGCAAAUAUAUAUUAAUAUCUUGUACUUCUUGCUUUAAAUAGGAAGAUUUAAAAUUAUCUAAUUUUGAGCUUAAAAAGGAGUCAUUUAAAAAAAUUAUAUAUUUUAAAAAUAUAAAAAAGACCUAAUUAUCAUGAAUGAGAAACUAGAACAUUAUUUAAAAUUAUCUAAUCUUGAACUUAAAAAGAAGUCAUUUAAAAAAUUAUAUAUUUAAAAAAAAUAAAAAAAGACCUAAUUACCAUGAAUGAGAAAAUAGAAUAUUAUUUAAAAGAAUCAAUUGACAGUAAUAAUAUAAUAAAAUAUCUUAAAAAGAAAAUAUAUUUCUAUAAUAAAUAUUAAAAAAUUUAAAUAAAAAAAUAAGUCACUUGAUAUUAUUCUUACUAAACAAUGUUAUGUAUUUAUAAAAAAAAGUAUUAGUUUUACAAGUAGAACCAACCAACUAAAUUUGUAAAAAGACUUAUAUUAUAUAUUUUUUCUAAAAGUUAAAUAUAACUUUUGUGAAAGGUUUAGUCACUAUGCUUACACAUGCUCUUUUAAAAAAAUAUAGUCAUCCUAAAUUAGUUUAGGUUCAUAAAGAAAUCAUGAAUAAUUUGAAGCCAAAAAUCAAGAAAUAUAGAUCUAACCACAAAAGACUGAAAGUUAAAUAGAUAUCUAGAACAAACUUCUUGUUUUUUAUAGGUAUAUCUCCGAACAAGAGUUAGGAGCAAAAGAUAGUAUCUUGAUAGUGGAUGCUCAAUGUAUAUGACCGGAAUUCACUAGCUAAGAUGGAAGAUAUAUUAUUUUGGAGAUAAUAGUAAAGGAAAAUCAAUAGUAUUAAAAAUAUUAGUAAAAAAUCAAAUCUUUUAACUAAAGAUAUGCUUUUGGUAAAUGGUUCGAAACAUAACUUAAUAAGUAUUAACAAAUUUUAUGAUAAGAGAUAUAAUAUUAAAUUUAAAUAUAAUACUUCUAUAAUAGAAAUAUUAAAUAAGAAAAAUCUAUGAUAGCUUUAAGAAAUAAUAAUGUUUAUACUAUUAAUAUUUUGAUCUUGAUAAUUUUUGUAAUAUAACUUAUUUUUUUGAUUUUAAAUGAUGAUACAUGGCUUGGGCAUAAGAAGCUAGGAUAUGCUAGUAUGAAAUUAUUUUCACAAAUUAAAACUAAAAAACUUUUAAGAGGAAUGUAUAAAAUUAAAUUUGUUAAAAAUAAAUUUUUUAAUGUGUGCCAACUAGAAAAACAUAUAAGGAGCGGCUUCAAACCAAGUAAGUACCUAUUCACAUAAAUUUAUUUAUACUUAUUGAUAUUACUUGUGAUUGUUGAUGAUUAUAGUAGAUAUACUUAGACAUAUGUUAGGAACCCUUUAAUUUUUGAGUUUUUGAGUCCUAAACUGAUGUAAUAUUUUCUUGAGUUUUCUAGUUCUAGUAGGAGUCGGCUAGAGGUCUUAUUUGAGAUUUAUUAUUUUGAUUAGGAGUCUAAGUCGUAAUAGACUUAGGAGUGAAACUCUAUCAAUAGGGAUAUAUUUGCUUCUUUUCUUCAUAAAAAAAUAAUAUUUUAGCCUUUAAUAAAUCCUAAGAGGUCGAUCCCUUCAAAGUGAUAUUAUCCCUUUCUUCCUCUUCUUCUUUUAUGAUAAAACCUUAGGGGUCUUACUAUCUGGUAUCAAAGCAGUGAUCCUUGGUGUUCCUACUAUAACUCCCCACAUCCCAUCUCUCACCGUAGUGCCCUCGGCUGAGCCCUUCUCUUCCCUCUCUUCAUAGUUGCCAUUGCAUUUCCCCCGUAACUCAUCAUGGUCUCCUUUGCUCUCGCUACAGACACUGUCGCAUAGAGGGCUAGGGUUUUCGUAGGGACCUUUAGCGCUCCCACAACCUCUUAGUAAUUAUAGCGAGCCCUCAGCAACGUUGCUCCUAGUUGCACCGCCAUCGCUACCUCCUAGCCCUCAAUAGCAAUGAUGCCUCCAUGUAGCGACCACAGCAAGCAUUAUUGCCUCCCAGCCCUUAGCAACAAUGAUCCCUCCACACAGCGAUCCCAAUGGGCAUCGUUGCCUCUCAGCCCUCAGUAGUAGCGACCCUCCAUGCAGCAACUGCCAUGACCACCGCCUUUGCCCCCUCCACUAUCAUCUCUCUCCUUAGCCAUACCUUCGUUAGAGAUGGCAUUGCUAGCGUCUCCUUCCAGCAAUGCACCUUCCAGCCUGCUGAUCUAUAGUUCCCAACCUCUUGGUGCUUUGCUAUUAACCAAUUGUACGAUUGUUAUGGCUUCCCAAUCAAGCCCUUUUCUUCCCUCCCUUCGUCACCAUCGUGGCGUUUCCCCCACGACUCAUCAUUGUCUCUUCUACUCUCGCUAUAGACAUAAUCGCACAAAGGGCUAGGGUUUUUGCAGGGACCCUCGAUGCUCCCACAACCUCCUAAUAACCAUGGCAAGCCCUUGGCGACACUACUCCUAACCGCACUAACCAUUGCUGCCUCCUAGCCCUCAACAGUAGAGAUCCCUCCACGCAACAACCGCAGUGAGCAUCACUGCCUCCCAGCUCUUGGUAGUAGCGACCCUCCAUGUAGUGACUGCGACAAGCCCUCAAUGGCACUGCUUCUAGCCACGCCACCAUUGUUGCCUCCCAGCCUCUCGGUGUCCAGGGCUUUAUCGACAUCCUCACAACCACCCUUUGUGCCCACAAUGCUGCCAUCAAUCGACGUCACAGUUGAUGCCCUUAACCCGACACCAGAAAUAAGAGUUGGGAAUUACAGAUCUAUAGUCCUAUGCAAUGGCUACUGACAAUUCAAUGCAAGCUCAACUAGAAGCAUUGGAAUCUAGAAUUGAGAAUCGAUUGUAGAAACUCUUAACUAUUUCAAAAAGAGCCUAUUAGAGAACUUCAACAAGUUUCAAUAAGAUGAAAGCUCAAGUCUGACAUUGAAUUGAUCUGAAGACAUAAGAAAAAUGCACUAAGAACAUGACACAAGCUACCCACACAUAAAGGUGAAAUUUCUAAGAUGGGAAGAUGGGGACCUGACCAUUUGGAUAUCUAGGGUAGAAUUUUUUAUUUUAUUUUUAUAGAACUCAAGAAGAAUUUAAGGUGGAAAUAGCUUCAAUCUAGUUAGAUAGAUAUGCAAUGUAAUAGUAUGAUUGGUUUAAAACCUAUUAUGAGGUUCUCUCACGGGAGUAAUUCAAGAGAGAACUUCUUGUUUGCUUUGGACUAUCUUAAUCCGAGAAUAUUAAUGGGCAACUCACUAAAAUUCGUUAGACUUUUAUGGUGCUAGAGUUUCAGAGCAGGUUUGAAUGAUUAUCAAAUCAAGCCAAAGAUUGGUCCAAACGGUAAUUGGUGGGUAUAUUUAUAAAGGACUUAAUCUAGAUAUUUGAUGUGAAGUUAAAACUCGCCAAUCUUGCACUAUGACAACUGCAAUCUCAUUUAUACGUUUGUAUAAGAAAAAAAAUCAGCAUGGAGAAUCACUAAAAUAAAAGUAACAAUAAAUAGAUGAUCAACAAGCUACUCACCCUAUCUAUUCCCAACUGAAACUCUAACACCCGAUGACUGACCCGAGAAGAAUUCAAGGAAAGAUCAACGAAGGGUUUGUGCUGGCAUUGUGAUGAAAAGUAGAGUAAGGAGCACCGAUGCAAAUAAGGGAAGCUUUUAAUGAUUGAACCGAUCGAGAAACUGGAAGUUGACAAUGUGAACUCUGAUAAUAAAGGUAUGGAUAUUGAUGAUGAUGAUGUUAUACCUUUCACACAUACAGUGCAUACAUUGGCCAGCUACUCUAAACCGCAAACUAUGAAAGUUGAAAAAAUUUUGAAACAUCGGUCUGUUAUUAUUUUGAUUGAUAUUGGUAGUACUAACAAUUUUAUGGAUAGUAAGGUUGCUGCUCGAUUGGCCUAACACAUUGAAGGCUAUGACAAAUUUAAAGUAAAGGUCAUUGAUGGAUGGAUUCUAACUUUUGAUAGCAAGUAUUUGAAGAUAAAACUGAUUAUGCAGGGCUAAGAAUUGCUUAUGGAUUUCUUUUUGCUACCCUUAAAAAAUUUUGAAAUGAUGCUUAGAAUUGAAUGACUAUCAACCUAGGUGAUGUCUCUUAGAAAUUUUCUAAACUAAUCAUGAAGUUUUUUAUUAGUGGAAAGUAUGAUGUCUCAUGAAAUUUUUUUAAACUAAUCAUGAACAUGAUCUAUCUAAAUACUUUUGGGUUGAAGCCAUUAAUACGACACACUAUGUCACGAACAUAAUUCUUAUAAGACCACAUCUAUCUAGAACUACUUAUGAAUUAUGAAAUAAUAAAAAACCUAACAUCUCAUAUUUUAAAUUUUUGGUUAUAAAUAUUUUAUUUUAAAUGAUAAAGAUGCAUGAGGAAAAUUUAAUACAAAAUCCAAUAAAGAUAACUUUCUUGGAUAUUCCUCUAUCUCUAAAACUUAUCGAGUUUUCAACGAGGGAUCCUCAGUCAUUAAAGAAUCUAUUCAUCUUAUUUUUGAUGAAUCUCAGUCAUUAAAUAAUUCUGAUGAUAAUUUUGAAUUUGAUAAAAUGAAUUUGAAUGAGGAUGCUUCUCCCCAAAGCAACUUGAUUAUAUCUAUUUAUAAAGAAACCUUACCCAAGUAAUAGAAAUAUAUAGAUGGAUAUCUUGAAGAGUUAAUUAUUGGAGAUACAUCAAAAGAUAUUCUGACUUAUUAUUCACUAAAAAAUAUUUAAGCAAAUGCUACUUUUUUUUUAUGUUGAAUUAUGCCUAAAUACAUUGAUGAUGCUCUUAAAGAUGGCUUAUGGGUCUCAACAAUAUAUAAGUAAAGACCCUUUGCUAUUUGUUCUCAUAUGAUUUUUUAUUUUUACUAAUAACUAAAGAUGAUAUUUAUCCAAAUGAAUCAUGAUCUUUCACUUAUUUCUCGAUGUUCAUGACUUAAGAUUUAUUUUGUAUAAAUCAAGAUCUUUUACUAUUUGUUCUCCUAUAAUUCUUUCUUUUUGCUAAUGGCUAAGGAGGAGAUUUACCCAAAUGAAUCAUAAUCUUAGAUAUAUUUUAUAUAAAUCAAGACCUUUUACUAUUUAUUCUCUUAUGCUUUUUUCUUUUUACUAAUGACUAAGGAGGAGAUUUAUCCAAAUAAAUCAUGAUUAUUCAGUAUUCAUGACUUGAGAUUUAUUUUAUAUGAUUCUUUUAUAUUCAUGAUUUAUAUAUUUAAUUUUGUUAAUAACAAAAGAGGAGAAGAAGUAACUUAUAUUUUUUUAUUAAUGAAAAAUUGGGAGAAAUAGUAAUUCAUGCUUAGCUUAUAUGUUGAACAAGAAGACUUAGGAUGCUUUUAUAACUUUUUAUUAGUAGUAACUCAUGCCUAACUUUUGUUAAUUAUUUUUUAAACUUGAAAUUUGGUUAAAUAUUUAAGUUUGUGUUAGGGAAAAUAAUGGCACAGGAAUAGCAUGUGGUGGAUCACCAUUUAAGAUCAACAUGGGAGCUCGCACUGUAUCCUCAUGUGGGAAUUUAUAUGAAAUGACCAUUGGAAUAUGACAACUAGACCCAACCUCUCAGUUUUCCUUGAUCACACCACUAGACCCAACUUUUUUUUCUAUAGAAAAUUCUAAGAUUUUAUUUUCUGUUCUUCCAUUAUGCAUAUGAUACUACCACAGAUUUCCUAAUAGUGAUAUCAGAGUUAAGUUAUUCGUGCGAAAUAUUGGUUUUUAAACUAUAUGUGUUGAAUCACAUAAAAUUAUUUUUGCAUGAUUGUUAUAAUUUUUAACAUAGUUUUCAAAUCUGAACUACACGUCUUCUCUCUGUUAAAAGGAGCUUUAAAUCAAUAUUUUGUUGCUAAAAUUAUCGUCACAUAAUAGAGAGAAAAGGGCAACAAUUGUUAUUGCCCUAUGGUUUGGCCAAAGGCUGCUUGUAGCCUUGGCCAAGAACAUAUCUUACUGCUCUCAGCCUGGCCAAAAGUAGUAAGUCCAAGAGUAGUGAAGGGAGCUCUCGGCCUAGAGGUUAGCAGCCCCUAUAGCCGGGUUUUCUAGUUGCAAGGGGUAGCCCUAGUGACAAGGAUUCCUAGUUGCAUGGGAUAACACAACCAUGGUUUCUUGGCUAUAUAAGACACCUUAGGAGCCAGGGAUCCUUAGCUAUCUAAGGCAAUCCUGCGGCCAGGGAUUCCUAGCUGUAUGGGUAACCUUGGUAGCCAAGGUUUUCUGGUCGCAUAAGGCACCCUAGGGUAUGGUAUCCCAAAGGCUAUAGAAUAAUUAAUUAAAUAGUUUUAGUUCAUUAUUAUUAUUGUUAUUAUCUAGUAGUCCUAUAUGGUGAUGUGUAUAUGUGAUGUAUAAUGUGAACGGAUGAUCAUAGACUAUGUGAUAUGUGUGUACACGUGAUAUAAUUAUUAUUAUUAUUGGAGCCUAUGAGCCUUCAAUUUUUCUCAUGUAUUAUCGGGCUUACAUGCUUAUGAUUAUGUUGUAAUUACAUGAGAAGUUGUGGUGGGAGCAUGGAGGUGAUAACAAGACCCACGAGGUUGAGAUGGACGAUCGCGACGCAUGGAGAUGCCGACGAAAUUGAUGAAGAUGAGAUGGACGAUCAUAGGACAUUGAGAUACGCUGAUGCACACAUAGAUCGUGAUGUGUGUGAUUGGAUCCACUAGCUCAAGCUUGAUCACAUUAGGCUAUUAUUCAUGAUCAUCUGGCGUGAUUGCUCGUGUGAUAUGUGAUUGACUAUAACUUGCUAAAUAUGUAUAUAUAUAUAUAUAUAUAUAUAUAUAUAUAUAUAUAUAUAUAUAUAUAUAUAUUUGCAUGUAAUGUAGAUAUAUNNNNNNNNNNNNNNNNNNNNAUUAAAUAUGUAUGUGUGUGACACAUCAUAUUGGGAGAUCAAAUUAAAAUCCCCUCUCUCAAUAAUAUUAAGUCAGUAAACGUGAGGUAAUUAGAUUAACUCACAUGAUUUUCUAUCGUUAUAGGGAGAAAUUAAUUCCUAACGUAGUUUGAGUUGGUCGAGUCCCUCGAGGCUCACCUAUAUUGUGAUUCGAGAUUUUAGCUAUGACAUAGAGAUAUCACCAAUGACUUGAGGAUAUGGUAUGCUUGGUCGAGUCACUCAAGGGCAUAUCAUCGAAUCAGACUCAUUUUGUGAUGAUGGUGAUAACUUAAUCGAACAUCAUGGUUGGUCGAGUCCCUUAAAGCCAUGAUAGUUCGGAGGCCGAACAAGAUGAAAAUUACAAGGAGUUGUGAUCAGCAAGAGUUGCCUACUUUUUUGAGCUUAGUGUAAUUGGUCGAGUCCCUCGAGGUUACGUUAAGAUAUCAACUAAAUCCAUAUCCCCAUUAGAGAUCCGUCGAAGGUCUCAAAUUCACAUAUCGGAGGGAGUUGUGUGUUUCACAAGAAAAUAGUAAGAGUAGAUUAAGAUAGAAGACCAUAUCUUGAUUAUUUAUUUUUUUUAUAAAAUUAAUAUAUUAUUAUUUCUGUUACAUCUUUAUUUAUUUUAAUAUUACUUUCAAAUCUCUUAUGUGGCAUAUUUGAUGUUAACUACCUCAUUACAACAAAUUAUAUGGAUUGACUCCUUAACCUGAGAAUCGUUCUCAUGGCGAAGAAAAUCACAUAUAUACUUGACAUAGUGAUGAAUACGCUUGAGGAAGGGGCAAGAAAGGAUGAGAUCGCUCGCUACGUAAAGUAUAUAGAUGUUGGGCUCCAUGACUCCCGAGUUACAAAGGCAGCAUGAAAAGACAGAUGCUUGAUUCAUUCUCUUGCAUCUCUAUAAAUUGUUUGAGGAAUAGGGAAGAACUUAGUGAUAUGAGAUAUCUGAGAGUCUCUUCCGUGCUAGGAUGAUUAGGGGACAUCAGUUCAGAACCAUAUCCUUAAUAUGAUUGAGUAGAUAGAGAAUCUCAUAGGUCUAGGAAUGGUCCUAGAGGAUAACUUGUGUAUGGAUCUUAUGCUUCAAUCACUACUAGAUUCCUUUAUUCAGUUCAUUAUGAUUUUAAUAUGAACAAGCUUGAGGUGACUCUCCUUGAGCUCCUCAAUAUGUUUAGAGAGGCUAAGAGCACCAUCAAGAAAGAGAAGCUAGUUCUCUAUGUUGAUGAGACCAAAAGGAAAAGGAAGUCAAAGAAGUCCCUUAAAAAGGGCAAGGGCAAAUCGGGUAAGGCAAAGGUUGUUAAGAAAGACCCGACAAAGGAUAAAAGCUAAUGCUUCUACUAUAGCAAAGAUGAGCGCUAGAAGAGAAACUGCAAAUAGUACAUUACAAAGAAGGCAAGAUAGAAGCUUUAUAUAUAUUUAUGAUCAGUCUUCAUUUGUUAGACUCUUAUGAUAACAUACGAGUAUUAAUACCCAUAGUGUUUAUCACAUCUGUAAUUUGUUAUAGAUUCUAACAAGACCUAGGAGAUUGGCGAGAGACGAGAUGGACCUCAAGAUGGGCAAUAAAGCAAAAGUUACUGUAAUGGCUAUUGGGGAGGUCACCUUACAUUUUCCUGGUGGAGCUACUGUUAAAUUGGAUGUAUGUUAUUUUGUUCUUUCUAUCAUCAAAAAUAUUAUUUUCAUUUCAUAUUUGAUAGUUAAUGAAUAUAAAUUAGUUUUUAAGAAUAAUAAAUAUUUAAUAAUAUUGGAUGAUAAAAUUAUCACUCGAGGAACAUUGCAUAAUGAUUUAUUUAUACUAGACACUACUUCGUAUAUCAUGAAUGUAAGUGUCCAAGAGGAAAUGAGAUGAGAUGAACAAUGCGUACCUAUGGCAUUAUAUCCAAAAGUUAUAGAAGAAUAGAUAUCUAGAUCCAUUCGACUAUAAGUCAUAUACAACUUGCGAGCCUUGCCUUCAUAGAAAGUUGAUCAAAUCUUGAGUUAGUCGAACUAGAGAGAGAGCCAGUGAGUUGUUGGAACCCAUGUAUAGUGAUGUAUGUGGUCUCAUAUUAACUUAGGUUAUAGGAGGUUAUUUUUACUUCAUUGAUGACUUCUCUAGGUAUGAAUAUGUAUAUUUGAUAAAGUAUAAGUCCGAAGUUUUUUAGAAAUUUAAGAAAUAUAAGAAUGAGAAAGAGAAUAAGAUUAGAAAGAGUAUCAAAACUCUUGGAUCAGAUCAAGAAGAUGCGUACUUGAGUAUGAUGUUCACCUAGUUCCUCAAGGACUAUGAGAUUCUAUCCCAAUAGACACCUUAUUAUAUACCUCAACUCAAUAGUGUAUCAAAAAGAAAGAAUCGUACACUGUUAGACAUGGUGUGGUCCAUGAUGAGUUUCGUCGACUUAUCUGGUAGAACCCUAAUGUUUUAUCGUAAAAGAAAUGGAAGAAAUAGAAGAAAAGGGGGAUGAUCACUUCAAGGGGAUCAGCCUCCUUGAUCACUUCGAGGGGAUCAAUCUCCUUGAUUGCUUCAAGGGGAUCGGCCUCUUAGGGUUUGUCAUUAUAGACUGGAAUAAUAUUUCAUUGAUUGAUUGAUUUAAAAGAAAGGGUUACAUCACUAUUUAUAGAGUUCCACCUAGAGUCCACCAAGACUUGGACUCUUAAUAAUAAUUAAAUAUUAAAUAAACCUUUACCCAACUCUAACUGAACUAAAUAGACUCAAUAAACAACUGAACUAAAUAGACUCAAUAAACAUUAUUCAAAAGCUCAGAAAAAAGGGUCCUAAUAAUUCCUCCCUCUUCAAAUCAACCUUGUCCUCAAGACUGAGCAGCAUCAAACUCGAGAGCUUCUCUUUCAGUACUUCAGUCAUAAGCUAUCUGCAACGCAUCACAACUCAUUGAUCAAAUGUGGUCUCUACUUUCUGAUAGUGUAAGCAAUAGGUCUGUCUUUCAGUGUAGUAAGCAUUGCAAGAAACUCCUGGUCUUGUAUAAUCAAUUUUAUCUUUGAACAUUUGCUAUUAUGAGUUAAAAUCCAUCCAUCAGCGAUCUUUACUUCGAAUUUGUCAUAACCUUCAAUGUUAUGGGCCAAUCGGUCAAUAGCCUCAUAGUCCAUAAAAUUAUUAGUGCUACCAGUAUCAAUCAAAACUAUAACAUGCUGAUGUUCCAGAGUUUCACCAACUUUUAUAGUUCGCGGGUUAGAGUAGUCGGUUAAUGUAUGAAUUGUAUGUAUGGUAGGUCCAACAUCUUCAUUAUAAUCUAUACCUUCAUGAUCGAAGUCAACAUUCUUAGCUUCCAAUUGGUUGCAUCAUCAGAAGUUACCCUUGUUUACAUCAGUACUCCAUGCUCCACUUUUCAUCAUAGUACAAACCCUUUGCUGAUCUUUCCUUGCUAAUUUUUUUCUCAUGUAGAUGUGCGAAUGAGAUCGCAGCUAUCAUAGUGCGGGAUUGAUAAGCCUUAACUUCACACCAGAUAUCUAGAUUAAGUCCUUUAAUAAAUGUACCCAAAAGUUAUUGUUCCGAUCAAUCUCUAGCUUGAUUUGAUAAUCUUUCAAACCUACUCUGAUAUUCCCACACUGUAGAAGUCUGACGAAUUUUAGCGAGCUAUUCAUUAACAUUAUCAUAUUUUGAUGGGCCAAAGCGAACAAGAAGCCCUCUUUCGAACUACUCCCAUGAAGGAACUCCAUGGCAAGUUUCAUACAAAUCGUACCACUGGAUUGUAUCUCUGUCAAGCUCGAUUGAGGCCACUUCUACCUUAGAUUCUUCUGGGGUUUUGUGAAAAUUUAAAAAAAAUUUUGCUCUAGAGAUCCGACUGGUCGGAUCUCCAUCUUCCCAUCUCGAAAAUUCCAUGUGUGAGUAGUUUGUGUCACAAUCUUGGGACCUUUUUCUUGUAUUUCCGUAUCUGUGCAACGUAGAACUUGAGCCCCCAUCUUGUUGAAAUUUAUUGAGGCUCUCUAGUAAGCUCUUUUUGAAAUCAUUAAGUGUUUCUUGGUGGAGAGAGUGAGACCGUGAUAGAAUUGAACGAGGUUGAAGAACCUAGCUCAAGCAUCAUUCCGUAGUCCGAGUCCAUUCAAGUAUCUAGCACAUAAGUUUUGACUUAGGUCCGAUAGAGUACCCGAUUCUCCUGAGAGAUAUGUGAGAUAUAUAAAAAAAGGGAUGUUGAGGAUAUUGAUCCUCAGACCUAUAAGGAGGCUAUUGCGAGUAUGGACUUCGGGAAGUAGUAAGAAGCCAUGAAUUCCAAGAUGGAUUUCAUAUAUUCCUAUAAGGUUUAAAACAUAGUUGAUAUACAUGAGGGUAUCACACUCAUUAGUUAUAAAUGGAUCUUUAAAAAAAAUUAGAUUAAAUGGAAAGGUGGAGACCUAUAAAGCAAGACUAGUGGCUAAGGGUAUUGUCAAAGGCAAUAUGUUGACUAUGACGAAACAUUCUCCCUCGUAGCUAUGUUAAAAUCCAUCCGAAUUCUAUUAGUUAUUUAUAACAUACGUAAAAGCAGUGAGCAAGUAAAAUCAGUAAGUAAUGAAGGAAAACAACAAAAGAAAAGAGCACAUUAGAUUUACAGUGGUUUGAUUAUCGUGACCGACGUCCACUCCUGAUUCCUCUUCACUCGAGGCUAUCAACUUCCACUACCAAUCUUCUUUCUAAUGGGUAAAGAUUAACUACCCUUAUAACUCCUUCUUCUUUUCAUAGGCUUGGGAAAGGACCUUUACACUCUUCUUUUACAAAGUAUCCCUCAUACACCUCCCUUAGAAUAACCUCUAACCUCAAGGAGGAGGGACUCAACUUUCUCAUAGAGUUUUUGUUAGGAUCAAGAGCACUAAGAGGGGGGGGGGGUGAAUUAGUGCAGCGGAAAUCUUUCGAUGAUUAAAACUUUGAAAGCUGCGUUCGUUCGAUAAAAACAAUUUCGAUGUAAAAGCUGAUUCUAAGAUUACUUUAACUUAAGAUUAAGCGAGAUGAUGUUAAAGUAGAUCUAUGAAGGCAGUUUGUAGUUUAUGAUGGAAAUCAGAAUGCAAGCGCAAACUGAAAUGCGAUGUUCGUACGAUAAAACCAGUUUACGUCUAAAUGCCGAUUCUGAAGAUACUGAACUUUGAGAUAUGUUUUAUAAAUGCGCAGAAGGCAGUUUGCAGUUAUGAUUGAAGUCUAAACGUAAACGUAAACUAAAAUAUAAUGCUCGUACGAAAAAGCCGAUUUACGUCUAAACGAAGAUUCGGAAAGCUCUGAACUUAGAAACUCGUUCGUUAAGAGCGCAGAGGGCAGUAAGCUAUUAAGGAGGUUUGCAGUAAAGAUAAAAUGCUCAAAGUAAAUGCAAACCAAGAUUUAGAGUGGUUCGGUCAAUCUUGACCUACUCCACUUUUGGCUUCCUCCACCGACGAGGUCACUGACGUCAACUAGAGGCCUUCCUUCAAUAGGCGAAGGCCAACCACCCUUUUACAGUUUCACUCCUUUUGACGGGCUUAGGAGACAACCCUUAUAGAAAUUUCUCUCCUCUCUUUACAACUCAGAACUUGGAAGAAAAGAGGGAGGAGAACUUUUGGCCUUUACAACAAUUUUGAGCUCUAAAAAUCACUGAAAAAGAUAAAGAUUUCGGGUAAGUUCUUGCUCUUUCAGUGUUGAAUGGGUGGGGUAUUUAUAGGCCCCAACCCAGUUCAAAUUUGGAGCUUAAAACUGUCAAUUCCUGGAAUCCCGGGAUCAGGCGGUUGCACCUCCUGAUUGGGGCGGUUGCACCGCCUGGCAGAGCUUGAAGAAUGAGCCUCUGGGCGGUGCCACCUCUGUCAGGGGCGGUUGCACCUCUCUGCCAGAGCUCGAAGACCGAGCUCAGGCGGUUGCACCUCCUGACUGGAGCGGUUGCACCGCCUGGCAGAGCUCGAAGACUAAGCUCAGGCGGUGCCACCUCCUGUCAGGAGAGGUUGCACCGCCCAGUCUCGCUUGGAGACUGAUCCCAGGCGGUGCCACCUCCUGGCUGGGGCGGUUGCACUGCCCAGUCUAGCUGGGAGACUUAGCCCAGACGGUGCUGCCUCCUGGCCUAGGCAGUUGCACCUCUUGGCACUAUUUCAGAUCACUGGUUGGGCUCCAAACUUGGCCCAAACCAGUCCGAAUUCGGGCCCAAUUGGAUCCUAACCGGGUUAUAAGAUUAACACCUAAUCCUAACCCUAAUUAAUGUGCUAACUACGAAUUUAAAGACAUUUCUUAUGCUAUUACAAAGUUCGCAAGUCAAUACUUCUUCCGGCGAGCUUCCGGUGAACUUCCGACGGUCUUCCGAUAAACUCUCGGAAACCAUUCUGCGGACUCCCGGCAAGCUCCUAGACUUCACGAUUUGAUCUUGGCGAGUUCCGACGAGCUUCUUUGGCAAGCUUCUGGACUUCUCGGAUUUGUUCCCGCAAAACCUCCGACGACCGUCCGAACUUCCGUCGAACUCUCGAACUCCCAACGUGAUCAUAGUCUUGACUCCGGCGCAACUCCUACUGCAUGUCUUUCUUCCAUCAUAGUUAAUCCUGCACACUGAAAACAAACACUUCGAUCGAGACAAUUAAUCCUAAGCAAUUAACCAAGUUGUCCGGCAUGUCAUUAGUCCCUCGACGCUUCGUCCGAUUCUUCGGCGCAUCGUCGUCUCCUGCAGCCUAUUGCCCAAUCGGCUAGUUGACUCCGCAACUCCGAUAUCCUUGGCACAAUACCCGCUCUUCUUGGUACGAUGCCCGAGUCCACAGCCCGAAGCUUUCUGUCGAUACGUCGACCGAUCCACCGGACCGACGUCCAAUCUUCUGACAUGUUCCUCCAGCACAACAUGAUUUUCCUGCUUUAAUUGUCUCAUCCUGAUCGAAGUAUCCUGCGUUACUCAAAACACAGAUUAAAUCAUAAACAUAUAUCAAGUGGUUUCAUCAUCAAAAUACGAGAUUCAACAAUCUCCCCCUUUUUGAUGAUGACAACCACCUGAUGACGGAGUUAACCUUAACUCCCGAAGUUUAAACAAACUCCCCCUAUCAAUAUGCCAUAUUGAUAGAAACUCUUAGAUUCAAAAAUCUAAGCAACAUGUCAUCAUAAUCGGAGUUAACCUUAACUCCUNNNNNNNNNNNNNNNNNNNNNNNNNNNNNNNNNNNNNNNNNNNNNNNNNNNNNNNNNNNNNNNNNNNNNNNNNNNNNNNNNNNNNNNNNNNNNNNNNNNNNNNNNNNNNNNNNNNNNNNNNNNNNNNNNNNNNNNNNNNNNNNNNNNNNNNNNNNNNNNNNNNNNNNNNNNNNNNNNNNNNNNNNNNNNNNNNNNNNNNNNNNNNNNNNNNNNNNNNNNNNNNNNNNNNNNNNNNNNNNNNNNNNNNNNNNNNNNNNNNNNNNNNNNNNNNNNNNNNNNNNNNNNNNNNNNNNNNNNNNNNNNNNNNNNNNNNNNNNNNNNNNNNNNNNNNNNNNNNNNNNNNNNNNNNNNNNNNNNNNNNNNNNNNNNNNNNNNNNNNNNNNNNNNNNNNNNNNNNNNNNNNNNNNNNNNNNNNNNNNNNNNNNNNNNNNNNNNNNNNNNNNNNNNNNNNNNNNNNNNNNNNNNNNNNNNNNNNNNNNNNNNNNNNNNNNNNNNNNNNNNNNNNNNNNNNNNNNNNNNNNNNNNNNNNNNNNNNNNNNNNNNNNNNNNNNNNNNNNNNNNNNNNNNNNNNNNNNNNNNNNNNNNNNNNNNNNNNNNNNNNNNNNNNNNNNNNNNNNNNNNNNNNNNNNNNNNNNNNNNNNNNNNNNNNNNNNNNNNNNNNNNNNNNNNNNNNNNNNNNNNNNNNNNNNNNNNNNNNNNNNNNNNNNNNNNNNNNNNNNNNNNNNNNNNNNNNNNNNNNNNNNNNNNNNNNNNNNNNNNNNNNNNNNNNNNNNNNNNNNNNNNNNNNNNNNNNNNNNNNNNNNNNNNNNNNNNNNNNNNNNNNNNNNNNNNNNNNNNNNNNNNNNNNNNNNNNNNNNNNNNNNNNNNNNNNNNNNNNNNNNNNNNNNNNNNNNNNNNNNNNNNNNNNNNNNNNNNNNNNNNNNNNNNNNNNNNNNNNNNNNNNNNNNNNNNNNNNNNNNNNNNNNNNNNNNNNNNNNNNNNNNNNNNNNNNNNNNNNNNNNNNNNNNNNNNNNNNNNNNNNNNNNNNNNNNNNNNNNNNNNNNNNNNNNNNNNNNNNNNNNNNNNNNNNNNNNNNNNNNNNNNNNNNNNNNNNNNNNNNNNNNNNNNNNNNNNNNNNNNNNNNNNNNNNNNNNNNNNNNNNNNNNNNNNNNNNNNNNNNNNNNNNNNNNNNNNNNNNNNNNNNNNNNNNNNNNNNNNNNNNNNNNNNNNNNNNNNNNNNNNNNNNNNNNNNNNNNNNNNNNNNNNNNNNNNNNNNNNNNNNNNNNNNNNNNNNNNNNNNNNNNNNNNNNNNNNNNNNNNNNNNNNNNNNNNNNNNNNNNNNNNNNNNNNNNNNNNNNNNNNNNNNNNNNNNNNNNNNNNNNNNNNNNNNNNNNNNNNNNNNNNNNNNNNNNNNNNNNNNNNNNNNNNNNNNNNNNNNNNNNNNNNNNNNNNNNNNNNNNNNNNNNNNNNNNNNNNNNNNNNNNNNNNNNNNNNNNNNNNNNNNNNNNNNNNNNNNNNNNNNNNNNNNNNNNNNNNNNNNNNNNNNNNNNNNNNNNNNNNNNNNNNNNNNNNNNNNNNNNNNNNNNNNNNNNNNNNNNNNNNNNNNNNNNNNNNNNNNNNNNNNNNNNNNNNNNNNNNNNNNNNNNNNNNNNNNNNNNNNNNNNNNNNNNNNNNNNNNNNNNNNNNNNNNNNNNNNNNNNNNNNNNNNNNNNNNNNNNNNNNNNNNNNNNNNNNNNNNNNNNNNNNNNNNNNNNNNNNNNNNNNNNNNNNNNNNNNNNNNNNNNNNNNNNNNNNNNNNNNNNNNNNNNNNNNNNNNNNNNNNNNNNNNNNNNNNNNNNNNNNNNNNNNNNNNNNNNNNNNNNNNNNNNNNNNNNNNNNNNNNNNNNNNNNNNNNNNNNNNNNNNNNNNNNNNNNNNNNNNNNNNNNNNNNNNNNNNNNNNNNNNNNNNNNNNNNNNNNNNNNNNNNNNNNNNNNNNNNNNNNNNNNNNNNNNNNNNNNNNNNNNNNNNNNNNNNNNNNNNNNNNNNNNNNNNNNNNNNNNNNNNNNNNNNNNNNNNNNNNNNNNNNNNNNNNNNNNNNNNNNNNNNNNNNNNNNNNNNNNNNNNNNNNNNNNNNNNNNNNNNNNNNNNNNNNNNNNNNNNNNNNNNNNNNNNNNNNNNNNNNNNNNNNNNNNNNNNNNNNNNNNNNNNNNNNNNNNNNNNNNNNNNNNNNNNNNNNNNNNNNNNNNNNNNNNNNNNNNNNNNNNNNNNNNNNNNNNNNNNNNNNNNNNNNNNNNNNNNNNNNNNNNNNNNNNNNNNNNNNNNNNNNNNNNNNNNNNNNNNNNNNNNNNNNNNNNNNNNNNNNNNNNNNNNNNNNNNNNNNNNNNNNNNNNNNNNNNNNNNNNNNNNNNNNNNNNNNNNNNNNNNNNNNNNNNNNNNNNNNNNNNNNNNNNNNNNNNNNNNNNNNNNNNNNNNNNNNNNNNNNNNNNNNNNNNNNNNNNNNNNNNNNNNNNNNNNNNNNNNNNNNNNNNNNNNNNNNNNNNNNNNNNNNNNNNNNNNNNNNNNNNNNNNNNNNNNNNNNNNNNNNNNNNNNNNNNNNNNNNNNNNNNNNNNNNNNNNNNNNNNNNNNNNNNNNNNNNNNNNNNNNNNNNNNNNNNNNNNNNNNNNNNNNNNNNNNNNNNNNNNNNNNNNNNNNNNNNNNNNNNNNNNNNNNNNNNNNNNNNNNNNNNNNNNNNNNNNNNNNNNNNNNNNNNNNNNNNNNNNNNNNNNNNNNNNNNNNNNNNNNNNNNNNNNNNNNNNNNNNNNNNNNNNNNNNNNNNNNNNNNNNNNNNNNNNNNNNNNNNNNNNNNNNNNNNNNNNNNNNNNNNNNNNNNNNAAGAGAAAAAUCAUUAUUCAUUAUCAAUUCAUUCAAUUUGAUAAAUCAAGAUCAUGAUUUUGAUAAAACUCAUUUCAAAUUUAAAUCAUCAAAAUCAUUUUUAUGGCUCACAAAAUUUAUAACAUAAAUAGAUUCAUGAUUUCAUUGAUAAUAUAUUUUUCCCCUUUUUAAGUGUUUCAUUUUAAGUGGUCGAUUUCAUGUUAACAUGCCUUUUCAUUUAUGAAAACAUGCAUCAAUUUUUUUUUAAAGCCACUGUUAUUAUCAUGAAAAUCGAUAAUCCAUAAAUAUCAAGAAUCAUCAUACAUAAUUUCAAAAAUAUAUACUCAUUAAUCAUAACUUCAAAUUAAACAUGAUUUCAUAUACUCAAAAUCGAGAAAUAACAAUGGAAAUCAACAUGAUACACAUUAUUACUUCUCAACCACAUAUAGCAUGAUUUUAUAAGGUAUUUUUAAUCAAAAUCAUUUUGUUUAUCAUAAACAUGCAAUUUUCAUGAUUAUUUUCAAAAUUACUAGAAUGAUAAGCAUGAUUCCUAAUUGUUUGUAUUUUCAUUAUAAAAUUAUUAAACAUGUAAUUUUCAAGAAAAUUAAAUAAAAAAGAAAAAUGCUUUAUGAAAAGCAUCAUGUAAUUUCAAAGUAAAUUAAAGGCAUUUUGAUUACCUCAGCGUCGAAAGGCGUAAAGGCGUAGUUUGCCACCUCGCCUUUGUUGAUUUUCUCCUCGUCUUCGGAGGAGCUCGAUUCAUCCCAAUUUUUGUUCUUCUUCUUGCGUUCAAAGCAAGUAGUUUCAUUCUUUUUACUUUUUAAUUUUUGUUUCAUUUGUAGUUUAAGUUCACCAUCACUUGAGCUUAUGCUCGAGUGGUCUUCAAAUGUUCUAUGUCCCAAAUCCUUCCUGUUCUUUGGAAGGUGGUUCUCAAGUUCUUCACGUGCAUUGCAUGUCAUUUCAUAUGUGAUCAAUGAACCAAUUAGUUCUUCAAGUGGAAAAAUAUUUAAAUCUUUUGUUUCUUGUAAAGCCGUUACUUUUGAAUCCCACUUCUUAGAAAGAGAACGCAAAAUCUUGUUCACAAGUUCAGAAUUCAAAAAACAUUUGCCAAGAGCUCUUAAACCAUUGACGACAUCCGUAAAGCGGGUGUACAUGUCACCAAUGGUUUCGCUUGGCUUCAUUUGAAAAAGCUCGAAAUCAUGCAGUAAAAUAUUAACUUUCGAGUCUUUGACUCUACUAGUUCCCUCGUGCGUGAUUUCAAGAGCACGCCAAAUAUCGAAAGCCGUUUCACACAAAAAAACCCGAUUGAACUCAUUUUUGUCCAAAGCGCAAAAUAAGGCAUUCAUAGCCUUUGCGUUUAAAGAAAAAUGCUUCUUCUCUAAAUCCGACCAUUCGAUCAUUGGAAGAGAAGACUUCGAAAAACCAUUUUUGACAAGAUUCCAAAGUUCAACAUCCAUAGAAAUAAGAAAGAUCCUCAUUCGGGUCUUCCAAUAGGUGUAGUCCAAUCCGUUAAAUAACGGUCGACGAAAAACUGAAAAGCCCUCUUGAAAGCCAUGAAGAGCCAUUUCUCUCGGGUGUAAGUCCGAAAUGAGAAAUACGGGGCUCUUAUACCAAUUGUUAGGAUCAAGAGCACUAAGAGGGGGGCGAUGAAUUAGUGCAGCGGAAAUCUUUCGACGCUUAAAACUUCGAAAGCUGCGUUCGUUCGAUAAAAACGAUUUCGAUGUAAAAGCCGAUUCUAAGAUUACUUUAACUUAAGAUUAAGCGAGAUGACGUUAAAGUAGAUCUAUGAAGGCAGUUUGCAGUUUAUGAUGGAAAUCAGAAUGCAAGCGCAAACUGAAAUGCGAUGUUCGUACGAUAAAACCAGUUUACGUCUAAAUGCCGAUUCUGAAGAUACUGAACUUUGAGAUAUAUUUUAUAAAUGCGCAGUCGGCAGUUUGCAGUUAUGAUUGAAGUCUAAACGUAAACGUAAAUUGAAAUAUGAUGCUCGUACGAAAAAGCCGAUUUACGUCUAAAUGCAUAUUCGGAAAGCUCUGAACUUAGAAACUCGUUCGUUAAGAGCGCAGAGGGCAGUAAGCUAUUAAGGAGGUUUGCAGUAAAGAUAAAAUGCUCAAAGUAAAUGCAAACCAAGAUUUAGAGUGGUUCGGUCAAUCUUGACCUACUCCACUUUUGGCUUCCUCCACCGACGAGGUCACCGACGUCAACUAGAGGCCUUCCUUUAAUAGGUGAAGGCCAACCACCCUUUUAUAGUUUUACUCCUUUUGACGGGCUUAGGAGACAACCCUUACAGAAAUUUCUCUCCUCUCUUUACGACUCAAAACUUGGAAGAAAAGAGGGAGGAGAACUUUUGGCCUUUACAACAAUUUUGAGCUCUAAAAAUCACUGAAAAAGAUCAAGAUUUCGGGUAAGUUCUUGCUCUUUCAAUGCUGAAUGGGUGGGGUAUUUAUAGGCCCCAACCCAGUUCAAAUUUGGAGCUCAAAACUGUCAAUUCCUGGAAUUCCGGGAUCAGGCGGUUGCACCUCCUGAUUGGGGCGAUUGCACUGCCUGACAGAGCUCGAAGACUGAGCCUCUAGGCGGUGCCACCUCUAUCAGGGGCGGUUGCACCUCUCUGCCAGAGCUCGAAGACCGAGCUCAGGUGGUUGCACCUCCUGACUGGAGCGGUUGCACCGCUUGGCAGAGCUCGAAGACUGAGCUCAGGCGGUGCCACCUCCUGUCAGGAGAGGUUGCACCGCCCAGUCUCGCUUGGAGACUGAUCCCAGGCGGUGCCACCUCCUGGCUGGGGCGGUUGCACCGCCCAGUCUCGCUGGGAGACUUAGCCCAGGCGGUGCUACCUCCUGGCCUAGGCGGUUGCACCUCUUGGCACUAUUUCAGAUCACUGGUUGGGCUCCAAACUUAGCCCAAACCAGUCCAAAUUCGGGCCCAAUUGGACCCUAACCGGGUUAUAAGAUUAACACCUAAUCCUAACCCUAAGUAACAUGCUAACUACGAAUUUAAAGACAUUUCUUAUGCUAUUACAAAGUUCGUAAGUCAAGACUUCUUCCGGCGAGCUUCCGGUGAACUUCCGACGGUCUUCCGAUAAACUCUUGGAAACCAUUCUGCGGACUCCUGGCAAGCUCCUAGACUUCACGAUUUGAUCUUGGCGAGUUCCAACGAGCUUCUUUGGCAAGCUUCUGGACUUCUCGGAUUUGUUCCCGCAAAACCUCCGACGACCGUCCGAACUUCCGUCGAACUCUCGAACUCCCAACGUGAUCAUAGUCUUGACUCCGGCGCAACUCCUGCUGCAUGUCUUUCUUCCAUCAUAGUUAAUCCUGCACACUGAAAACAAACACUUCGAUCGAGAUAAUUAAUCCUAAGCAAUUAACCAAGUUGUCCGGCAUGUCAUUAGUCCCUCGACGCUUCGUCCGAUUCUUCGGCGCAUCGUCGUCUCCUGCAGCCUAUUGCCCAAUCGGCUAGUUGACUCCGCAACUCCGAUAUCCUUGGCACAAUACCCGCUCUUCUUGGUACGAUGCCCGAGUCCACGGCCCGAAGCUUUCUGUCGAUACGUCGACCGAUCCACUGGACCGACGUCCAAUCUUCUGACAUGUUCCUCCAGCACAACAUGAUUUUCCUGCUUUAAUUGUCUCAUCCUGAUCGAAGUAUCCUGCGUUACUCAAAAUACAGAUUAAAUCAUAAACAUAUAUCAAGUGGUUUCAUCAUCAAAAUACGAGAUUCAACAGUAUUCACACUUUAAACCCCAAGUUUUCAUUCACUUUUCUUGCUUAGCUAAGCAGGAAAUAUUAUGGUAUUUAUAGGCCCUAAAUGACUUAAAAAAUAGAGCCAAAAAAUUGUCUCAUCCUGGGUUUCCAAAAUACUAGUUGUACCACCACUAUUACUAGGUGGUACCAUCGUCUACCAGAUUGAUAACUAGCGGUACCACUACUUGUUAGCCUGACACUGGGUGGUACCACUACCUAGUCUGACACUGACAUUGGGUGAUACCACCGCCCAAUCUAGUGGUACCACUACUUGACAUAGUCUCGGAGAUUAUGUCUAGGUAGUACUAUCACCUAGAUAGCCUGAGAGGCCGAGCCUUAAGAGGUGCCACCACUAGCCCUGGUGGUGCCAUUGCCUAGGCCAACUAAGGGUUACUGAAUGAGCUUUCCUUUUGGCCCAAAAUAGCCCCAACUCAGGACCAAUGAGCCCUUAGUUAAGUUACCAUUAUUUUACCCCAAAAUCGACUUAAUUAGAUCUAAACUAACUCGAUCUAAAUACACACGAUUACAAGCAUAAAUCCUAUGUAGUUCGGCAUGUUAUUAGUUCAUUCGAUGCUUCGUCCGAUUUUUCAGCGCAUCGUCCUCUUUUUCGGUGUAUUGCCCAAUCGGCAUGUUGACUCAUAUAACUUCCGAUCUCCGUAGUGCAAUAUUCAAUCUUUCGACCCGAUGCUUGAACUCAUGGCACAAAGUCCUUCCGGCACGUAGACCAUUCCUCCAGCCCAAUAUCUUAUUCUUCCUUUUUUUAAUCGAAUUAUCUUUCCUUGAUUGAAGUUAUGUUGAAUAUUUGAUUUUGAUGAUGAAACUAAUUGAUAAUGUUAUGAUCUAAUCUAUGUUUUAAGUGACGCAGAACUAGCUUUGAUCAAGCAGAGGCAAAUUGAUUGAAGUAGAAGGAAUCAGAUGUUGGGACGAAGUUAAAUUGUUGGGAAAUCUUGGGGGCGACAUCACAUGCGCAGUGGAAGAACAAGAAAACAAAAUCCCCGAUUCCCAAAGAGAUGUUCGUCGUCGUGUGAAGAUUGGUGCGCAAAAUCCAUGAAACUUAAAACUGUGUAUAGAGUAGAUUGUGUUACCUAGGGAGAUCGUAUAUCCCUAUUUCCUUGCAAAUCCUUAGGAGAGAGUGAAGGAGGUCAAGUGUCCUCCUCUCUAACGGUGAUCCAUACAGUAGGGCUGCGACGACGCUCCUCAAAACUCCAGGCCUGCUCUGAGGUGGAGAGGGGGAGGAGAAUAGGAGAGGCAAGCAAAAGCUCUAGCCUAUGAGGCUCUGAAUCCCUCCUAUUUAUAGAGGUCCCCUGUCAAACCCUAAUGGAUCCUCCCUUAGUGGGUAUUGGAUCUGCAUCCAAUAACCCAAGCCUUUUAGAUUAGUAGAUCUCUAUCCAAUAAUCUCUUAAGGGCUCUUAUUGGAUCUCGUCCAUGGGAUCCAAUAAUUCAGAGGCUUAUUGGAUAUCCAAUAAGAUAAGGGCUCCGUCGGAUAUCUCAUAUCUGAACCUCUACUCAUCGCAAUGCCUAUUAUAUGUGUGUGACCCUCUAGGCCCAAUAUCGAGAUGGUCGUGAGUCAUACAUGUCAGAACUCUUUCUAACUUAGUUAAUUAUUAUCUCUGUAAUAAUUCACUCGACUCAUCGACUACGGACGUACUAGGCCACUACGCUGUAGUCCCUGGACGAUACAGGGGAAUCCAAUCCAUUAGACCUAUCUGUCCUCAGUUACCGUGUACCUAUAGUCCCUCAUCCAUCUAAUAUCCCAGAGACCGUAUAUCGAGCAUGGUGCUGUCAGACCCAUACGGUUUCUACUCGAGUCUCGCUCUAAUCGGAUUCUCCCGGAGAACUCUUUCUCUCUCAACCCGAAUGACCUUAGCCAGGGAUUUGUCUGAGCAAGAACACAUGGGAUAUUCCUCUCAUGACACCGAGAGUGGAUGAUCCUCUAUCGACACUCAAUAGCCCUCGUAAGGUUGACUACCAUUCUCAAUGACCAACUGUACUAGAUCUGGGACAGCCAAACCUAUAAGUCUGGUAUCAAAGAGUGGAGCACUCAUACAGGACAUCCUUGAUGUCUCAAGUCUAAGGACCAGAUAUACCACUAGGACUACGGAAUCGCUGUCUGAUAAUAACGCAUCAUCAACCAUCCAGUAUUCCGUAAGCGGAUCAAUUAGUGAACUCAUUCUCCAAUGAGCACAUGUACUGUAUCCCUAGUGUUCCUACACGAGCAGCUAUGAGACCAGCUGCAUCUAUCAUAUGGACGGGUAUACAGCACACCAGUCUAUCCGGUUAUCACGAUGUCCCUCUCGAGUAACCUAUGACCGGGAUUAUUUAAGAUCUGUGUUUAAAGGUGAAUCGAUCUUAUUAUCAUGAUCUAAUCACGAUCCGAUUCCCAUUGCAUAAAUCCAAGGACAUCACAAUAUAUAUAUACACAUGCAAUAGUUAUAAAGUGAUAUAUGCUAAAAUAUAAUAAGCAAAAGGAUUAUGUAUCAAGUCACACAUGCCAUCACUUACGUGAUUGGCUUACUGGGCACCUAUGACUAGCAAUCUCCCACUUGACCUAAAGCCAAUCACCUAUGUGUUUGAUCCCCAUCAGACCCCUGUGACGCUUAAAGACAAUCUGAGACAACAGCUUUGUCAGUGGAUCUGCAAUAUUAUCUUCGGAUGGAACACUUUCCACUACUACAUCUCCUCGGGUUACGAUCUCUUUGAUAAGCUAGACCCUCCUCAGAACACUUCUGAUGAGACCUGGGUUCCUUUAUUUGAGUAAUCGCCCCAUAGUUGUCGCAAUAUAAGGAAGUCGGCUUCUCGCUAUCCGGCACGACUCCUAAAUCUGUGAUGAACUUCUUCAACCAUACUCCCUCCUUUGCUGCAUCUAAUGCAGCAAUGUACUCGGCCUCUAUGGUCGAGUCAGUAGUAGUAUCUUGCUUGGAACUCUUCCAGCACACUGCUCCUCCAUUCAAGGUGUACACAUACCCUGAAUUCGCCUUACUAUAAUCGACAUCAGACUGAAAACUUGAGUCUGUGUAGCCUUCAACCUUAAGGCUACUACCUCCAUAUACUAGUAAAAGAUCUUUAGUCCUUCUCAAGUACAUAAGGAUACACUUUACUGCUUUCCAAUGCUCCAAGCCUGGAUCCGCCUGAUACCUACUCGUGACACUCAGAGCAUGCGCUAUAUCAGACCUAGUACAAAGCAUGGCAUACAUGAUAGACCCUAUUGCUGAGGCAUAAGGUAUCAUAUCCAUGUUCGCCCUUUCUUCUGGAGUCUUUGGAGACAUACUCGUAAAAAGCAAUAUCCCAUGUCUCAUCGAUAUGAGACCUCUCUUGGAAUAUUUCAUGCCAAACCUUUUUACAAUGGUUUCUAUGUACCUGGACUGGGACAAGUCAAGCAUCCUUUUGGAUCUAUCUCUAUAGAUUUGAAUCCCCAAGAUAUAGGAUGCUUCCCCUAAGUCUUUCAUGGAGAAGUGUCUAGAUAACCAAGCCUUUACUAUAGAUAGCAUUCCUAUGUCAUUACCAAUAAUCAGGAUGUCAUCCACAUAUAACACCAAAAAGGUGAUAGCGCUCCCACUUACCUUCCUGUACACACAAGGCUUAUCUUCGUUCUUAACGAAGUCAUAAGAUCUGAUUGCCUCAUCAAAUCUUAUGUUCCAACUUCGAGAAGCUUGCUUUAGUCCAUAAAUGGAUCUAAGCAACCUACACACCUUAUCUGGGCAGUUCUUGGACAUGAAUCCCUCAGGUUGCAUCAUAUACACCUCCUCCUCGAGGUUCCCAUUGAGGAAUGCGGUUUUCACAUCCAUCUGCCAGAUCUCAUAAUCAUAGUAUUCUGCAAUAGCCAAUAGAAUUCUGAUGGAAUUUAGCAUUGCUACGGGUAAGAAGGUUUCGUCAUAGUCAACACCUUGCCUUUGACGAUACCUCUUAGCCACUAGCCUUACUUUAUAGGUCUCUACCUUUCCAUCUACUCUGAUCUUUUUCUUAAAGAUCCACUUGCAACUGAUGGGUACAAUACCUUCGGGUGUAUCAACUAGGUUCCAAACCUUGUUGGAGUACAUAGAAUCCAUCUCAGAAUUCAUGGCUUCUUGCCACUUCCCGGAGUCUAUACUCAUAAUAGCCUCCUCGUAGGUCUGAGGAUCAAUAUCCUCAACAUCCUCUCAUCUAAUAUAUCACAUAUCUCUCAGGAGGAUGGGAUACUCUAUCAGACCUACGUAAAGUUGAAACUUGUGUAUUAGGUACCUAAACAGACUCAGGCUGUAGAGUGGUGCUUGAGCUUGAUUCUCCAACCUCACUCAACUCUAUCAUUCUCCCACUGUCUCCGCCAAGAAUGUGUUUCUUCUCAAGGAACACUGCUCUCUUAGCUACAAAGACCUUUUGGUCCUCGAGAUGAUAGAAAUAAUCCCACAAGUUUCCUUGGGGUAUCCCACAAAUUUGCAUCGCUCUGUCCUUGAUUCUAAUUUAUCGGGGUUGUGUCUUUAACGUGGGCAGGGCAGCCCCAAUUCUUAACAACCUUAAUAUUAUGCUUCUUCCCUUUCCAUAUCUUAUAUGGUGUAGAUACUACCGACUUAGUUGGAACUCUGUUCAUAUCGGGAAGGUAAGCUACGGUCUCUAGGGCAUAUCCCUAUAAUAAGAUGGGUAGGUCAGCGAAACUCAUCAUAGACCGUAUCAUAUCUAAUAGCGUACGAUUCCUCCUUCCAGAGACACCAUUGAGCUAAGGUGUAUAAGGAGGUGUCCAUUGGGAUAAUAUCCCAUGGUCCUUGAGGAACUGAGUAAACUAUGUACUUAAGUACUCACCUCCUCGAUCUGAUCGAAGAGUUUUGAUACUCUUUCCAGUUUGGUUCUCCACCUCAUUCUUAUACUCUCUGAAUUUCUCAAAAGCCUCAGACUUGUACUUCAUUAAGUACACAUAUCCAUACCUUGAGAAAUCAUCAGUAAAGGUAAUGAAGUAGGAGUAACCACUAAUGGCAUGAGUUAACAUGGGUCUACAUACAUCACUAUGUAUGAGUUCCAACAGCUCAGUGGUUCUCUCUCCAAUUCCACUAAAUGGAGAUUUGGUCAGUUUUCCACGAAGGCAAGGCUCGCAAGUUGCAUAUGACACAUAAUCGAAUGGAUCUAGAUAUCCAUCAUUUAGCCACUUUUGAAUCAUUCCCUCAUGGAUGUGACCUAGCCUACAAUACCAUAGGUAUGCACUGUUCACCUCAUCUCGUUUCCUCUUAGACACUUACAUUCAUGAUAUGUGAAGUAGUGUCUAGCAUAAACAAACCUUUAUGCAAUAUUCCUCUCGCCAAUCUCUGUAAAUAGGAAGGAACCAAAAAGCCAUAGGCUAGACCCUUUUGGGUUACCACCUCUUAUACCCCUCUCUCCCUCUCCUCCUUAGUCGCAUGGUGCGCGUGGAAAGGAGGAUUGUUCAGCAAUUUCAAGAGUAUUUUCUCAGCCCCUAUUGUGUAGAUCAUCGUUAGAGAGGAGGACAGUUAACCUUUUUAUUCUUUUUUAUAGAUUUAUAGGAUUUUAAGGAUAUAUGAUCUUCCUAAGUAACACAUCUUUCAUAUACGUGUAGUUUUUCGAUUUUGUAAUUUUUGCACACCAAUCUUCACAUGAUAAUAAAAUCUUCUUUUUCUGUAGAAAAUUUUGAGAUUUUAUUUCAUGUUCUUUUGUUACAUAUGUGAUGGAUGAGUCCCGAGGCCCACAGAAAUGUUUCACCAUUCAGGAGAACACCACUACAAUAGGGAUCAACAGGUACGAGAUCAACUAUAGUUAACAUAUCCUAUUGAAACCAAGUACCCCUUUUGUCCCGACUAGGUGAUGACCGGAAGUCACCAUGACAGAUUCAUACUCCCACUGUGGCAAUCGAGCCAAAGCCCACCAUCGACGGAACACCCUCUCUUCGAAGCAACAGAAGGAGAGUUCGCUGUUAACCUCUUGGAGCUGAAGGGGGGAGGCAAAACCACCAUGACGGAUUCAUAAUCCUAUUAUAGCGGUCGAGCCAAGACUCACCAAUAAUGGAACACCAAAAAUCAGCACCCUCUCUUAGAAGUAGUAGAAGGAGAGUUCAUCGUCAACCUCCCGGAACGGAAGGGGGAGGCAAAAAUUAAGAAAAGGUGUAAACUCCCAAAGUAGAAGGGGGAGAAUGGAGAAAAACACAAGAAGAUGGAAUCUAUCAAAACAAAUCUACCACGAUGGAGCCAUAAGCUGCCAUGAUGGGUGAUCCGAGAUCAAGUCUCCAGUGACUCAUCACCCUUAGCCAUGAUUUCAGAAGGGGUUACACAAUUAAUUAUAGAGAGCAUUAAUUCUUGAUGGUAUGACCCAACUCUUCGAGCACUUGAUGUCGAUUCCUAUCCCAUGUCUAUUUUGAACAUGGCCCUACCUUGAUAAUCAAUAUGCCUCUAGACAUCCUUCCUUGAUGUUGCCACAUUUACUAGCCUUUGACAUAAAUGAGCUUCUAUUGAUACGAGAAGCUAAAGAGGGGGGAAUGAAUUUGCUGACAAAUCAAGUAUAAAAUCUAAUCCCCAAAACCAAUCAGGAGGAGGAAAAACAGAGACUAUAAAAAAACUCUCUCGAGCUCUUCUAAACCCUCUCUACUUUCUUGAUUGACUUAAUCAUCGGAUGAGUCGAGUCUGGAAGUCUCUCGACACUAAUUAAUUAUGCAAGACUCACGCACAUCCAGAGAAUACCUCAGGAUGACGUGGAGCAUCCCUUGAUUAGGCCAAGGCUCACCUUGGAAUAACUGUAAACUUCCUUCAAGAGACGAACCAUACCUUGUAAGAACUGCGAGCAAAGUCUCAAGAUUAUACUUACUACCCCAAUCUCAUUUUCGAAUUUCACCCUAGUAAUCCGUUUAGGCUUCUGGGGUGGGUCUAUGCUUUCGGAUUUGAAUCGAGCCAUGUUGACCUCUCGAUUAAUGACACCCAAAUAAAAAACAGUUUGUAAUUAUAAUAUCAAUAAGAUCAAAUUUAUCUCAACUUGAAUUCAAACUAUUAUUGAAAAAAUAAUUUUAAAUUCAAGUUAGUUAUAUUUUUAAGAUGACAUGUAGAUCGGGAAAAUCUCGUUAAGACCUCAGCGUUAAUUGAUUUUUCGAUAUUCAUGAAGUUAGAUGACUAUCUUUAUACAUAAUAAUGCUAAAAUAAUUUUUAUUUUUAUAAAAUUAGAAUAUUGAUUUCGAAGAAAGAAGUAAUGCCAUGACAUGAUAUCGCAAUGUUGUUUUGGCUGAUGAUACAAAAAAGUACCAUGACCACACGGCGGGCACGUCGAGCAAGUCCCAGGCUUGGACGUUUCGUCAGGCGCCGCCCCAUAUCGUCAAUCUUGUCAUGUCACGACCGAUCUCCACCGACACGCUAUUCUCUGGCGAAGCACCCGGCGUCAACGUUGCCACCACAGCAGGAGGGAAGCAUGAGCUGCAACUGAUGUCUGCUUCCGGCGAGCCACUACGCGGUCAAGCAAUGCACCCGGCGUCAACGUUGCCACCACGGCAGGAGGGAAGCAUGAGCUGUAACUGAUGUCUGCUUCCGGUAAGCCACUACGCGGUCAAGCACAUGAGCUAAACGUGGACGACGGAGACGAGGAGGACGAAGAGGACAGUAGCGAAGAAGAUUAAAAUUGGAUGUAGGAUUUUACGAGGAGAGGGCUCUUCUCCCUUUUCCAUCUUUGUUCCCCUUCUUAUUCUACCUCCUCCUCCCC
rnacentral:lncRNA from 1 species